rnacentral:lncRNA from 1 species
AGAGACUGUUUCAAAGGAGAAAGGAGAGAUGCUUCACCUCCAAGAUACUUCUUUAACACCAGAUUUUAAGCAAAGUCCUGCACAUGCUUCAUGGGAGGAGGCUGAGCUUGUUUGCCUCAGUGAUGCUACUUCAACACCAGUUUCAGCUGAUCCUCGAGAUAUCUUAAUGGGAGAAGCUAUUUUAAAGGAGGAGGAGGAGCUGCUUCACCUCCAAGAUACUUCUUUAACACCAGAUUCGAAGGAAAGUCCUGCAGAUGCCUUGAUGGAGAAGGCUGAGCUCGUGUGCCUCAAUGAUGUCACUACUUCAACAUCAUCAGAUUCUGAUACAAAUCCUGAACAUGUCUUAAAGGAAACUCAACUUAUGCCCCUCCAUGAAACAUCUCCAGAAGAGGUUCCUGAGUCUUUCACAACAACUGAAACUCCUAUUGAGACAUAUAAGGAGAGGGACACAAACCAAGCUGAUAUGACCUCUCUAGAAUCCGAAUAUGUAGUUGUAUCACCUUCAAAAUCUACAAACUCCAUGCUUGAAUAUUCAAAUGAAAACUGUAAGUUUUCUCUACACCAUUGCUCCUGUAGGAUUUAAAUUAUUGUGAAAUAGUUAUUAGUCUCUUAUGAAAUAAACACAUUUUCAUAUCAGGUGUAUCAGACAACAAGAAAGAAACAUCUCUUACAUUGUCUGAGAUGGCUUCUCACACAGUAGCUGCUCCUGAGUCAGAAUCCUCUUCUUUCAACUCAAUGUCAGUAGCAGCAGAAACAAACCUUGAUUCAUGCGAGUGGACUCAAGGAGGUGGUGAGUUGCUGGAUCUUGCUGAUGCAUACAAAAACAUCAUUGUACACAACGAGAGUAAUAGAGAAGCUCAUAUAGAGCAAUGGAUGAGUAAAGACACUUCUAGAGUCAGCCAAGACCUCAAAGCACUACUCACUCAAAUCUCAGCUUCUCGUAUAAGCCCCAGGAUAUCUAUUGUUGAUCAGGAGACAAAGAACCUAGACUAUGAAGAUAUGCAGUUGCUGAUUCAAAAGAGAAUGCUGGAGAGAAACGAGAGCACCUUAUCAUUAGAAGGUGUUUCCGUGAGCGAGAUAGAAGGAGAAAGCGAGGUUGAGAGGUUGAAAAGACAGGUUGAUCACGACAGGAAGUUUCUCACCGGUUUAUACAAAGAGUUGGAGGAAGAGAGAAGCGCUUCGGCGGUUGCUACUAACCAAGCGAUGGCUAUGAUCACGAGGCUGCAGGAAGAGAAGGCUACGUUUCAGAUGGAGGCUUUGCAGAACCUUAGGAUGAUGGAGGAGCAGGCUGAGUAUGAUUUGGAGGCGAUACAGAAACUUAAUGAGCUGCUUGUUGAGAGAGAGAAGGUUAUUCAGGAAUUAGAAGCUGAGAUUGAUUACUUCAGGAGCAAGAAUGUGACUGAGAGAGUGAGCGACAAGGUACAGAACUGUUUAAGUGGUUUUGAUGAGGAGAGAUUGUAUAUCACUAGUUGUUUGGAGAAGAUUGAAAACAUGGUGCAAGAAGAAGAUGUGGAUGGUGAGGCUCAUGUUGAUAACUUAGCAAGGCAAGAGUCUGUUACUGAGCUACGUGAGAGAGUAGAGAAGCUGAAGGGAGACUUUGAUUUUUUAGAGCAUGUUGUGAGUUCUCUUGGGCAUGGGAGUGAAGGUGUACAGUUUGUUGAGGAAAUAGCUUCUCAUUUGCAAACCCUCAGCAUGAAAAGACAUAAUCAUACAGAGUGUUGAUGCCGGUUCUACCUGUAAUCACAAAGGUAUGUCCUCUAUAGUUAUCUCAUUGUUGUACAAAUUUCUAGUUUUCAUAUCUGUUUUUUUUUUAUUAGAUAACUUUGUGUAGAAGAUACUGCAGAAGAAUAUAAACGAAGCCAAGAGUGGUGAAAAAACUUAAGCAAACUGUACAGCAUUUUCUUCAUGGCCUUUCCCCCUUUAUUAUACAAUAAUAAUCUCAAUAUUUUACAGUAUUCAGGAAUGAUUCAUAUUGUUUUGGGGUUUGGUGUUUAUAUUGUCCUUGUGGAUUUUCAUUUUCUGUGGGUUUGGUUUGCAUUUUCUAUGAUUUUUCUUGUAGGAUUUGUGUGAAGAGUGUUUGUAUGUAUGUGUGUGUGUGGAAGGGGGAGGGGGAGUGUUGAAGUUUUCAUUUUAUAUUUUUUAAUUAGUUAAAUUGAUACUUUGUUAAGCUUGAUGUAACUUUUUCGCCUAUAAUAACAUGGUGAAAAAGUUUAAGCCUGCUUAAGCCUCUGUUAAACUGAUACUCCUUUGCUGGUUUUAGUAAACAAAGUUAAAUAAAGAACCUCGAGUUUGAAAAAUAACAAGACAUUCAUCAUUGUUUUCUGCAUUAGAAGUCUAUUUCUCACCGAACAAAAGAAGUAUAUUUCUCUUUGACAUUAGAAAAGAAGUUUGAUAGGAAAAAUUUAGAAGCAAAAACCUAGUAUAUCUAUAAUAGAAUUACUCUUGGUCUUUGGUGAAAAUAAAAGUUGGAUAACAACAAACCAAGACCUUUAUGCAUCUUUGUCAAUUCUUCUUUUAGUUUGUAACUUCAAUAGUUUGCUCUUCUGUCUUAAUCACCUCCUUAAAUAAACCCUCGUUAGCUGCCAUAAUAUCACAACACUUCCUUUGUCUCACUUCUUUGGUUAAUUAUACUGUAUAACAGAACAUGCAACAGCUUGUGCCCAAUGCCUCAGCCUCGUUUUAACCUGUUGGGGGUUAUCUCCUGAAAGUUUACUUUUAGUAAGUUAUAUCAUUCCAACACUUAUACGAUGAUACAUGUUAAAUAACAGAAUGCGUUUAAAUCAUCUUAUAUUUUUUUUUGUUCUAUUUCUAAAUUUUCUUAUAUAACAGAGGAACUAUUAAAUAAAUAUGAGUUUUUGUUCUAGUAGUCCUCUAUUAUAUAUAGUAGAACUAAUGUUAUAUAUUUUUUUAUUUAAAUGAAUGCUAUUUUGUCUUUAUAAUAAAAGACAAAAUAUAACAUUUCCUUAUAAUAGAAAAAUAUAUUAUUCAGGAAUUUAUUGUAGCAAAAACUCAUAUUUAUAGAAGAAAAAAUAGAAAUGAGUUAAAGAUCUCUUAUAAAAAUGCGGCAACAUGAAAAAAAAAAGUUACCUGGAGACAUAAAUUUCAAUCCUUCCGAGUCGCUCAUAGGACUACCAAAGGAGGAGGAACCUUCUCCAAGGGAAGUAAGUCUAGACGACGAAGAUCCACCGCUGCUUGGUGUAGAAACCGGCGAGAUCUGACGGUUCACAGCGAAGUAAAGGUCCAAAGCAGGCAACGUAGUUGUAAGUUGUUGUCCUUGCUCCUCAUUAAAACCAAACCCUAACUCAAUAGAACCUUUGAGCUCACUCAAGUCCUCGUCUGUUAAGUCAAUAUCUCCUCCUUCGUUUAUUUGCUUCAUCUCGAGGUGAUGGAGCAUCUGGCGACGGCGACGCUCCCAUGCCUUGUCUCUUUUGGUCUCCAGCAUUGAGAGUUGCUUCGAGAGACGUUUCUUGGGUUUAGCUCUCGGUGGUUCUAGUGACAUCUUUUGAAGCUCGUCAGCUUCACUUUCGUUGAGAGAUGAGGACGAUGAGGUUGAUACACUCAAUGCUUCACCAACCCUCACCAUUUUUCACUAUUGUUUUUUUUUUUUAUGAUUAUAUAUGUAUAUAUAUCACAAAAAGUCAAAUCAUAUGGGAUCUGUGCCUUGUUGUACAAGUUAGGUCAUGUGUAUAUCUGCAUGUUUUCCUUGUUUGUAUGCAAGAAUUAAGAAAAAGGACUUAAACAGAAGCAAAAGUUGUAUGCUAACCGAACAGAGAUAAAUGGUUUGUGAUGGAGAAGGAGAUCGACUCCAAGGAUUUAGUGAAAACCCUAGAGAUCUCUCUCCCUCACCGCCGAAACUAUUCUUGUCUGGAGCAAAAUAUAUAAACGGUAGAAUGAUGGAGAGGGAGAUUGAUUCUGUUUGGUUUUAUGUGUUGUUGCAGUUAGUACAGCAUGUUUCGUUUGCCAUAUUUAAUGGUCUAUUCCCUCUGUUAAAUGCCUGGGGAGAUCCUGGAACUCUUCUAUAUGGUUUCUGUUGGAAUAACCAACUCUUUCUUGAUUUAGGUUUGUAAUUUUAAUUUAAACGUUAUGCUCUAUAAACUAUUUCUUGUUAUUAGCCUAAUAUUAAACAAGAGAAACAAACGUAUUAUAUUAAAUUGUUUUUUAUUGGAUAAAUACUUUAUUUAUUUAGGGAUAUAGUAACUGCAUUAAAUAAUUUAUAUGUUUGGGUUGUAAUUUGCAAAAUCUACAUACGUAAAGCAAUUUUGCAAUAGGUGACUUGUUCAUUUUCUUUAAAAUGUAUAAGUUUCACGUAUGUUUUCUUAAGUGUUCGAUCAUUUUAACUGAUAAAUAUGCUAAUACUACAUUUACUACCUAUAGUAUUCCAUGCAAUACUAAACACGUACGACAAAAUGCAAUCAAAAUCGUUUUUUUUUUCGUCAGGCAGUAAAAAUCGUUCAAAAUAUAAAAAGAAAAAGAAAAUUAGGAAAAAAGAUGAUGCAAAAUGGGCUUCGGACAACAUCAUUGUAUCUUUUGGGCUUUUUCAUUUCUAAUGACAAAAAGGUCCACUUGGACACACGCUACACUCUCUUGAGAUUCCCCUUUGUCAAUUUCGUCCCCAACACAACCAGAAAAGAGACGAGAAAAAAAGCUAUUCACUUUGUUCCAAUCGGCGAGAGAAACGAAAAUGAUGCAACAAGUAACAUAAAAUCUCAAACUCUUAGUGUAAUUUUUUUCUCGAUACUCAAAAGUUUCUGGUUUUUUUAAUGAAUGAUUUGAUAAAUGUGCAGGGGAAGAGUAGUAGCAGUGGAUCUGAGAUGCAAGUGACAUGGGAGGACCAACAGAACAUUAACACCUUCAGCCGUCUCAACAACAGGUUCCACGAACUCGAAGACGAUAUCAAAUUCGCAAAGGUUCCUCUCUAAAACGUUUAUUUUAAGUUUUUAUUUUAUUUUAAAUUUGAGUUUCUGCCUCGAUUCUAGGGUUUUAAGACUAGAGAAUAGGUCAAACUAAUCGGUUAUUAAGACACAUCCAUUGUUGAUGAAUCUAAUUAGAAUGUUCCUCUAAUUAAUCUGUUACUUGUAAUAAUUCUCAAUCAUGUCUUUUCAUGCCUCCAACUCUUGUAGUUUUAAACUCAAUGUCCGAAUUUUUUUUGUUUUUGUUUUGAUAACUUAGGAAAAGUGUGACAAUCUAGAGGAUGCGGGGAACGAGUUGAUCCUUUCCGACGAGGAGAUGGUGAGGUUUCAGAUCGGAGAAGUGUUUGCUCAUAUGCCGAGGGAAGAGGUGGAAACAAAGAUAGAAGAGAUGAAGGAGGCGACCUUCAAAAGCCUUGAGAAGCUCCAACAAGAGAAGGAAUCUAUCGUCUCGCAAAUGGCAGAGCUGAAGAAGGUUUUGUAUGCUAAGUUCAAGGAUUCUAUCAAUCUUGAAGAAGAUUGAUUCCAUUACAUUCCAACCAAACUUUUACAUAUCUGUUUCAGAUGACAAACCCUUUUGAUUUUUAUUACUAUUAAAGUUUUUUUUGAGACCUUGUAAGUUUGGUUAAUUACAAAGAAAGCCAAAACAAAUCAAAUUGAUCAAUUAGCUCCAGAGAAUCAGUGUAUACCCGCCAAUUUUCAUAUAUACCAAAAAACAGUUUUUCAUUACCAUCACCAAAGUAAGUUUUGAUUGAAUGUAUGAAAUUUGCAAGUGUUCAUAUGCCUAUUUCAAGAGGAUACAUUAUAUUCCCACCUCAGAUUCACAAUUAUUAAAGACGAUCUAUUAAUCAAAACAUAGUAUUCGAGUUUGUAAGAGAAUAUAGUUCAAGGCGGAUGUAAUCAAAUCUUAAACACAAGAGUUCUUUUUUAUCCGUAAUUUCAAAAUGUAUAAUAAAAUGCGCGAUUACUUGCGUUACAAGCAAUCCGAGUUGGUGAAAGAGGAAGACACUAGAAGACGAGGGGAGAUGCAAGGAUCACUCAGCUACUGGCAAUAAAAAGCUAAAUCCAGAAUUCUCCCGGAUCAAAGGCGGUGGCUCGAUAUCAGCAAUAUCAAAUCUCUCCAUUGACUUUGAUAAAUCAUCCACAGAGAAUGGAAUGCUGCAGAAAAUCAUUUCAAAAUGUAAUUAAGAAAAACGUCACCGAACCAAACCAAACCAAACCAAACUUGUUGGCAUUGGUAAGAAGACCAAGUACUGUAACUAACCUCGAGUCGUCAUCCAAAAGGAAGGAGUUGCUAACAGCAUUAUUCGAAUCUUCUGUCAUUAGCACCCUCAUAUUUGCUAUAACCUAUUUUUAUAAAUGGAAGCUAGCUUAAGAUAUAACCACAGAGAGAUUAUCAGUUGCUUAAGGUGACUUACGUCCGGAGAGACGCUGUGUGUGCCGUAUUUGUCGUCCCAGUACAUUGUACUGAUCCUGUAUAGCUGUUGUAUGCUCAGUACCUGUCCAUAAUAUCAAUUAAUCAGCAAAUGAAAACCUACAAUUUGAAAACAUGAGAGUUGUAUCAGAAUUGAGCGUGGAAUGAUCAACUUACUGGGCAAAGAUCAUGACUGAUCUCAUCGAGAGUUUUCUUAGGUUUUUGGUGUAUGACCUGCAUUUUGGAGCAAGAAUUAAUAAUGGUUUACUCUUAUGGGCAUCUACUUAAGGUUUAGGUAGAAGAUAUCACAAGGUUACCAGAAACCCAAUGGCCUGUCUUAUAUGCUUAAGCUCAUCCCAGGAAGAACCAGCAUACUGCAAUUGUUUUUGUUAGUUAAUUGAUUAGUUUUGGUCGAGGAAUAAUAGGAGAGUGAAAGGAAGGUAGGAAAUAGAACCUCAUCUGUUGCCUUAAAACACCAGUGUUCCAAUUCAGACAAGCCAGCUUUGACAUACUCGCCAUUGCUAAAUGAACAACACUCACGUCUCAACAAAAGACUGUUGCAAAGGAAACAUUUGAUUAGUAGAGAAUAGUGAACAUGUUUUGAGACUAACAUAAUGGGAUUUUUGAUGCCAAUGAACCCUGGAAAAACCUGUUAAAGAGUUGAACAUUGAUGAACGAGAAUAUCUGCGUGAACACCUUGCGCACCAAGAAUGAAGGAACCUAAAAAGCCACAAAUAGAAGAUUCAAACUCAGAGCAGUCUCACAACUUGUUUUUGCUUUAGAGGAAAUGGAACUCACAUUGUUUGAUUUCAGAGUGUUGAGGAAGUUUGUAAGGCUCUUCACUAUUCCUUGCCAGUGGGCGAUCAGUGCUUGCUGGCCUGCAGUGUUGGCCACUGAACGAGAUGCUCCUUUCACUAGACUCGCUCUCGAUGUUCUUGGCGCCUGUUUGAAGGUGAAGACAUAAAAAUAAAAAUUAAGCGACAAGAACCGAGUUCUGCUUGUGAAAGUGGUGGCUGAUGUGAUUAAUGGCAUACCUGAAUGCACAGUCCAAGGAGUGGAGAAAUCUCCUUCUUCAAGUUGUCUCUAAUCAUUCCGUAUAUCUUUUCAACAUAAGCUGUGAGCUGCUGCUUAAACAGUAACGCCGGGUAUUUUGCUUCGACUUGUCUUAAGGUAUCCGCUCCACCUCCCGCAGCACCGUUUAUCAUGGCUAGAUUUACACCUGGAGGUGCUCCACGGAAGCUCUGGAUAAUAGAAACAUUCUCAAAUCUGAACUUACAAUGAAACAAGAAGCUGAUGGAUUUCAAACCAUAUGUACCUGAGUCAUCCUUCCAAAUAGAGUGGCAGAAGAUGAACGGCGCCGCUGUGGAGCCAUCCCAGCUGCACCACUAGCUUUGAGUGUGCGUUGGAGGAGUAAGAGGAGUGUCGAGGCAUUGGAUAACCAAUAGGCCAAUGUAUUGUUGUUAUCUUGAGUCUGAGAUAUCAGUUUACCCAACAUUAAUUCCAAUCACAACUGAAUAGAUAUAAACUAUAAAGCUCGAGCCUACCUCAAUAGCAUGGCCUAUUGUCUGAAUAAUGCGAUCAAAGACACUGGUUCGUUCAACUUCAAAUGACCUCCAUUGAAGUAGGCAUUUAUAUAUGAUACAUGCUGUGAUAGGUCGGUUCCCCUUGAAACCCAAGGGUUGGACAAUGCAGCGGAUAAGUAGCUCAUGAUUUUCUUGCUGCUUCUCGUUUAAUGAUUUUUGUGGUUUAUCAUCCACUUCAGAGGAAUCCCUAUGGUUUAUUGAAUGGCUAUGCAGAUCCUGAUUCAAAUUAAAAGCACCAUCAUUAGAUCAAUCAAAAAGCUUUACUCAAAUAUGUGGCAAAUGUACUCACCAAGCUUGACCUCGCAUCCACUGCUAGAUGACCACUCUCAGAACCUCUCUGUUGUUGUUAAACAGAUGGUAAUUCGUAAGCUUCAGACAACCGAGAAAAAGAUACUUGCGGUCUCAUAUUUCAGUUUAGUCCUAAUUUACCUGUAAAAUGGACCUGGAGCGGCCAGAGAGAAAUUUAUUCGGUGCCAUGGAUACAGCCUGUUGCCGUAAGACUUUAUUCUCCGAUUCCAAGUUGGUGCACUUUUCCUCCAUCCUGAUCACAUUAACUUCAUCAAUUUAUCUCAUCGAACAAUGAAAUUACCAGCAGAAUACAUGAAUCUACAAGACCAAUUAACCAUAUAUGCAGGAGUGGUUAUAGGAACAUAUGAUAACGGUACUUGAUGACACAUUCUUACCUUGUCAGGGAUUCUUGGAGUUGCUGGCCUUUCUUCUCUGACUCUUCCAGUUUCUUUAUUCUGUCUUCGAGAGACUCUUGAGCUUCUUCGAAUUUCUUCACUGCCUCAUCAGCCCUCUGUUUUUCGUUUUCUAGAGUAGCCUGUUUGAACGCAAAUGAUUACUGACGCUAAGUAGAUGUAAAAUCUCAAGGUAUUGAAAAUUGAUAGCCACUGACAGAAUGUACCUUUACACUCUCUAAUUCCUCUGUCAUCAGUUCGAUCUUCUUUGUAUCUUCAACCAAGACUUGUGUUUCUUGUAUAACAGGAGGAGCUUCCUCAGCGGCUUUCUUUGCAGCUUCACGUUCCUUCACAAGCAAUGCAUUUGCUUCUUCCACUUUCUUCCGCAUUUCCUCCAAGGAACUCUGAAGUUUCGCUUGCUCCUGAGUCUUUGCUUCUUCUAAAUCAGCCUGAAAUAGUAACUCAGCGCUAUAAGUUAUAAAUCUUAUUCAAAAAUUGAUUAGAGUGAUGUUUCUAUGGCAGAUACCCUCAGACGUUUCUCCAACUGGACACGGUAUGUGAGUUCCUCAACUUUCUUUUCAAGCAUAUCUUUUGCCUCCUUAAGUGCUCCUGUUUCCCUUGAAGCCUGAAGACAAAAAGAAAAAAUUAAGAGUAUGUCUGAGAUAGUAAACCAAAAGUAGUAUCCUUAUUUUGAAAGUAUUAAAAAAAACUUGCAGAUGCGUACUUCCUACCACAAAGUAUAUGGCAUGAUUGUUUCCAAUAAAUAUACCAUGCAUUAUAAUAGUAGGAUAUUGGAAAUGUGAAUACUAAAAGAAAUUUUAGGAAGUGCAAAUAAACAAGCUGUACCAUUUUGAGCUUCCUAAGUUCUCUCCUAGCAAGUCUGCCUCUCCAUCGUGUCUGAGAUAUGAUCACUCCAUUUUUAAGCUUCUUGUAGUACGUGGUUGCUCUGUGACAACGCCACUGAGCCUGCCAUUAGUAACAGGAAACUCUGUGUUACUGAUCAUGAGAAACGUAAGAUAGUUUAAAACUUCUAUACUCUCUUAAGAACAUCAACCUGAACAAUUGUGGCAGCCUUUGUUUGCUUCCUGAAUCUGAAUUCUUUACGAGCAGCCAUUGCUCUUAGACCAGUCUGUAAAGCAAGCGCGGACACAUGGAGCUUUUUGUAAGAUUUUCUAGAGUAAUAUCUCCGACCAUUCUUCUGAAUCUUCACAGCAGCAGCUUCUCGUCUCAAAUUCUCGUAAACUUUGCAGGAAAGUCUUCCUAUGAUAUUUGAAAUUGAGUAAAAGUUACAUAAAUGUUUCUAUAUUCAAGCAAAUAGUUCAUAUAGUGUGACAAAGUUAAUGCCCUUCCAAAGAGCGCGAUUGAAAUCAGAUGGCUCACCUCUACAUAGAGCUUGUAGAGAUAUUGUGGCCUUUCUCAGAACAGUAAACCGUUUCUGAGCUUGAUGAGUUCUUGUUCGUCUCUGAAUUUUUUUUGCAGCACCACUAAGCACUUCUGUCCUCCUAGCGUCGAGUUCAGCCAUCUGACCAGCCCUCAAGAAGAUCUUUGUUUUACCAAUCUGCAUUAACAAAAGAUACGAGUUUGCAUUUGAUUUCUUUCAAAUUUUCCAUCACUGAAUCAUAUUCCAUUGCAUCAUUCAUACUAUACAAUUGGUUCCAUUAACUAAAUAAUACUCAAGGAACAGUUACCUGGUAUCCUUUAAGUCCCAUGCUGUCCAAUAUCUUUUUACACACGACUUUCUCAUCGUAGCUGUUCAGGGAAAAGUCAAAAUCUGUAAAUAUUGAUUCCAACUCUCACUAAACAUUAUAAUUUUUACGGGCUAGUAAAAUUGCUGUUUACUUACCUCCCUUCUAAAGCCGAAGGACAUAGAAGUCCGAAGCGGUUGACAAACUCAAAGAAAGGUUUACGUGUUGGAUACCCUGCGCAACUAAUUCUGAUCGCCUCUAAAACACCCUAUACAGAAACCGUAAAAGUUUUAGAGUUAUUAGCACACACUUUCCUGCCACUACUCGCAGGAUAUUAAAAACAUAAAGAGGAACCAUGCUCAUAACCCAUAUGUCUAGUCUAGAAAAACAUCACUGUGGAAAAUAUUAUCUUAUGUAUACUUACACCACAACGCAGCUGCUGCAUGAUGUUCACAUUCUCAAAUACGGCAGGUUUUAAGAGAUUGUUAGGCUUCACACAUCUGAUGUAAUGAGGCUCGGUAGAAUUUAAUGUUUCCAUCAGUUGCUGGAGUUGCAGCUGCAUCAAUCAGGCCAACCGUAUUUUAGUUCUCACGUUUACUUACUAAGAGAAUAUUAGUAAGACACUCUUCCUUAGAAACCACCUGAAUAAUUUUAAUAGAAUAAGCUUCCUACCUUGAAACGAGAACCAAUAGAUGAAAACUUUGAAGAUUUAGAUGUUUCUUCAGGGAGUGGAGGGAAAAGACCCACGACAAAAGGGCAUUUUGAAGCUCCCAACAAAUCUUGGUGUUCAGGGAUCACAUAAUCCUUGUUUUUAUCCAGAAAUAGAUCAGACUGAUAUAGAACCUGAAAGAAAUUUAAAAGACACGAGAAACUUGUGAAACAGUCCCCUUGUGUCAAAUUUUUCUUGGUAAAAAGAAAUAUACAACGUACUUCUCCAGCAUAAUGAGCAACGGUAAAAUCUGUUCGAGAGAGUUUUGGUUUGAUGAACCUCUUGUGAGCCUUAAAAGUCUGAUAUAGCUUGUUUGCAAAUGUUUCGUGGGUUGAUUUUGGAAACAUACUGGAAAAAUUACGUCUCAUUAGUUUACAAAAUAACAGUCAGGAUAAAAGAUCUAUGGAAGUAGUCUUUAAUAUUACCAAGCUUCAUCGAGGAGAGCAAUGAUUCCACCAGGCUUCUGCAGAUGGAAAAGAAAGGAGAAAGUGAGGUUAAAACAUCCAAUCUGAUAACACUGUCCUUUCUCAGUUAAGCAAACCUUUUCUAUAAGAUCAAGAACAUCUUUGUUGUCCACAAAUUCAAUGUAGCUCCAAUCUAUUGCCUCUUUUGUGUACUCUUCCUGUUCCAUCUUGAAAACGUGCUGAAAACAACAAAAGGAACUAAUAAACUCAGGGAUCACAGCUGGAAAAACGAACAUCGUUUCCACAACAAUCAAGAACCUACCUGAUUGAAAUGUUGCUGCAACUUCUCAUUAGUGAAAUUGAUACAGAACUGUUCAAAACUGCACCAGAAAGGUAUUAGCAGACAAUGGCGACUGCUAUCUGUGAGCCUAAAAUCACGUAAAAGGUUUCAUUACCUGUUAGUUUUGAAGCUCUCAAAUCCGUAAAUGUCCAAAACUCCAAUUAGACAUUUUGAAUUGGCAUCUUGUCCAAUCGAGUUAUUAAUCUUAUUUACCAACCUGCACAUAACUAGAGAUAUUCACUUAGCAUCAAAUAUGUAAAGAUCCACUAUUUUGACACUUAGAACCAGCCACCUACCAAUCGAACAAUCGAGAGUAGACUGUCUUAGCGAGACCAUCCCUGCUGGUAACAGCACUCUCUGGAUCGAGACUUCUCUUGAUAACUUCCUCGGGUGUGACCAUAACACGUUUACAUAAUGCAUCUUCAAGAGCUUUUAAAUCACACCUAUAAACGAGACUUCCAAUCAGCUCUAACAAUUGAUAACACAUGGCAACAUACAGAGGCAAAAUGUUUUACGAACAUGAGAAGUUCCGCUGCUGUCUUAAGAUGAAACUUCGCCUUAUCAUCCUUAGGAACAGAUGAAUCCACUUCCUUUCCCUUAGUAAACUCGAUGUUUCCAAUAUGAAGAAUUGCAGCAACCACCCUGAAAAUUGCUUCCUGUUGAUAUAGAUAAAGGGAGAAGCUCACCGUCAAUAUAAAACUGCAGAAAACAAAAUUUACAUUCAAUAGCUGCUUACACAAACUGACCUGUUCCUUUUCGCUAAUUCCGACAAUAUCCAUAGCUCUCCUUGUGGCAAGAUAAUCAUGAGCAUCGCUUAUACCGACAAGCUCGUAGCACUUAGACUGGUUCAGAUAAUGAAAGGUCUUUGGAUGGCCUAGCUUGUACUUUUCAAUUUCCUGCUCAGUUCUCUUAAGUUAUGCGGCGAGUUCUUUAUAUUUUAAAAGAGUUGCAGGUGAGGUUACCUCCUGGGGUGCUGCACAAAGAAGAUAGAAGCAGUGGUAAUUGCGCUCCGGAUCAGAGAUUUGACACACACGAGACCUCUCUAGAAGAUAGGUCCUUAUGGCAGCUCCAGAUAUUCUUCCUUGCUUAUCAAAUUGAAUUUCAACAAAUUUACCAAAGCGACUGAGACAAAGCAUAUUAAACAAUCAGCUGAAUCACCAACAAUGAGUAUAGAUAGAGUGGCCACUGUUAUGAGUAGAUUUUGGCUUACCUUGAGUUGUUAUUCCUCACAGUUUUUGCAUUACCAAAGGCUUCAAGGACAGGAUUUGACUGGACGCAGAUAUAACAAACAAGUUAGUGGAUUGAGCUCAUAUAUAAAAUCAUAAAGAUAGCAAAAUCAUUACUUCAAGAACUUGUUGCUCAACAGUCCUUCCUUCUGUAACUGCUCGACCUCCUAAAUACGCAAGGUAUCUCAUAAGCAUCUUAGUGGUUUCAGUUUUUCCAGCUCCGCUCUCACCACUUACAAGAAUCGAAUUGCUUUUCCCUUCAUUAAUCAUGGCCCUGAGUGUACAUUGAUAAAGGGCUUCUUAGGCUGACAACAUAUACGUGGAUCAUAAUAUAUAGACAAGUUUUUAGAAUCACCUGUAUGCAACAUCAGCGACAGCAAAAACAUGAGGAUUUAGUUCUCCAAAAGGUGCUCCUUUGUAUUGUUGCAUCAUAUGGGCAUCGUAGAUGUGAGGCAACCGUUGAAAAGGAUUAAUCGCUAUAAGGAUGUUUCCUGUGUAUGUCUGUCAUGAACAAAUAGAUUCUAAGUCAAGACAUUAAACAAUCAAAAGGUCUAAAGCAUAUUUGUAAGUAAGAAAAUAAGUACUAACAUAGAUAGGAAAUAGGUACUAACAUAGAUCUCAUUAAGUUCAUAUCUGAUCUUUAAGUUCUGAAGGACACCAGGUUCGUGCAGGUAAGACAGCUUUGUCAUGUCAUCAACACCACCUGCAGGAGCUUCCACAUCCUUUGGGUAUAUCUUUGACAACUUUGCAGUGAUCUAUAUAAUAUAAAACAGUUAUGGGAUAUUACUUAUAGGUGACAAGAUGAAAUGUUAACAGUUAGUGUGAUUGGCUUGCCUUCUUUCCAGUUGUUGAGAUAGUAAACCAAAAGUAGUAUCCUUAUUUUGAAAGUAUUAAAAAAAACUUGCAGAUGCGUACUUCCUACCACAAAGUAUAUGGCAUGAUUGUUUCCAAUAAAUAUACCAUGCAUUAUAAUAGUAGGCUAUUGGCAAUGUGAAUACUAAAAGAAAUUUUAGGAAGUGCAAAUAAACAAGCUGUACCAUUUUGAGCUUCCUAAGUUCUCUCCUAGCAAGUCUGCCUCUCCAUCGUGUCUGAGAUAUGAUCACUCCAUUUUUAAGCUUCUUGUAGUACGUGGUUGCUCUGUGACAACGCCACUGAGCCUGCCAUUAGUAACAGGAAACUCUGUGUUACUGAUCAUGAGAAACGUAAGAUAGUUUAAAACUUCUAUACUAUCUUAAGAACAUCAACCUGAACAAUUGUGGCAGCCUUUGUUUGCUUCCUGAAUCUGAAUUCUUUACGAGCAGCCAUUGCUCUUAGACCAGUCUGUAAAGCAAGCGCACACACAUGGAGCUUUUUAUAAGAUUUUCUAGAGUAAUAUCUUCGACCAUUCUUCUGAAUCUUCACAGCAGCAGCUUCUCGUCUCAAAUUUUCGUAAACUUUGCAGGAAAGUCUUCCUAUGAUAUUUGAAAAUGAGUAAAAGUUGCAUAAAUGUUUCUAUAUUCAAGCAAAUAGUUCAUAUAGUGUGACAAAGUUAAUGCCCUUCCAAAGUCCAAAGAGCGCGAUUGAAAUCAGAUGGCUCACCUCUACAUAGAGCUUGUAGAGAUAUUGUGGCCUUUCUCAGAACAGUAAACCGUUUCUGAGCUUGAUGAGUUCUUGUUCGUCUCUGAAUUUUUUUUGCAGCACCACUAAGCACUUCUGUCCUCCUAGCGUCGAGUUCAGCCAUCUGACCAGCCCUCAAGAAGAUCUUUGUUUUACCAAUCUGCAUUAACAAAAGAUACGAGUUUGCAUUUGAUUUCUUUCAAAUUUUCCAUCACUGAAUCAUAUUCCAUUGCAUCAUUCAUACUAUACAAUUGGUUCCAUUAACUAAAUAAUACUCAAGGAACAGUUACCUGGUAUCCUUUAAGUCCCAUGCUGUCCAAUAUCUUUUUACACACGACUUUCUCAUCGUAGCUGUUCAGGGAAAAGUCAAAAUCUGUAAAUAUUGAUUCCAACUCUCACUAAACAUUAUAAUUUUUACGGGCUAGUAAAAUUGCUGUUUACUUACCUCCCUUCUAAAGCCGAAGGACAUAGAAGUCCGAAGCGGUUGACAAACUCAAAGAAAGGUUUACGUGUUGGAUACCCUGCGCAACUAAUUCUGAUCGCCUCUAAAACACCCUAUACAGAAACCGUAAAAGUUUUAGAGUUAUUAGCACACGCUUUCCUGCCAUUACUCGCAGGAUAUUAAAAACAUAAAGAGGCUUUGUGGAACCAUGCUCAUAACCCAUAUGUCUAGUCUAGAAAAACAUCACUGUGGAAAAUAUUAUCUUAUGUAUACUUACACCACAACGCAGCUGCUGCAUGAUGUUCACAUUCUCAAAUACGGCAGGUUUUAAGAGAUUGUUAGGCUUCACACAUCUGAUGUAAUGAGGCUCGGUAGAAUUUAAUGUUUCCAUCAGUUGCUGGAGUUGCAGCUGCAUCAAUCAGGCCAACCGUAUUUUAGUUCUUACGUUUACUUACUAAGAGAAUAUUAGUAAGACACUCUUCCUUAGAAACCACCUGGAUAUUUUCAAUUGAAUAAGCUUCCUACCUUGAAACGAGAACCAAUAGAUGAAAACUUUGAAGAUUUAGAUGUUUCUUCAGGGAGUGGAGGGAAAAGACCCACGACAAAAGGGCAUUUGGAAGCUCCCAACAAAUCUUGGUGUUCAGGGAUCACAUAAUCCUUGUUUUUAUCCAGAAAUAGAUCAGACUGAUAUAGAACCUGAAAGAAAUUUAAAAGACACGAGAAACUUGUGAAACAGUCCCCUUGUGUCAAAUUUUUCUUGGUAAAAAGAAAUAUACAACGUACUUCUCCAGCAUAAUGAGCAACGGUAAAAUCUGUUCGAGAGAGUUUUGGUUUGAUGAAUCUCUUGUGAGCCUUAAAAGUCUGAUAUAGCUUGUUUGCAAAUGUUUCGUGGGUUGAUUUUGGAAACAUACUGGAAAAAUUACGUCUCAUUAGUUUACAAAAUAACAGUCAGGAUAAAAGAUCUAUGGAAGUAGUCUUUAAUAUUACCAAGCUUCAUCGAGGAGAGCAAUGAUUCCACCAGGCUUCUGCAGAUGGAAAAGAAAGGAGAAAGUGAGGUUAAAACAUCCAAUCUGAUAACACUGUCCUUUCUCAGUUAAGCAAACCUUUUCUAUAAGAUCAAGAACAUCUUUGUUGUCCACAAAUUCAAUGUAGCUCCAAUCUAUUGCCUCUUUUGUGUACUCUUCCUGUUCCAUCUUGAAAACGUGCUGAGAACAACAAAAGGAACUAAUAAACUCAGAGAUCACAGCUGGAAAACGUACAUCGUUUCCAGUACAAUCAAGAACCUACCUGAUUGAAAUGUUGCUGCAACUUCUCAUUAGUGAAAUUGAUACAGAACUGUUCAAAACUGCACCAGAAAGGUAUUAGCAGACAAUGGCGACUGCUAUCUGUGAGCCUAAAAUCACGUAAAAGGUUUCAUUACCUGUUAGUUUUGAAGCUCUCAAAUCCGUAAAUGUCCAAAACUCCAAUUAGACAUUUUGAAUUGGCAUCUUGUCCAAUCGAGUUAUUAAUCUUAUUUACCAACCUGCACAUAACUAGAGAUAUUCACUUAGCAUCAAAUAUGUAAAGAUCCACUAUUUUGACACUUAGAACCAGCCACCUACCAAUCGAACAAUCGAGAGUAGACUGUCUUAGCGAGACCAUCCCUGCUGGUAACAGCACUCUCUGGAUCGAGACUUCUCUUGAUAACUUCCUCGGGUGUGACCAUAACACGUUUACAUAAUGCAUCUUCAAGAGCUUUUAAAUCACACCUAUAAACGAGACUUCCAAUCAGCUCUAACAAUUGAUAACACAUGGCAACAUACAGAGGCAAAAUGUUUUACGAACAUGAGAAGUUCCGCUGCUGUCUUAAGAUGAAACUUCGCCUUAUCAUCCUUAGGAACAGAUGAAUCCACUUCCUUUCCCUUAGUAAACUCGAUGUUUCCAAUAUGAAGAAUUGCAGCAACCACCCUGAAAAUUGCUUCCUGUUGAUAUAGAUAAAGGGAGAAGCUCACCGUCAAUAUAAAACUGCAGAAAACAAAAUUUACAUUCAAUAGCUGCUUACACAAACUGACCUGUUCCUUUUCGCUAAUUCCGACAAUAUCCAUAGCUCUCCUUGUGGCAAGAUAAUCAUGAGCAUCGCUUAUACCGACAAGCUCGUAGCACUUAGACUGGUUCAGAUAAUGAAAGGUCUUUGGAUGGCCUAGCUUGUACUUUUCAAUUUCCUGCUCAGUUCUCUUAAGUUAUGCGGCGAGUUCUUUAUAUUUUAAAAGAGUUGCAGGUGAGGUUACCUCCUGGGGUGCUGCACAAAGAAGAUAGAAGCAGUGGUAAUUGCGCUCCGGAUCAGAGAUUUGACACACACGAGACCUCUCUAGAAGAUAGGUCCUUAUGGCAGCUCCAGAUAUUCUUCCUUGCUUAUCAAAUUGAAUUUCAACAAAUUUACCAAAGCGACUGAGACAAAGCAUAUUAAACAAUCAGCUGAAUCACCAACAAUGAGUAUAGAUAGAGUGGCCACUGUUAUGAGUAGAUUUUGGCUUACCUUGAGUUGUUAUUCCUCACAGUUUUUGCAUUACCAAAGGCUUCAAGGACAGGAUUUGACUGGACGCAGAUAUAACAAACAAGUUAGUGGAUUGAGCUCAUAUAUAAAAUCAUAAAGAUAGCAAAAUCAUUACUUCAAGAACUUGUUGCUCAACAGUCCUUCCUUCUGUAACUGCUCGACCUCCUAAAUACGCAAGGUAUCUCAUAAGCAUCUUAGUGGUUUCAGUUUUUCCAGCUCCGCUCUCACCACUUACAAGAAUCGAAUUGCUCUUCCCUUCAUUAAUCAUGGCCCUGAGAGUAUACAGGUAAAGGGCGCCUUAGGCUGACAACAUAUACGUGGAUCAUAAUACAUAUAUAGACAAGUAUUAAAAUCACCUGUAUGCAACAUCAGCGACAGCAAAAACAUGAGGAUUUAGUUCUCCAAAAGGUGCUCCUUUGUAUUGUUGCAUCAUAUGGGCAUCGUAGAUGUGAGGCAACCGUUGAAAAGGAUUAAUGGCUAUAAGGAUGUUUCCUGUGUAUGUCUGUCAUGAACAAAUAGAUUCUAAGUCAAGACAUUAAACAAUCAAAAGGUCUAAAGCAUAUUUGUAAGUAAGAAAAUAAGUACUAACAUAGAUAGGAAAUAGGUACUAACAUAGAUCUCAUUAAGUUCAUAUCUGAUCUUUAAGUUCUGAAGGACACCAGGUUCGUGCAGGUAAGACAGCUUUGUCAUGUCAUCAACACCACCUGCAGGAGCUUCCACAUCCUUUGGGUAUAUCUUUGACAACUUUGCAGUGAUCUAUAUAAUAUAAAACAGUUAUGGGAUAUUACUAUAGGUGACAAGUUGAAAUGUUAACAGUUUUUAUGAUUGACUUGCCGUCUUUCCAGUUGUGGCUUGGAUCACAACUUCUUGUCCAGUGAGUUUUUCAACCUCACCAUCAAUCCAAGCCACGUCUGAGUCUUCAACCCAAACAUGAGAACCUACAAUAAUAUUUACUGGAGUUCCCUGCAGUUUACCAAAAACAUCACAAUAAUUCAAAAUGCUAAAGAAACAACAACAAUGUCAAUAUGAAUAGACAAAACCUAACAAUACUAAUAAUUUUAAGCUCCCUAAAACUGGACAAUCAAACUGCCUACAGUGAGCUAUGUAAGGGAGAGAGAUCUACAGGAAAGUAAGACGUUCACGUACCAUUGUUCAAUAUUGGUCAGUCGUUUCUUCUUCACAAUGAUGACAAGUGAAGGAGAUCCCCUUUUUGGGACAUUUUCCCACAGUAUAGUGACGUGUUACGCAAGAAACCUAUAGAAUCUGUAGAUUUCGAGACAAACAGACACACCGGAGAGGGAUUCGGACAAAACGAUUACAGUUUCCGACAAAACAAAAUCAAAUCACCGAUAUAUUACCACAAUCUAAAGACGUUCAGAGGAAUAAGAUCACCACCACAGAGAACAAAAAAAAAUGAUGGGAUCCACCAUAAACUGAAAUAGAACAAUGAAACUGGGAGGAAGCGAGAUCGGAAAAAAAUAAGGAGAGAAGAAGAAAAGAAGCGAAGGAGCGACUGUAGGAAUGAGUAAACAAAAAAAAAAUAAGAGAGAGAGAGAGAGAGUGUGACAUUGUUGUUCAUCCUUCGACUUCGGUGGGUUUCUUCUUUGAUCCCCGUGGAAUUCGCGCCAAUUCGUGGCCCCUAAUCACUCACUGUCUCUCGCACUCCACGUACACUCUCUCCUUCAAGAGUAUCUAUUAACUCUCGCAACCCCCAAGUCUCUCAAGAUAUCAUUUUCGUCCCAGAAUCACUAAUUGUGAUUAUAUAAUCCAAAAUUAGAAGAACAAUUCAAACCAAUAUCCAAUUAACUCCAUAGUUUACUGGAUAUUACUUUUCUGUUUGGACUAAAAUAGACACGUUUGAUUAGUAACACAAGUUGAUAUCAAUAAGAAAAAAUUAGUGGUGAACAAACAAUAUUACUAAAUUUUUAUAAUCGAACCGUAUAUUGGAAUUGAUGGAAAAGCUUUGGGCUCUGAGCGAUAAGCGUCCAUUGUGGGGAAACAAUAACAUAGGAGACCAAGUUUAUAACCCGAUACUAUAAGCACUUUUUACCUAUAACAAAUACACCAAAACAUAUAAUGACUUCAUUUACAUUCCUCAAAUCUAAGACUUUCGAGGAGGCAUGGUAGCAUGACUAACCGUGUUUCAUAUAUUCCCUAGUGUGAUGAAGUACGCACGAGCCGGUUCAAAGAAGGCUUCAGGACUUCCGUCAGCUGAGAAAACGAAUACAUUUUAUCACACACUGCGAAGAUUCUCUUAUUAGUGUUUAGAGUUUCUUUUCAUGACUUACGUUUGCCAACAUUCCAAGAUGAUCGAUCCUUCCCACCACACCACAGGAUCAAGUUCCUUUGGGAUCUCAAAGACGGGCGAUUCUGGAAACCAACUCCUCCUACUACUUGCAUUGGGUUCAUUCCUCCAGCCUCUGUACCAGCACGUCAACACUGCUGGAAGGAAGGACAAUCCAGCGCAAUGCAUCGUGCAAUUUGAAGAAACUCAUCCAGGGAAGGAUCAUUCACAACUAGAGCUUCAAAUCCACGGGUUCCAUCAUCAUUGCUUUCAAGAUCUUCGAGUGAUAGCAUUGGCAAAUCCACCUGCAAAUAGUCAAGCACACCAUUAUUCGUAGCCAAAAGUAUAAUACACAAGAUACUACUAAUGUUACAAAUCAUAUGUGAAUCCAAUCCACAAGAAAUGCUAAGUUGGGCAGUUACAGAUUCAAAUACUCGCCUAGCUAGCUACGGACUCUGAUCACAGCUCCAAUUCAUUAUGAGCAAGACUCGAUAAGCAGCAGGUUUGAGUGUGUGACGUCAGCAAUUCCCUAGAGAAGAAGAAGAAGAAGAAGUGAAUGCUUACCCAGCAGUACUGUCUCCGAAUGAAUCUCUCCAGUUGACGACGGCUUCCCAAGCUCAGAAGCGUCGCCGCUCGGAUCUGAUGCUUCUUCUUCUCCGGAUCAGAACGGUUCGUAGCAGAAACUGGAGCUGGAGAGGUUACCGAAGAGGGGGAACUCCGCGACGGAAGAAGGGGUUGCUUUGAUCCGAUGGCGGAACUGCAUCGUAGGUGGCGAUUGGGAGUGAAGAGAAACAACGACGGCAACUUUGCCGCCGGCGAGGAGGAAAAAAGAAGUUUGCUGGAUUUACGACUACGCCACUGUUGACCUUUUGACUUUUAUUAAAUGAAAGAUGAAGCGAAAGGGAAAAUGUUACACGUCACCAAAGGCCGGCCCCACACGCGGGAAACUUUCAAGUUGUUUUUAGCAAAGUCCCUGAAGUCUAAAUUUUAUUACACAGAAGCCCCUUAAGUAUUGUUAGAAACGAUUGACCCCACCCAGGUAAUGCAAUGCUAAAGUACCUACCAAGAAAUUAAAUUGGGAUGUAUCAUCUAUUUCCAACUUACAAUCAAUUGUUAACAACUAAAUUGCUUCAAAAAAAAAUUUAUAUCUUACAGUUUCAUCCAAAUCUCUAAUGUAAAAAAUUUAUAUUUUACACUCAUUUUUAGAGAUUGAUGACUAUUUUCCAUUAAUCUCUACAUCUCUAUUUAUUCAUGUUAUUGAGAUAUCUACACAUCAACCAAAGUAACAGACUCCAAUACAGCAUUCGCUUAUGUAACAAGAUUUCAAUGUACUUACUAAAAAAUAUAAUCCGAAAAGAGAAAACAAAUUAAUACUAAUACAACUACGUACAACUCUCAAAGUUCUGGCUCUCUUUGUAUGGAAUGGUUCUUUUUUUUUCUUUUCUUUUUUAACACAGUAUGGAAUGGUUCAGCCAACUAUUAUUCAAUGUAAUUGUUUAUUUUUAUUACCGGGAAGAAUCAGAGGAAGUAUCGUGAAGAGAAAUUGUUUAUUAAGAUUAAUAUAGUAUUUUGAUUACUACUUAGUAUUACAAAAUAAAUUAAUAAUUUAUUUACCCUUGAAGUCUAACGAUUAAAAAUAGAACAUAAUUCAAUAUAGAUAUAUGAUUCUAUUAAUAAAUUAGCAGUUACAAAUUUGAAAUUUCUAAAAAUAUUAAAAGUUGUAUGUUAGUUAAUUAUCUUCUAAAUGACAUCUAUUUCUAAUUCUUUUUGGAUGAGAAUAUUUUGGCUCAGGUGGAUAGUCCCAAAAGCCUUGAAUUUAGUCUCUUUUAUAUAGUAGGAUUCUUUACUUUUCUCGAUUAUUUUCUCUUUAUUUAUAACUACAAUAUAAAGUUAUAAACUAUAUAUAUUAUAAAUUAAUAAUUUAUUUACCCUUGAAGUCUAACGAUUAAAAAUAGAACAUAAUUCAAUAUAGAUAUAUGAUUCUAUUAAUAAAUUAGCAGUUACAAAUUUGAAAUUUCUAAAAAUAUUAAAAGUUGUAUGUUAGUUAAUUAUCUUCUAAAUGACAUCUAUUUCUAAUUCUUUUUGGAUGAGAAUAUUUUGGCUCAGGUGGAUAGUCCCAAAAGCCUUGAAUUUAGUCUCUUUUAUAUAGUAGGAUUCUUUACUUUUCUCGAUUAUUUUCUCUUUAUUUAUAACUACAAUAUAAAGUUAUAAACUAUAUAUAUUAUAAAUUAAUAAUUUAUUUACCCUUGAAGUCUAACGAUUAAAAAUAGAACAUAAUUCAAUAUAGAUAUAUGAUUCUAUUAAUAAAUUAGCAGUUACAAAUUUGAAAUUUCUAAAAAUAUUAAAAGUUGUAUGUUAGUUAAUUAUCUUCUAAAUGACAUCUAUUUCUAAUUCUUUUUGGAUGAGAAUAUUUUGGCUCAGGUGGAUAGUCCCAAAAGCCUUGAAUUUAGUCUCUUUUAUAUAGUAGGAUUCUUUACUUUUCUCGAUUAUUUUCUCUUUAUUUAUAACUACAAUAUAAAGUUAUAAACUAUAUAUAUUAUAAAUUAAUAAUUUAUUUACCCUUGAAGUCUAACGAUUAAAAAUAGAACAUAAUUCAAUAUAGAUAUAUGAUUCUAUUAAUAAAUUAGCAGUUACAAAUUUGAAAUUUCUAAAAAUAUUAAAAGUUGUAUGUUAGUUAAUUAUCUUCUAAAUGACAUCUAUUUCUAAUUCUUUUUGGAUGAGAAUAUUUUGGCUCAGGUGGAUAGUCCCAAAAGCCUUGAAUUUAGUCUCUUUUAUAUAGUAGGAUUCUUUACUUUUCUCGAUUAUUUUCUCUUUAUUUAUAACUACAAUAUAAAGUUAUAAACUAUAUAUAUUAUAAAUUAAUAAUUUAUUUACCCUUGAAGUCUAACGAUUAAAAAUAGAACAUAAUUCAAUAUAGAUAUAUGAUUCUAUUAAUAAAUUAGCAGUUACAAAUUUAAAAUUUCUAGAAAUAUUAAAAGUUGUAUGUUAGUUAAUUAUCUUCUAAAUGACAUCUAUUUCUAAUUCUUUUUGGAUGAGAAUAUUUUGGCUGAGGUGGAUAGUCCCAAAAGCCUUGAAUUUAGUCCCUUUUAUAUAGUAGGAUAUAAGUUUGGAUAAAGGCUUCUCCUCGUAACGUUAGUUUACAAAACAGUAGUUGUAAGGUUCAGAUUUCACUUGUUGACAAGCUAAAAAAUAUUAAAUAAACAAAAAUCGUUACAUCGGAUUCCUCCGUCAGACAACUCAUCUUUUCAUAAUAUAUUCACCUGCGAUCUUCCUCUCCUGCAUGCAACCGGCGGAUACUUUUGAUCUAUAUAGGCACUGAUAGAAUAAAUAAAUAUUCUGUUUAAUAUUAUUUCAUUAUUAUUAGGCUUAUAUUGGGCCUUCACAGCUCAAACACAUACUGGGCCAAAAGAACGCCUUCAGUUUCGUGGCCUGCUGCUAAUCAACGAUUUUGGAACUCCAGUUUGAAUUUCACAGCAUGAAAGAGAACGCCUUUUUGGUUUUAUUUCUUUUAAAUAAAUUUAUUCGUUUUUUCCACAUGUUAUUUGCUAAUUUGAGUUUCUUUUCUUGUUUUCCACUGAUAUGGAUGAUGAUUUGGAUUCACCACUAAUACAUGUUGGUCUAAGAGAUUUUAUACAAACACUAAUACACCUGAAUUAUUCUCCAAAAAAUUGGAUGAUUUAGGAUUCCAAAAACCGUAGAGGCUUUAAGAUGUAAAUACAUCAUGUGUUAAGUUGUUGAUCUUAUCAUUGCCUUUAACGUAUAUACUUGUUGGAGAAUGAUUUCAUUCCUUGAUAUUUUAGCUCACAUUUGGAUCAUAGAUGUUACCAAGUACAAAAAUUGGACAUAAAUAAUGAUUGUAUUAAUCAGCUCGCCAACAAAAAUAGGCCACAGUUUUUAUAGGUAAGAUGUCACUAGUAUUAGAUAAGCACCACAAUUUAUAAACACCUAAAAGACGCCUAAUUAAGCAUUAACAAUUUCUUUUUAGAAGCCAAAGCCUUCUUCAAUCCAUCAAUCACUUUGGAUACUCAUUGUUCUCGUUUGUUUUUGCUAUAUGAUUUGUUUAGGAAUUCAUCGAACAUUAUCUAUUGGGCACCUCCAUUGUUUUGGUCAGCGCCAUAAGAGUUAUCCGCAAGUGGGAAAAUCAAUACAGUUCAUUAUCCAUUUGGUAUCAAUCCUCCAAUGUUUAUCUAGAGAUGUUUGACACUUGUAAAACGACGAAAUCAGUGAAGUAUUGCUAUGAAAGUAUGAUAGUUAGGGCUUUAUCACAUAUUGUUAAAGUGGGAAUCCCAGAUGAGUGCCCAAAAGAUUGUGUCUUUGACUGUUGUAAGAAUCUUCCAACUUCACAAACAGAGACCAAAAUAAUUAUUUUCGCAUCUUCAACCGAUUAAGGCUUUAACACACUUGCACAUACAUACCAUUGGUGCCUCUAUGAUCAUUUUCUCUGAUUUUUUGGAACCUACUGAGUUAAAGUUACAUAAAACAUUCUACUAGUUAUCAAUAUGCAUUGAUUGUUGGAACCUUUUAUAUAAACAUAUUUACUUGUUUGCAGGAUAUUUACUAUGGCCCCAAAAAAUCAGUUUUCGUGGGGUAUCAUUCAGUAGAUAUUGUGGCUAUAGAGAUAUUUAAGGGACAACUUGUAGCACCUUGCAAGAUGAGCAACGACACUAAGAUUGUCAAUCAAGGAUAUGUUCGAGUAUCUUUGGGAGUUACAUGCCAUUCUUUUGUGAUUAUGCUCAGGCUGUUCAUCCUACACUUAGGUCACAUCAUCUCCUUUCUGAUUUUUGUUGCGUCAUAUGGAUGAGGCUCAAAGAGGAAACCUCAAGCGGAAACUGAAUCAAGAUCAUGACUCAGAAACAACAAAAAAAGCGUCGUCAUGCGUAAAUAUCAAUAAAUGGAUAUGUUGCAUAUAUUUAACAAAAUUCUGAGAUUCAUCAUAAUCACAAAAGAUGGGUAUGUACAUAACUCCCAAAGAUACUCGAACAUAUCAUUGAUUAGCAACCUUAAUGAUGUUUUUCAUCACGAAUAUGUGACCGGAUUUAGUUUCUAGUUUGGUUCACAUUUACUAAAAAAGUUUGAGCAUUUGCUCUCGUUUUGUUUUGUCUUUGUUGACAUGUGAUUUAUUUAUUUUUAUCUUUAUAGUGCAAUUAGAUUUAUUCGCUUUUUAUCACAUGUUAUUUGCUAAAUUGAGUUUUUUUUCUUCUUUUUCCAUUAAUAUGGAUGAUGAUUUGGAUUCACCACCAAGACAUGUUGGUCUAAGAGAUUCUGAAACCAAAGACAUUGUUCGAAAUACAACAAAAUAUAUUAAAUUGGAUGAAUUGGGAUUCCAAAAAACGUAGAAGCAACAUAAAUACAUCAUGUGUUGAGUUUUUGGAUCUUAUCAUUGCCUUAAAACGUAUAUGUUUGUUGGAGGAUGAUUUCAUUCAUUGAUACUUAGCUCACAUUUGUAUCAUAGAUGUUAGACAAAUAUUUACAAAAAUAGGACAUAGGUAAUGAUUGUGUAAUGGAUACAAAAGCAUAAGUUAGAUUUUUUCUACUUAGUGACAAAAAAAUGGGGGAUAUUUCUCAAACAAUAUAAAACAUUUAUGUCACAUGUUUGGAAGUUUUUAAAAUAAGAUGAUUUCAUUGUUUAUAAACGCUGAAAAACAUCAAUUUGGCCUAUACUUUCCCUUUAAUACUAAGGAAAUUUGACUGUUUAAGUUUUUUGUAAGAUUGGAUUUACUUUCUUAGUUUAGCUUGACUUACUAAGAACUCAUAACAUUAGUUGACAUGUGUUUCAAUUUCUGAUCAUAAUACACCUAUACUUACUAGUUGUUUGUCAUGUGUGUUUCUAAGUCAAUCUUUUUGUUUUUGUUUUCAAAGAUAUGUAUAACAUGGAUGAUGAUAUGGAUAUGAUUCACCAUUAAGACCUCUUGGUAUACAAGAUCUUCCCAAAAAAACUUUCUUGCACAUGAAGCAAUAUAAUUUUUCCAAGAAGUUCGUGAAUCAAGAAAAAUCUAAUUUGUAGCCAUGGGAAAUAAUGAGUUAGUCGAUGUCGCAUCUUUUUAACAAUAUUGGGUAAUUCCUCCUCUCUUUUGUUUCAUAUAUGAACUUGGAAAUUCUUCAUUGCAAUCUAAUCUAGAUGAUUAUGAGAUCACAACUCUACAUAAAAUGAAGAAAAAGAAAGAAAAGAGAAAGAGAAAGAAAGGAGAAGAAGAAGAAGAAAUUGAGAAGGUGGUUUAUCAUGCAACAUGUUGAUUAAAGGUAUCAAAGUAGUUGUUUACCUCUAACCAAUUGUAAUGAUGAAAGGUUUUAAUUCUUGAGAUCCAAGGCCAGCUAUUAAUCGCUCUUUCUUAAUUAAGUUGCUCCUACACGUUUUGUUUUUUAAGAAGAUUGAAUUGUUGCAUCAAGCUCCUCCGUUCGUUGACCACUCUGCGAUGACUCAUCUCCUUCGUAUAUUCUCUACCACCGACUCCUAUUCCUCUUAGCUUAUCGUCAAAAGAUUUUGGUUCGAAGUUUUGACGAACUUUAGCGGCUGGUGCUUUUUGAUCGGAUUAUAUGUGUAAACCGGAAAGUUUGGAUUAUAGGUAUUUGUUCAUUAAUUGGAAUAGGAAACAUAGAAAACGAUGCUAAAAAAAUAAUAUAGGGAACAUUAACAUAUUUUAUUGAGAAAGGUCAAAGGAGAACUGGUCUACAUAAUUUUUCAUAGAAAACCUUAUAGGCCUAAUUGGUUACGUGACCAUCCGUCUAACCUUUCAUGUGUUCUUAUAAUUUUUCAUAGAAAACCUUAUAGGCCUAAUUGGUUACGUGACCAUCCGUCUAAUCUUUCAUGUGUUCUUAGUUUUCACAAACGAGAUUAUUUUCUCCCUUUCUGAUAUACCAAGUUAAUCAAUCUUUCUUUGACAAAAUAAACUAACCUCACUUUUACAAAUGUUUUGAAGAAUAGUAGUAUUACUUUUAGUGUAUCUUAUCAUGGCAUGAUGUCAAAUUCGUUUAGAUAAAUCCUCUCACUCCUAUUUAAUGCACACAUACUAUCACAAAAUUGGUUAUUAAUGCAUACCAAAGUCAACUUAUUCUAUAUAUGAUGCAAAUAUAAUACUAGUAAAUUAACUUAAUUGUAAGUACAAGCGUAAAAGGCGACCAAAAAGCACAAAAUACAUACUAUCAUCACUAAUUAAUAGUUAAAUAUAUCGGAUACACAUCUUCAAAACGUAUUAAAUUAUUAAAUAGUUCAUCAAUUCGCCCGCGAAGAGUGGAGGCUGCGGUUUUUGUGUGUCUGAUGCCACCUAGGAUUAGAUAACCGCCAUAGUUUAUGGACUCCUAAGCGACGCCUAAAGAUUCGAGAUCCCUUCUUAGAAUACUUUUUAGAAGGAAUCUCAGAAGCCGAACCCGUUUCAUCUUCAUUCCAGCAAUCACCUUGGAUACUCAAUAUUCCCUUAGUCUCAUUGACGACUCGUCUAACAACAGCUUUGCAAAGACAAGGCUCACCAAUCCGAAGAGACUUGACCAAGUCUUUAUAAGUUAUGUAAAUGACAACAGCUUUAGACUUGAGACUUGGGGGCUCCUUAUCAUCAAGAGAUUCUAUGGCUACUUGAACAAUCUCUAACUCAAACUUGGAGAGAUCUCUCUACAACAACAAGAGUCUCAUGUGUUAAUUAUAUUAUCACCAAUAAUACCUGACAAGCAAGAAAACUUACAGCUCUAAUACGUCUAUGGGAAGUACAAAUUGCAAGUUCCACGUACAAAGAAAUCCAAUCACUGCAUCGCAACUCAGAUUCAUUCAACUGUAAAGGCAAAUAAAACAUAUAUUAGUACUAGGCAAAAGAAAAACUGACGCAUGCAAGUGACCACAAGUGAGUGUCUUAAUAAAAUUAUGUUACCACAUAAAAACGUUUUGUGUCACUGAAAGCAAUAUCUGAGGAGGGCCAUGCAAUCUCUGAGGAGGGCCAAUCAAGCAAUCUGUUUUUGUAGGAAGUAGACACUCGCUGGCGAUGUGGACGUAAGAAAGGCGUCUCCUUCUUUGAACUCUCGGUCACUAUGCAAAAUGUUAUAUAGUCAGCAAGUGUGAGAUGUAAAUUAAUUGAUUAAUACAUCAAAUCUUUACCUUGAGGUCUAGAAUGACGGCACGUCAAAUCUAAAAUUCCAAGACGUUCUUCCUCGACUACAACCUGAAAGUGAUGAUGGUAUCGUGUUUUUGAGAGCGUUUUUAUUUUUUUACUUUUUGAGAGCGUUUUUAUUUUUAAUUGAUUAAUACAUCAAAUCUUUACCUGUAGCUCCCAUCAAACAUUCCAGCAUCUCCUGCUAACUCGUUCAAAUUAAGUCAUAGGUGCAGAGAAAAUCAUCUCCAUGGGUGACUCAUGAACCCAUUGAAUCAUGCCUCUUAUCUCUCAUACUAUCAUACUUGGAAGAAGCAGCAAGACUAUUACUCUAGUGCUCAAUGUUAGAUUUAGGACUAGAUAGAGAAACUAAAACCAAGAAUAAAGUCUUGUCUCUCUUCAUAAUCUCCUCUCUAGUUAUAAUGCACACGUACAUACUAUCAUAAAAUUGGUUAAUGCAUACACCAAAGUCAACUUACUCUAUAGAUGAUGCUAAUAAAAAAUAGUAAAUUAACCUGAUUGCAUUAGGGACAAGUACACGCUUAAAAAAAAGAGACCAAAAGCACAAAGUACAUAAUCAUCACUAAUAAUAAUAGUUAAAAACUAUUACAUCCGAUACACAUCUUCAAAUGUCUUAAAUAAAUACCAAAAAAAUACACAAUACAUAAGCAUCACAAAUUAAUAGUUAAAUAAUACCAUCCGAUACACAUCUUCAAAUGUCUUUUUUUUUUUUGAAACUCGUAAUAAAUUGAUUAGCAAUGUUUAGUUGGGGCCAUUAAAGGCACCCUCAACAAGCAAGAGACCAGAUGCAUUAAUAGCGUUCUUGGCCAAUAAAUCAGCAAUGGUGUUCCUCUCUCGAGGGAUCCAUACGAACGCAACAAAUUCAAAAGAUAGAGAUAACGUAAGAAUGUCUGCAACAACGCCAUGUAGCUCCGCAACCCUCGCUCCUGCGUUUAUAAUCGAGACCAGUUGAGCAGAAUCCGACUCAAACUUGACCUUCUUCAGCUCCAUUCUUUUGCAGGUGGCGACCGCUUCCCGCAAAGCUAGGGCUUCAGCCAUAAGAGCAGACCCAACAUGUGCUGCGCGAUCUUUGAAGGAUUGAUUUCCCUCCCGUAGCAAUUGAACCCAUCCCAACCCUGCAACCAAAAGGUUAGAGUUCCAAGCAGCAUCGGUCCUUACCACCGUCGCGUCCAUAGGGCAUGUGAGCUCAGGUUUUUUCCCUCGCUUCCGCGGUGGGUCAUCUCGCUUUUGAUUCUCGCUCCAUUCUCGCGCAGCUCGAAUUGCAGCUAAAAGUGUAUCUUCAGGAGAUACUGAGAAGCCUUCAAAGACUAGUCUGUUCCUCGACUUCCAUAGCAUCCAGAGUAUCCAUAAGGUCAGAGAGCCUGACGAGAUUCCAGUAGGUGGGAGGCAGUGCAGUGAAAUCAGAGAGCUCCAAGAAGCAAUCAAAUCUACCAUUCCACUACAUUCCACAUCAGCCACAAGAGGUGCUAACCUCCAGACUUUCCGAGCGAACGGACAGUGAAAGAAUAGAUGAGUGAUAGAUUCGAUGCAUCCGCAUCUUUUACAUUUUGGGUCGAUAUCAAUAUGCCUGUCAACCAGUCUUUCUCCGACCGGUAGCGCACCCUUCAGGAUCUUCCAAGCAAAGAGUUUGAGUUUAGGUGCAGUGUCGACGUUCCAUACGCAUUUCUUCCAGUUGAAGUCAGGUCCUGCGAACUCGUUAUCUUGGUGGUCUUCGUCCUCCACAGCAGCAUAAUACCCAGACUUUGUAGCAUACUCACCAGACUUUGUUCCUAGCCACAUCAGUUUAUCCGGAGCCCCGGUGGUACUAUGUUUAAUGCUGAGUAUCAGAUCUUCAUACUCAGGGAGGAUGAGUCUAAUCCUCUGAAGGUCCCACAGGCGUCCUCCUGGUAGCAUAAGGUCAGCAACCACCAUCUCAACAUGCUGUUCAUUCGGAGGCCCCAUUGGCCUCAGUUGCGUGCUCAUAGAAAGCCACGGAUCUCGCCAUAUAUUAAUGGAUUUCCCAUCUCCUACUGCCCAUCCUAUCUUCUUUAGUAAAAGAUCACGCCCCACCAAAACACUCCGCCAACCAUGAGACAUAACUGAGGGAGGGGAAGCUUCCAGGAAGUUGUUUUCCGGGCAGUAUUUGCCAAAUAAGGUCUUGCCGAGUAAGCUCUCCGGGUUUUCUAGCAAUCUCCAUCCUAUUUUGGCCAGCAGGGCAUCAUUAAAUUUCUGAAAAUCCCGGAUGCCCAGCCCACCUGAGGCUUUUGGCUUUGAUAUCCUUUCCCAAGAGACCCAAGCCAUCUUCUUUUUCUCCUCAUUAUCGUCCCACCAGAACCGAGUAACUACAGAUUGAAUUCUCUUGCAAAGCGAGAUAGGUAACUUGAAGCUAGACAUAGCAAAAGAGGGCGUUGGAGAUAGUACACUUUGCAGCAUAACAAGCUUACCCGCAGAGGAGAGGAACUUGGUAGACCAUCCUCUAGCUUUUUGUUGGAUCCGGUCUAUGAUAGAGGCGAAUAGGUCUCGCUUACGUCGUCCAAAUUGCUCGGGAAGCCCCAAAUACUUGCCCAUACCCCCAUCCUUUUGUAUUUUCAGUUCGUUCUUCACCAUCUCCUUCAGCUCAGCAGGGGCUUUAUUUGAAAACGUGAUGCUCGAUUUGUCCACAUUAAUCGACUGGCCUGAAGCUUCUUCAUAUUUUCGCAAGAUAUCAUUGAGCGUUUUGCAGUUUCCCUUAUUGGCAUGUAGGAAGAACAUUGUAUCAUCCGCGAACAAGAGAUGAGAGAUGCGAGGACAUCCCCUAGCCACCUGGAGGCCGUUAAGAUCUCCAUUUUCUUGCGCUUUGUUACAUAAUCCCGAGAGGACUUCACUACACAUUAUAAAUAUGUAGGGAGAAAGAGGGUCGCCUUGGCGGAUUCCUCUGCUCGGUACUACCUUCCCUCUAGGCAAGCCGUUAAUGAGGAAGGAGUAUGUAACUGUCGAGAUACAUUGCAUGAUUGCUCGAAUCCAAUCUCGGUGGAAUCCCAACCGAGAGAGAACUAACGCCACAAAGUCCCACUCGAGACGAUCGUAGGCCUUACUCAUAUCUGUUUUAACCGCCAUCGCACAUCUCUGUUCCGCUUUAGAUGUUUUUAGAAAAUGAAGUACCUCAUGAGUGAUAAGGAUAUUAUCACCAAUUGCUCGUCCUGGGACGAAGGCCGACUGGUUUUCGGAGAUAAGUCUAUCCGUGUGGGGUUGUAGCCUGCGGGUGAGAAUCUUUGAGUAGAUUUUGUAAUAGACAUUACACAGUGCGAUGGGCCUAUAAUAGACAUCUUCAAAUGUCUUAAGUUACUAAAUAGGCAAUCAACUUGUGGGGAAGAUUGGAGGCCAUGGUUUUUGUACAUUUGAUACCACCUAGGACUAGACAACCUCCACAGCUUAUGAACUCCUAAGCGACACCUAAGCAUUCGGGAUCUCUUUUUAGAAGGCACCGAAGCCAUUGCUGCUUCUUCAAUCCAACAAUCACCUUGGAUGCUCAAUAUUCCGGUAGCCUCGUUGAUGACUCGUCUUACAACAUCUUGGCAGUGAUAAGGCUCACCAGUCCUAGCCUUGGCCAAGUCCUUGUAUGCUAUGUAAAUGACUACAGCUUUAGACUUGAGACUUGGGGGCUCCUUAUCAUCGAGAGAUUCUAUGGCCACUUGGACAAUCUCCAAAAAGUUGGAGAGAUCCUUCUGCAUCAACAAGAUUUUGCAUUAUCACCAUGUAUGUUAUUGAUACGCAAAGUGGGAGAACACAAAACUUACAGCUUUAAACCACCUUUGGGAAGUACAGAUUGCAAGUUCCACAUACAAAAAAAUCCAAUCACAUUGCAACUCAGAUUCAUUUAACUGCCAAAAAAAUAUAUAUAUAUUAGUAAUUUAGUACUAUGCCAAAAGCAAAACAGAUGCAUGCAAGCGGACCACAACAAGAAUAUAUUACCAUGUAAAAACACUUUGUGUCAAUAAAACCAAUCUCAGAGGAGGGCCAUGGAAUUAUUGACGAGGGCCAAUCAUCCAAUCUGUCUUGGUAAGUAGAGAACACUGGCUCGGAAUGUGGACGUAAGAAAGGAGUUGACUCCUUCCUUGAACUCUCGGUCCCUAUGCAAUAUGUCAACUAUAGUUAGCAAAAGUAGUGAAAUUGAUUAAAGUAUCAACAAAGCAACCUUUACCUUGAGGUCUAGAGAUGGGGCAUGUCAAAUCUAAAAUGCCAAGACGUUCUUCCUCUACGAGAACUUGAAAGAUCUGCUGCAAACCGCUAGAUGGAAGGCACGCAACCAAGGUUAUGUAGUAAGGAGAUGCAGCACUACGAAUGUUGAAUUUCAAUAAGCUAUCUAGCUCAAAGUUUGUCCCCUACAACAGAUUAGAAACAAAUGAAACCCUUUAAAACUAUCCUCGAGCUACAUUAAAAGCAACAUACUAGUUUAGUUUGUUGUUUGUUUAUACCUCUAACCAGUUUUAGCGAUGAAGGCCGAGCUUGGCAUAAAGCUUCACCAAGGCACUGUUAGGGUAUGCACGCCCUCCACUACAUUCCACAUGUAUCAGGCCAUAGCCACCACGUCUUGGUGGAAACUCGUCGGGGGACUUGAAAAACUAAAACUAACAAUAGCCACAUCAGAAAACAAUCAAUCAGUGACAAAGGGCUUUAAGUUUCGUAAAGUCAUCUCCAGAAAAGAAAAAAUCACAAUCAUAGAUAACAAUUUGAAAAACAUCAACUACUAAUUUUUUGAUUAAGAAGGAAGUAAUACUUACAUCCAGCUCCUCCAUUCGUCUAGUAUAUUCUCCAGCGACGACUCGUCUUCCUCAAGUCGGAAGGUUGGUGGGUACAAUGCGGCUAGCUGCGGAAACUGAAAAGUAUUAAUUAAAUGUAUUUAUUUGUGGGAAUAGGAAAUAUAUAGAACAUUUAUUUUUUGAGCAAUGAUGAUUGGUCUACGCAACUUUACAUAUAUAAUCUGCCUUUUUUUGUAAAGUAAACUGUGAAACUGAGAUAUUUGUGUUUGGAAAAGACUAAAAUAUACACUUUGUAUUUGUAAAACUAUAGAAGAUGCUUCAAUUUGAUGGUAAACCAAAGUUUUUAUUUUAAUGCAGUGUCUGAAGUUCUAAACGAUGUCUUAGAUUCUGUACAAUGAACAACAAACCGAUAUUAAUGUUAGCUUUUGACGUGAACACCAACGCGACGAACAUGGCUAGCACAAAGGCUUUUAAUUCUUGAGAUCACGACCAGCUACUAAUCUCGUUUUCUUAAUUAACACGUUUUUUAUUUUAUCUAUGAUAAGCUGUUCUGAGCUUGAUUACAAUUCCGUCCUUAUUGAAUAAUAUUACCACUCUAUCUCUAUAUAUAGAUGAUUAGUGUCAGUGUUUUGUAUAUAUGCUCAUAUAGAUAUAUUAUAUACAGUGUAUCCAAUACUUUUAGGUUUAAUUGGUUGCGUAUACCAUCCUUCCAAUCAGAAAAGAAGGGAAUCGUAAUUUAGUGAGCUUAAUAGUAUCCAAAGUUAAACUCAUCGGACGUGAUUUAAUUCGUGGUCUUACAGGAUAACCACUGAUGCGAUAUCAUUCAUUCCAUACUACAAUCGUAGCAUUCUCCCUUCAGAUGAACGCUUAUGGGAAACUUUGUUCAUGUGGUCUUAGUUUUCACAUGCAUAUUCAAUUGGGAAAUUGCAUGCUAUAACACUAAAAAAAUCCAAAAUUCACUCCCUAACUAAAAUAACACUCUUUCACCUCUUUUCUUUUCCUAUCUCUUUCUACUUUCUUUCUACAAAAUUAAUUUUUUUUGGCUAUUUCACAAAUAAACUUUAUAAUUUCUACUUUCCAAACGAAAUUAUUUUCUCUCUUGUUGAGUAAAAAGCCACUUUCUCUUUGACGAUAAAAUAAUAUAAAACUAAUGUCUAUUUUCCGAAUAUGGUUGCAAGAAUAGUAUUACUUAGAGCAUGAUUAACCCAAGCUUUUAAUUUUGGAUUCUUAACUCAUGAUUUGACAUUUUUUUGCUUUUUUUCACUUUUCGGCUAAGAACCAGUUUUUAUAUAUCUUAUUUAAAAACAAUUUUUAAUUUUUCUUAGUUAAAAGUUAAGAAACAGUUCUUAUCCGCAGUUAAGAACCCUACCUUAAGAACAUGGGUUAAUCAUGGUUUUAGUGUAUCUUUUAGCAACGACAUGAUGCCAAAUUCAUUUAGACAAAACCCAAAGUUAAAUAUUGUUCAACGAAGCCUCCGGCGAUUUUUACUGGACAAUCUAAUAUUGUUAUAUGUUUUGUUGUUGUUUAUGUUAGUUGAUAGACAAAUGAAUCAUGCGACGCACGUUAAAACCGACAAAACAAGUUAGUUAUUUCUCGGGUUUUUUUUUCUUGAGUGCAUUGGUUACUGCUUGAUGAUUCAUACACCACGUGAUUGCUUUUUCAAGUUCUGACUUCCGGGGCUAUUAUAUUGUACCAACAUCUCUCAGCAAUUACAGACAGAAAAAAUUGUAUUAUUAUACGUAAUCGCUACUAUCCAAAAGAAGAUUCUUACAAAAAGAUAGCUUAUCAACCACCACGUAGUUGAUUCUUCGGCCGACCACAUGACUCAAUCUGUCAAACUGCUGAUCACCAGUCUUUACGGGUCCCGCUUCUAAGCAUUUGGCUUUGACGCGAUGUCAAAAGACAAUUAUACAACGGUACAAAAUUAUUUGUGGGACUCGUCUAUCAUUUUCGUCUUUAAUGAUAAUAUUUGUUUCUCGAAAUAUGUCGCAGUUGGGUUUCUUAUGAGAAUCUGACAGGUUUAAAGAGAAGUUAGGUUUGGUUUCAAUAAUUAUAAGUUCGAUUGUCUCUUCUUGCAUGUUUCUUUCAGAAUUAUUUCUCCUUCUUUAAUCGCAUUCUCAUUUAUUUGCAUUCAAACCGAAUUAAAAGCAUUUAAUUAAUAAUUGUACUCCCUAUAUUUGAUAGUAGUAUGUGAAUCAUGCGACGCACGUUAAAACCGACAAAACAAGUUAGUUAUUUCUCGGGUUUUUUUUUCUUGAGUGCAUUGGUUACUGCUUGAUGAUUCAUACACCACGUGAUUGCUUUUUCAAGUUCUGACUUCCGGGGCUAUUAUAUUGUACCAACAUCUCUCAGCAAUUACAGACAGAAAAAAUUGUAUUAUUAUACGUAAUCGCUACUAUCCAAAAGAAGAUUCUUACAAAAAGAUAGCUUAUCAACCACCACGUAGUUGAUUCUUCGGCCGACCACAUGACUCAAUCUGUCAAACUGCUGAUCACCAGUCUUUACGGGUCCCGCUUCUAAGCAUUUGGCUUUGACGCGAUGUCAAAAGACAAUUAUACAACGGUACAAAAUUAUUUGUGGGACUCGUCUAUCAUUUUCGUUUUUAAUGAUAAUAUUUGUUUCUCGAAAUAUGUCGCAGUUAGGUUUCUUAUGAGAAUCUGACAGGUUUCAAGAGAAGUUAGGUUUGGUUUCAAUAAUUAUAAGUUCGAUUGUCUCUUCUUGCAUGUUUCUUUCAGAAUUAUUUCUCCUUCUUUAAUCGCAUUCUCAUUUAUUUGCAUUCAAACCGAAUUAAAAGCAUUUAAUUAAUAAUUGUACUCCCUAUAUUUGAUAGUAGUAUGUUAUAUUCCACUGUUAUUUAACUUGAGAUGUGUUAGCGUUUUUUUCAUAUCUAAUUCAAUUAUAUUGAGUCAUUGACUUCUUAACUUUGGGUCUAACAAUAUUAAAUCAACUCCAUUGUGAUUUUACCCAAAAAGACCAUUAUUGUAAUCGGUCAAGGUAGUCGUAUUUAUAUUGUAUCUAAAUUACAAGUUGUCACAAAUUAUGGGUCCAUUCAAUACCCAUAAUAACGCCUCAAACGUCAUCGAUGAGAUAUCUAUCCACUCAACUAACCGUACCACAUGGGUAGGACCAGAGUGUUGAGUUGUCUUCUCCCCUCGUUAGUUUCUAUCAAGUUUUGUUUUCUUUCCAGCUCCAACUUUGUUUUAUUUCAUUAUUUUUAUAUGUUUUUGAUUUGUUUUGUACAACGGUACAAAAUUAUUUGUGGGACUCGUCUAUCAUUUUCGUCUUUAAUGAUAAUAUUUGUUUCUCGAAAUAUGUCGCAGUUAGGUUUCUUAUGAGAAUCUGACAGGUUUCAAGAGAAGUUAGGUUUGGUUUCAAUAAUUAUAAGUUCGAUUGUCUCUUCUUGCAUGUUUCUUUCAGAAUUAUUUCUCCUUCUUUAAUCGCAUUCUCAUUUAUUUGCAUUCAAACCGAAUUAAAAGCAUUUAAUUAAUAAUUGUACUCCCUAUAUUUGAUAGUAGUAUGUUAUAUUCCACUGUUAUUUAACUUGAGAUGUGUUAGCGUUUUUUUCAUAUCUAAUUCAAUUAUAUUGAGUCAUUGACUUCUUAACUUUGGGUCUAACAAUAUUAAAUCAACUCCAUUGUGAUUUUACCCAAAAAGACCAUUAUUGUAAUCGGUCAAGGUAGUCGUAUUUAUAUUGUAUCUAAAUUACAAGUUGUCACAAAUUAUGGGUCCAUUCAAUACCCAUAAUAACGCCUCAAACGUCAUCGAUGAGAUAUCUAUCCACUCAACUAACCGUACCACAUGGGUAGGACCAGAGUGUUGAGUUGUCUUCUCCCCUCGUUAGUUUCUAUCAAGUUUUGUUUUCUUUCCAGCUCCAACUUUGUUUUAUUUCAUUAUUUUUAUAUGUUUUUGAUUUGUUUUGUUUCAUUAUUAAUGCAAAAUUCAAAAGAGUGAUCGAAAGAUUCCGCUUCUUACGCAAGCUUUAACAAAAAUAAAUAAUCCGGUUUAGUGGGUUCAUUGCUAGACUCCACUAUAUGUAACUCCAACUAGAAAAUGCCACGCAUUUACGUGACAUAAGGUGUACAAUGACAAUGCCACAGUCGCCGGAAGUGAGCUUUAUUCCAUUAGUUAUUUAAAUUGGAGUUAGUGAUUUAUAAAUUAGUGUGUUUUGGUUUGAUACUGCAUGCUAAUAUAAUACCAUGUCAUUGGGCAUGCGAAGUAACACGCAAUAUGCAUGCAAUGCACCGCCAAAUUUCGAUUAGUUAUACUAGUUUUCUUCGUGCGUUGUUUGUCUUAUAGAACGUGGAAUUUGAUACGUUCAUAUUUAUUUCAUGAAUGUGAGAACAAAGAACAUAAUAAAGGAGAAAAUAAGAAUUAAUUAAAAACUGUAUAGUAUUUUCCACUCACGGGAAGAUUCAUAAGUGAUAAGUCAUGUCUAGAGUCCCCUUCGAAAAAAGGAAUAGAGAUGGCCGAUGGGUAUAAUCCAAGGCAUAUACUUAGGUUGGAAUAUUUUAUGGAGAUUGGAAUUUUCAUUACGGUUAUUUCUUUGAAAGAAUAUGCUUUAAUAAUAUGCUCGCACAAAUCAAAAAUCAUGUUUACCUUGUGUGUUUUGAAUUUUAAGAUUCCAAUAUAUAUAUAUUUUAGCCCGAGAAAGAAUAAGGUAAAGAGAUGAUAGGAACACUUGGACGUAUCUUUUUAAUCUAAACGUUGCAAAUGUUAGGACAAAAGUAGUUUUAGAUACGAGUCAUAUGACACUAGAGUUAUUUGGUUACCGUACAGGCGUGUACACCCUAGGUGCAUCAAUCAAAGACGUGAAAAAGUGAAAAGGUUGAUAGAUUUGUGUUUUUCUAAUAAAAAAGCUGAUAGAUAACGAAAAGUGGGCACAUACUAAUCGGUGGACUCUUACUAAAGCACGUUACACAAUCUAGAGAAAAUUUGCCAUGUCAAUAAAAAAACAAACAUAAGAAAUAAUAUCAAAAUGUCUUCGUUAGGUGUUGUUGUAAUCUAAACCCAUCUCCAAAAUUUCUCUAAAAUAAAUUAAACAAAAACUGGAUAAUUAUCAAAUAAAUUAUCAUAUGUACCAAGUUUUGGAUCAAAUGAGAAAAGCAAAAGCAUACAUAACUUAUUUAUUGAUAAAGCAAGGAAAAGAAGAGUACAACUCUGCUUUCUCUCAUCCUUUUACACACCUCAAAGGCAGAAAAUAAAACACUAAAAGGCGGAAAAAGAUAGUUAUCCUCUACACUACACUACCCUAAAGGACUUAAACAGCAAAAGCCAACAUUUCACAAAACGAAAGAAGAAAAAACUCAUUGCCAAACAUCACUCAGAAGAAGCCAGCCAGCUUGGAACUUGGCAGCAACCUCUUUUUUAUUUAUUUAGCUCCUUUUUUUUAUGCGUUCUUCCAGAAGAGCCUUUUACCAUGUGAGUAGGCAUAAUAUACAAAGCAAACCCACCCAUUUACAUGCCGACACACUCCCACACACAUGUUACUGUCAGACCUAGACCAAGACCAAGAAAAAGCGAUAAGCACUCUCAUUACUUAUUAAUACUACAUUAACUUAUUCUCCCCUCUUCACUUAUAUAUCCGAAUCUUUCUAGAUGAAUCUUUCCUCUGCUUCCCCUGCUCUUUGAAUCCAUGGAUGCCCUGCAAAAUUUAUUUAAAAAUUACAAAAUUAUUUACUUUUAACAAAACUUUUAUCGACUAAACAUCAAUAGACAGAUCUAAUGAAUGGUAAAAGAACAAGACUAAAACUUACUGAGAGCUUGUUCAGCUGAGAGUCUUCUAGAAGCAUCCUUACACAUCAACUUCCUCAAGAAGUCUUUAGCCAUCGACGACACACCUCUGAACACACUCGGCGGAAACCUCAAGUUUCCCCUAAGCACGGCUUCAAAAAUCUCCUCCGCCGUCUCCCCGUAAAACGGCGGAGCUCCGGCGAGCAUCGUGUAAAAAACAACACCCGCGCUCCAGAGAUCAACCUUCUCUCCGUACGAACAACCCAUCAGAACCUCCGGCGCCACGUAAUACGGCGUCCCCACCACACCUUCGGUGGUCUCUCCCUCACCCAACCAAGCCCCAGACCCGAAGUCACAGAUCUUCACCGCAUCGUUCCUAAGAUCAAGUAAAAUAUUCUCCGGUUUAAUGUCCCUGUGAACGACGCCGUACCGGUGGCAAUGCGAGAGCCCCUGGAGAAUCUGUUUCGCGAACGACGCCGUUUGGGACUCGGAGAAGGUCCCGGAGGAGACGAGGCGGUCGUAGACGGAGACGGAGGGGUCCACUAGCUCCAUGUAGAUGGAGAGGGUGGAGUCCGUGUCGACGAGGUCGUGGAUUUGGAUGAUGUUCGGGUGGUAAGACAAGAGAGCCAUGAGUUUGGGCUCGGUGUCGAUGCACGCGCGGUCGAGCGCGUCGGUGAGGGAGCUUUUAUCCAUGGUUUUGCAUGCGAAGAAAUCACCGGUGGCUGGCGCGUAGACGCGAGUGACGGUUCCGAAGCGUCCACGACCGAUCUCUUCGCAGAUCUGGUACUUGUUGUCGUUGUUGUUGUUGUUUUGGCUGCAAGUCAUAGUAUGUUUUGAGUUUUGUUGUUGUUGUGUUGUGUUGUGUUUAGUAAAAGAGGGAUCCAUUGAGUGAGAUGUCUCUGUCUUUAUAGGACAAAUUCUUAAAAGGUAUAUUCCAUUUGAUGCUUUUAUGUUUUUUUUUCCAGUCCCAUUGGAUAUUGGAUAUUGGAUAUUGGAUAUGCCAUUAACUUUAGUAGCCCAUAGGAUAUAUUGGAUUUGCUUUGGGUCGGAGAGUAAUUAUGAUUUUUAUUUUAUUUAUUUUUGGGGUCUAUAUUCAUUUAUUCAUUGGUUUGAUCAAUGGGGGUGUUAUUAGGAGGCUGAUUCACGAAGAGUUUAUGGAUUUAAAAAAUUUAUUGACUUUUGAAGAAUUGGAAAAUUUUCAAAGGAUUUUAACAAACAAAUGUAUCUAUAUUUAUAGAAUCCAUACAAUUUUCAUAGAUCGUCAUGGAUUCAUAAUUACAUUAAUUUUUGUUUAUGUAAAAUAAUUAUAUAAGAAUAAAUAAUGUAUUCGAGAUUGCAAUUAAUCUUGGUACUCCAAAUCCCUUAGACUAUAUUUGAGAAGUGAUUUGUAUAUGUGUCAUCACUACAUUAACUUUCACAAAAAAAUGAUGACAUGGCUUAAAAGAAAUAUGACAUGGCAUAAAUCUAAUUGUGACAUGUAAAAUUUACUAUAUUUAGAUUUAUGUUUUUGGUAAGAUUUCUUAAAUAUAAUAAUAAUAAUUUUCUAUAUACGGAUUUAUAUUUUUGGAAAUUUUUUAUAAUAUAGUAAUAACUAAUAAAUUAUUGAGUUCACAUUAGUAUAAUGCCAUUUUAAAACGGGUUACAUUUUUUUUUUGGUAGGUUUUAAAACGGGUUACAUAAACGUUCUUGUUUUAAACUACAAACUAUUAAUUGGUGGGAUAAAAAUUCUAUUAAGAAACUUGGUCAACCCUCAUGGCCUCAUCAACCAUAUAUAUAUUUUAAUAACUAAAAAUUACCUGGCUGAGUGAGAUGUUUUAUUGCAAGCUAAAACAAUUUUAAAAGAAAAAGUACGUAUCCAACUUUCAUGCAACAUUUGAAGAGUUAAUGUUUCACCAAUCCAUGCAUAAUCUCAUAUUUCAUAUUCUAAAGUUCGUUGAACGUUUACUGCAGCGGCACCACUUCAAAAAUGAAAUAUACAAACUUAUUAUCAUUACAGAUAGCUCUCGCCUCUCGUUGCUGCUGGAAAGUUUUCUUUAUGAAAAAUGUCAUAUUGGUUCGACCAGUAAAAGUGUCAGCCGGCUUAACUGAGUUCGAUCGUCAUCGAAAGUUCAAUUUCCACUCAGACUUUUUCUUCUCUUUGGUGUAGGGCCACUACAAAACAAUUGUAUAUAUGUAUAACAUAUGCUUUCACAAUUAUUGAAGAAAGAAGAAGAAAGUCCCAUAUGAAUGAAAUAAAGAUAUAACAAAGUCUCAAAAUUUGGUGUCACGCUUAUAACGAUUGUAUAAUUUUAGUUUAUUGUAGAGAAGAAAAAUGAAAAAUAAAAAAAAUAAAAUCUGGAAAAUUAAAUCCGAUAGAGACGGAGACGCCAUGAUCCAUGAGAGUAGAAGUGAAACGUGGGAGCUGGCUCAAUAUUUCUAUAAAUAGAGAGACAUGAAGGUAUGUAGUUACAGCUACUCCAGACUUGAAAAAGUAUUGACGACUAGUGGGUGAAAGAUAUCUGAGUUCCGUCUUCUCUACUUGUAAGUCUUUAUUACUAAUCAAGUGGUACGUUCCAUUUUUUCAACUAAUGGUAGCAAGAUUUGUAGACGAGAUGCUAUACCUGAUGCUUCAGUUAUAGCUGUCUCUGUAUAGAUUUGAUAUCCGUUCCAUCAUAGAUCAUUGUUGCUCCUUAAAUUCGUAAUAUAUAUCGUAUUAUGAGGAUUUGAGACCGUAACAAUUAAAGGAAAAACAGAAUAUAUUUUACAUGUGUAUUGUCAUUACAAAAUCAUGAUUUGUCCUUUUCUGCAUCAUAUGUCUUCUUCGUAAAUACGUGCAUGGUGCAAGAUAAUUUUUUUAACAGGCUAAUGUUCAUAAAUUAUGUAAUAUACACAUAAAUUUGAUUUUCUUUUUAUAUUCUGUAUAUAUGUUUUUGGAGAAGAUUUAGACCCAUGCUGCCAUGCAUAUGAAUCUAUCUAGAUUAAGAUCCUUAAAUCAUAGCUAGUCAUUUGUCCAAAAACAUAAAACAGUUUGUACUCCAAACAAAAAUUUAGAAAAGAUAAAAAGUGAACACCAUAAUCUGUUAUAAGUUCUGAAUUAAAUAAACCAAAUAAAACAUGCUCGAGUUAGAAUUUACGUUAUCUUUAUUAUUCUCCGCUUGCCAAGGAAACAAAGCACAUAUAUCAUACGGUUGAAAAUAAGAAUAAAGUUACGUACAUCUCAUAACAAAUAUAUUAUAGUCACUAUAUUAUUAUUUUUUUUUAAAGAAAAUAAAUUGACAACUAUAGUCACUAUAGUCACUAUAUUAACAACUAUAAGUUUUUUGUUUAAACUAAGAAUUUCAAUUAAAAUAAACGUUUACAAAGGUUUGAGAACCUUAUAGACAGAAAAAGCUUGCAUGACCUUAGAAUUUAGAUCAAUUGAAAGUGAACACUAUAAAACUUUGGUUAAUCGAUACGGUCGAGGAUAAUAAGAAGACGACAACUAUCUCGUGAAUUGCUUUUUGCCUUGGAAACGUAUGUACGUGUGCUUCCCAUAUGGUACCCAACUUCGUCGUUUUCUUUUAAGUUUCAAUGCCAACAGUUCCUAAUUCCUAAAGGCUUUCCUGGCAGCCAGUGGCGGAGCUACCACACGAUCAUGUGGGUCAAAUGACCCAUGUGAAUUUUUGAAAAAAAAAAAAUUGCAUGUAUUUCCUAUAGAAACAUAUGAUUAAUUUAAUUUGUUUACUGAUCCUAGUAAAACUCUUGUAUCAUCAACUUGACCCCUGUGAAAAACAUUUUUCCCUCAGCCACUGCUGGCAGCCAAAUGAUAACUUUGGCCUAACAGAUUCUGUUUUUGUAUAGUAUCAUUCUUCUUAACAUGCAAACCUGAAACUUUCCUUAGCUUCACGAGUUUAUUAAAAAAUGUUUUAAUUAUUGUGAUGUGUGUUAGGCCGCAUCAAGCUUAUUUAACUAUUUACACAGGUACUCCUCCGGUUCUAUAUAUUUUAUAUCAAAAAUAUUUUUUCUCAGUAAAUAUUCAUUUUGGUAAGAUUUUAUGAUACCUAAUAACUUUUCUAUAUCUAUUAAAAUAAUAUGUUUUUAUAUAUAAAUAAUAAUUACGAAUAUUAAAAUUUUACAUCAAUAUAUGAAUCAUAUUUUUAUUAUUAAAAUAAGUGUAGUUUAAAAUAUAUUUUAUCAACGUAUAUAAGUUAUUUUUAUUUAAUGUAUAUAUUAUUAGAAAUAAUUUAUAUAUUUACAAAUAGACAUAUUUAAAAAUGGUAAUUAAAUAAAGAAUAAUAUAAUAAAGUAACUUUAUAAAUUUCAAUUAUUUUUAUCAAAAGUUAAAUAAUGCAAAAUUAAAAGGUCAAAGUAAACUUGAAUAAAUCAAACUAAAAACAAUUACAUUAUGGUUUUAUUUUUUAAACUAAUAAAAGUAAAAUAUAAAAAUAGAAAAUUUUAUUUAUAUAUAACAUUUUUAAAUAUUUUAUAUUUACGCAUGGCGCAAGAAAACUCCUAAUUAAGCUUUAUGUUUGCUUAAUUUAGUUUUCUUUUUGCGUUUGUAAUAGAUUGACUAUAUUUUAGUUAUAUUAUAUUUAGUAUAAUUUAAACGUUUCCUAAAAAUAAAUUAUGUAGCAUAUAAUAUACACAUAAUUUGUUCAAAAUUACAAAUCAUUUGUUCAGAAUGAUUUGAUCUAUAAUCUUUUUUUUUUUUGAAACUAAGAUUUGAUCUAUAAUCUAUAAUUUAUUAGAAAAAAAUAGCGUGUUAAGGAAACACAUGCCGUGUAAGUUAUAUGAUAAUAGCAUGUUGUAAUUAUCUUUUGGACGGUCAACUGAUAGCAUGUUAUUGAGUUCACAUUAGUAUAAUGCCAUUUUAAAACGGGUUACAUUUUUUUUUUGGUAGGUUUUAAAACGGGUUACAUAAACGUUCUUGUUUUAAACUACAAACUAUUAAUUGGUGGGAUAAAAAUUCUAUUAAGAAACUUGGUCAACCCUCAUGGCCUCAUCAACCAUAUAUAUAUUUUAAUAACUAAAAAUUACCUGGCUGAGUGAGAUGUUUUAUUGCAAGCUAAAACAAUUUUAAAAGAAAAAGUACGUAUCCAACUUUCAUGCAACAUUUGAAGAGUUAAUGUUUCACCAAUCCAUGCAUAAUCUCAUAUUUCAUAUUCUAAAGUUCGUUGAACGUUUACUGCAGCGGCACCACUUCAAAAAUGAAAUAUACAAACUUAUUAUCAUUACAGAUAGCUCUCGCCUCUCGUUGCUGCUGGAAAGUUUUCUUUAUGAAAAAUGUCAUAUUGGUUCGACCAGUAAAAGUGUCAGCCGGCUUAACUGAGUUCGAUCGUCAUCGAAAGUUCAAUUUCCACUCAGACUUUUUCUUCUCUUUGGUGUAGGGCCACUACAAAACAAUUGUAUAUAUGUAUAACAUAUGCUUUCACAAUUAUUAAAGAAAGAAGAAGAAAGUCCCAUAUGAAUGAAAUAAAGAUAUAACAAAGUCUCAAAAUUUGGUGUCACGCUUAUAACGAUUGUAUAAUUUUAGUUUAUUUUAGAGAAGAAAAAUGAAAAAUAAAAAAAAUAAAAUCUGGAAAAUUAAAUCCGAUAGAGACGGAGACGCCAUGAUCCAUGAGAGUAGAAGUGAAACGUGGGAGCUGGCUCAAUAUUUCUAUAAAUAGAGAGACAUGAAGGUAUGUAGUUACAGCUACUCCAGACUUGAAAAAGUAUUGACGACUAGUGGGUGAAAGAUAUCUGAGUUCCGUCUUCUCUACUUGUAAGUCUUUAUUACUAAUCAAGUGGUACGUUCCAUUUUUUCAACUAAUGGUAGCAAGAUUUGUUGACGAGAUGCUUUACCUGAUGCUUCAAUUAUAGCUGUCUCUGACUCGCUGUAUAUAUUUGAUAUCCGUUCCAUCGAUCAUUGUUGCUCCUUAAAUUCGUAAUAUAUAUCGUAUUAUGAGGAUUUGAGACCGUAACAAUAUAAAGGAAACAUAUAUAGAAAACAGAAUAAAUUUUACAUGUGUAUUGUCAUUACAAAAUCAUGAUUUGUCUUUUUCUGCAUCAUAUAUGUCUUCUUCGUAAAUACGUGCAUGGUGCAAAAUAAUUUCUUAAACAGGCUAAUGUUCAUAAAUAUGUAAUAUACACAUAAAUUUGAUUUUCUUUUUAUAUUCUGUAUAUAUAUGUUUUUGGAGAAGAUUUAGACCCAUGCUGCCUUGCAUAUGAAUCUAUCUAGAUUAAGAUCCUUAAAUCAUAGCUAGUCAUUUGUCCAAAAACAUAAAACAGUUUGUACUCCAAACAAAAAUUUAGAAAAGAUAAGAAGUGAACACUAUAAUCUGUUAUAAGUUCUAAAUUAACUAAACCUUGACAUCCUCGAGUUAGAAUUUACGUUAUCUCCGUUUGCCAAGGAAACAAAGCACAUAUAUCAUACGGUUGAAAAAUAAGAAUAAAGUUACGUACAUAUCAUUACAAAUAUAUUAUAGCCACUAUAUUAACAACUAUAAGUUUUGACAAAUAUAAGACACGACACUAGAAUUUAGAUCAAUUGAAAGUGAACACUAUAAAACUUUGGUUCAUCGAUACGGUCGAGGAUAAUAAGAAGACGACAACUAUCUCGUGAAUUUCUUUUUGCCUUGGAAACGUAUGUACGUGUGCUUCCCAUAUGGAACACAACUUCGUCGUUUUCUUUUAAGUCCCAGUGCCAAACGUUCCUAAACCUUAAAGGCUUUCCUGGCAGCCAAAUGAUAACUUUGGCCUAACAGAUUCUGUUUUUGUAUAGUAUCCUUCCUCUUAACAUGCAAACCUGAAACUUUCCUUAGGUUCACGAGUUUAUUUACAAAUGUUUUAAUUAUUGUGAUGUGUUAUUUUGGUGUUAGGCCGCAUCAAGCUUAUUUAACUAAGCUCAAGUUGGAAUCAGAAACAAGAGCAUCCUUCUUCAUUUACACAGGUACUCCACCGGUUCUCAUGUAAAAUAUUAUUCAAAUCUUAGCCUGCAUGAUCAUCAUUCUCAUGCUCAACACAAUAAUUAUUCUAAGAACUUUUAUUACUACUGGUUUUCUUUUUUCAUUACAUUCCUUCUUAAGAUUAUGAUAUUAAGAAGGAAGGGGACAUUUUAAUAUUCUUCUCAUCCUAAUCUCUAAUAUUUAAAAGCAGCAAUUAGUGAGAUUCGUACGGACGUUUUACAUUUUAAUAGGAGAGUCAUUGGUCUGUGAGUCUGUCCCCCAAAGACCAGUUCAAACGUUCAAUUACUGGAAAGUGUAAUGUCAAGUUUCUUCCUUCUGAUCAUGACAGUCAAAACUGUUGAAACAUAUUCUUAAGAAAAAAAUCUUAAACAAUUAAUAAGUCUUUGCCUUAUAUAACAUGUUAGGGCAUUUGUUUAUCCUUUCAUGCGUUUCCUAAUCUACCUUAUAUAACACGUUAGGGCUUUUAAGAUGGUGAUAAGAAGUGUGGAUCUACGAUCAGACACCGUGACAAGACCCACUGAUGCUAUGCGCGAAGCAAUGGCUAGUGCUGAGGUGGACGAUGACAUACUUGGCUAUGAUCCAACAGCUCGACAUCUCGAAGAGGAGAUGGCUAAGAUGAUGGGUAAAGAGGCAGCUCUCUUCGUGCCAUCUGGUACAAUGGGGAAUCUAAUAUGCGUUAUGGUUCACUGCGAAGUGAGAGGCAGCGAGGUGAUUCUUGGAGACAACAGCCACAUCCAUGUUUACGAGAAUGGAGGGAUAUCAACAAUCGGUGGCGUGCAUCCCAAGACAAUCAAGAAUGAAGAAGACGGGACGAUGGACUUGGGGGCUAUAGAAGCAGCUAUUAGAGACCCUAAAGGAAGCACGUUUUAUCCAUCUACAAGGUUGAUUUGCUUGGAGAACACACACGCCAAGUAAGUGUCGCUCACAACGAGUAAGAAGUUAUGUUUUUAUCAACUAGUCUCUUAUGAGGCAUUGAUGCAGCUCUGGUGGGAGAUGUUUGAGUGCUGAAUACACAGAUAGAGUUGGACAGAUUGCGAAGAGACAUGGACUAAAGCUUCAUAUCGAUGGAGCUCGCCUCUUUAAUGCUUCCAUUGUAAUAUCAAUCAUCUACUUUAUCUCUUUUUUUACAACAAUCCACAGUAUAGUACGUUUGAACUAGGAUUGUGACAUAUAAACACAAUUAUUAUAUGAGAGAAAUAUCUUUAGAUAGCACUAAAUUAAAAAAAAUUUCAAAAAUUAGCACACAAAUAAAUAAAUCACUAAAAUAGCAUUAAUUUUUUAAAAUAUAGUUUUUAUUUAUUUUUAUUUAGGCUUGGGUUAAUGAUUAUAGUUUAAGGCCUAGUAUUUAGUAGGUGGAGUGGAGUUAUGGUUAGAGUUUAGGAUGUAUGGUAGUUUAGUGAUUUUAUUGAUUAAUAAACGUUAUUUUGAGAACUUUUCUUUUCUAGUGCUUAUUCUCUGAUAAAAAACUUAAAAAUUGCUAUUUAUGAGGUUUGCCAUUUCUUUUAGACUAAAAUGUUAUGAAAUAUUCUUUCUGUAGGCACUUGGAGUUCCUGUCCAUAGGCUUGUAGAGGCUGCUGACUCUGUUUCGGUACCGUCUUCUCUCAUUCUAACCUCUGAGAAAGGUUUACAUAAGAGAUAACUGAGAGAUUAGCUGACACAUGUACAUACUAUGUUUCAGGUGUGUCUCUCUAAAAGUCUUGGAGCUCCGGUAGGAACUGUAAUCGUUGGCUCACAUACUUUCAUAGAAAAGGCGAAAACGUUAAGGAAAACAUUAGGUGGAGGAAUGAGACAAAUAGGCGUUUUGUGUGCAGCCGCUUUGGUCGCAAGGUCGCACUCCAAGAGAACCUCCCAAAGCUACAAUUUGACCACAAGAAGGCAAAGUUGUUAGCUGGUACGUACGUACCACUCAUUGACCGUAUUCACUAUUAGAAUUCACCACAACAAGAAAUAUAUAACAGAUAAUAACGUAAAUAUUUGCAGAAGGGUUGAAUCAAAUGAAAGGGAUUAGAAUAAACGUUGCAGCCGUGGAGACUAACAUGGUGCGGUGCGCAUUGUCAACACUCUUGUUGUGUUAUCAAUAAUUAUAUUAAUUAUUUGUCUCAAAAUUCAGAUAUUCAUGGAUAUGGAGGAUGGAUCAAGACUUACUGCUGAGAAACUGCGCAAGAGUCUAACGGAGUGUGGCAUUCUCGUCCUCCCAGGAAACUCAUCUCGGUAUGUCUCACAUGGACAUAAUUUGAUUUGUUUAAACGUUUAAUAUGCAAAUAAAGAAGUUUUUGGAAAGUUAUAUGUUUUAGAUAUAUAAAUAUUGACUUGGAUUGUGGUUUCAGGAUCAGAAUGGUUGUACACCACCAGAUAACAAUAAGUGACGUACAUUACACAUUGUCUUGCUUACAAGUAAGAAUAUUCAUCAUAUUUCUCUGUACUUCUAACGGAUAUUUAUAGGCAUUGAUUUUUUUUUUUGGGGCAGCAAGCAAUGCAAAUGAUUCAGGAACCAAGCCUAAACCAAACCGGCAAAACCGAAAAUGCUCUCUCUUUUUAAAUGUUGUUUGUCUAAGUUAUUUCUAAUUGUAAACAAUAAGGAUCGCUCGAUCUGUCAAUGUAAUUGUCAUCCUAUGAUCUCCUCCAUUUUAUUAUGAAACAUCCUCACAGUUGCAAGAAAAUUGAUUUUUUUUUUCUGGUUUAGAGAUGCUACGACAGCUGAGAUUAGAAAAAUGGUAUUAUCUGAAGUAAUUUUUUGAUAAUCUCUUUCAAUUCAAUGUACUUUGGACUUUCAAAAUAGAUGUCAAUACUAGCGUGUGAUGUGAAACCAAUCCACACAUGAAUCUUGUUGUAGUUCCCACUAGUGACUGAAGUCUAAAACUAAAGGUUUCAAGAGCCUUUAAAGUCUUCUUUUCUUUCUUUCUCCUCUUUGUGUUGUUGUUUCAAGAGACGGAAGAACAAACAGAGUUUUUUGGUUAUAUGUUUCUCUGUUUCCUGUGUAAGGGUGUCCAAAAAAGAACCUGCAGGGAGCCUCAUCAAACUCUGUAUGUACACACUAAAACCAAUCUCCUUCCAACUAAAUCAGCCCCGCUUCUGGAUCUCUUCCUUCACAAGUUCGGUCACCAAAUCUAUGUUAGACUCACUUAAAACCUCUUGAAGUGAGCUCAGUUCCUCCAUGUUAGCCUUCUUGAGCAGAACUUUGAGAUUAGACUUCGUUCCAGCAGGUAAUAGACGUUGUCUGGGAGCUUUCUGGAGAUUUCUCACAUCCGAUGAUUGUAUGCUUGUGUUGGCUUCUCUGAGAAGAAGAGCAUUUGCAGGGAACUGAACCUGUGGCCGCGAGUAAGGCCUGGAGUCCCAAUACUCUGUGCAAACUCUAUUCACGUCUAAUGCUUCAAUAGCCUGUUGAUCACAUUACAAAUGAAGCUUUAUAUUUUUCUAGGAACCAUAGAAGAUGAGAAACUGCCAAAGUUGGUUUUAGUAUUAUUACCUGUAGGAUUGCAGGUGACGUGUAUCCAAACAUUUCAAAACCGUCAGGACUCCCAGAUGGCUGCAGAGGAGGAAGAUCUAGCUUACCAGCUUUGUGCUGCUUACUUAUCUCUUGAUUUACUCUAUCUCUUACCAUCUCCCAGCAUCUUGUAGGCGACAAGUGAGCAAACACCUCACUGGGAACACCCUCCAAGUAAACCUGACAAGUAGAUCAUAACCACACAGUUUGUUAAUGACCAAGAUAAUCUAAGGCAAUGCAACUUUUUUUUCAGAAAAGAAAGAUAUUAAUUUACCAUGAACAAUGGACUGUUGCGUCCAGUAUCAAGAAUCUCUGAAACGUAGAAGCUCAUCCUCGUCGGAUCCAAAACGUUUAUGUACUUGACCCGACUACGAAACCCUGCACCAAAGAUGAAUAGACAUUAAGCAAUUGCAAAAUGUCAUCAAUGCAUAUAUGUUUACAUAAACAACAUGUUACCUUUAGGGAAAAUUGCUCGGCGGUUGCACCAUGAUUUUCCAGAAAGCACACACCCAUAGUUUAGAGGCUCUACAUUGCAAUUGAUUCUCCUCACAACUUUUGCUAUACGUGGACCCUUUUGGCGGAUGAUCCUAUCCGGACUAUUGUUUUGCGAACAAGACGGUGUACCAGAGGUACUUCUUAUCCCAUCAACCACUUCCUGUAUAGCCAAACCUCCAGAGAUUUUGGAUUUAGAGCUAGUAGGGUUUACACCAUCUUGGUUGCUGGUAUUAUGAGCAAGUCCAUCAGCUACGGCAUUAACUUCAGCAUGCGAUACAGAACUUGUAACAUCCCCUUGCACUGCUCUUUGGUCAUUAGUAGGCAAUGGCAUAGUGAUUUGUCUAUCAGGCAAAGAAUUUGCUUGCUUUUCUAUCAUGGGAGCAGCAGUUUUACUAGGAGCUUCUAACGCUAAAACGUGGGUUGGUCUCUCCUGUAUUUUCAAAUGCUUUCCAGACGAAACUGCAUCUCUUUUCUCAGAACCUUGUUUCCUAGGUAUGUCAUGCUCAUCAUCACUUAGGAGUAUCACAUCAUCAGGUACACUCUGUGAACUCUUUUUUCCACUUGUGGACUUAGCGGCAGUCAUAGAGAUGCUUUCUUCUUCUUUGACUGGCUUCAUACAGUGGCUUGGUGUUAAUUGCUCCUCCUUGACUUUCAGAAGUAACCUCUUUUCUAACCCUCUACUUAGAUCUUCUCUCGAUGUUACUUUCAACUGUAAAUCUUUCCCUAAAAGUGCACCUGCUUGUGGUUCUUCCUCACUAGUCUCCAUCUUGCUUCCUGAGAGGUGUUCACUUAAAGCCAAUCCCAAAUCUUGACGCGCCCAUCUAUACACAGAACUAAGUUUUCCUUCCACAGCCUCAAGAAGAACAUUCAGUUCAUCCAUAUCAUAGCGAAACAGAUAAUAUUUAGCGACCCACGGACAGGAACACAACUGCUUCACAUGAGUCAAACAUGAAUACUUCUCCGGGGAACAACGGCAACCAGCAGCGGACAGGUGCAAAUCAAAGAAGCAUAUACAACACUCUCUCUCGUUGGUAGCAUCAAAAUUACUAUGCAUCUUCAACGCAAGUGAAGAGCUGCACAGAACCUCUCUUCUUGUUCGUUCCAUGUCAAUGCGUGCCUUGAGUGUUGCGGCCAAGAUCCCAUCCUUUCCACUAAACUCUUUCCACCACAAGUUAUCUAUUGUAUUCUUCUUUAGCAAGUUAAGCUCCCAGUCGGCUUUCACUACUUCUCUUGCUGCCCCAAGCAAGAGUUUAUCAUGCGAGAUUGACGUUUUUCUACCCUGUUGGCAGUAUAACUCUAUAGCAAUCUGCCCAUGAGGCAGCCAGUCAACCGGUGCGACAUUCACAGCUUCGGCACAGUUGAAACCACAGUUGAAUCCAGCAUGAUAUGCCCGAGGGAAAGUCAAGACAAACUCUCCAGCAUGCUGGACGCAACGGUGCACAGGUACUCCUGCGGUUUUCAGUUUUGAUGGGGAGAGUUGUGUAACCUACAGGAAUGAGCAUCAGAGGAUUAACUUUAUGCACAUCACACCGAAACAAUGAUGUCCGGCAAAUGAAUUUAAAUCAGGUACAAGUCAGUGGAUGACAAAACAUCAGGUCCAUUUGAUUCAGUUCAUCAAAGAUCUAAGGCUUACUAGCUUGUGAAGCAAAUCAGGCUGUUCUUCGAAAAGGUCAGGCAAAUGCUUUCUCAUCGCCUCCUCUAGCUUAACAGCAUCCUUCCCCGCAACACCGUACCACAGUUUUGGUGCACCCCAGUGCAUGUAAUUCAUCGAAUACAAGUGGUGAUCUUCAACAUGCUAUAUUGGGGGAAACAAUAACAAAACGAAAUGUCAGUAGUGGAAAAUAACAAAACAAAGAUAAGGUGUAACUUAAUGAAAAACACAUCCACCGAUGUCAUAAAAUUGUAAUAUGAAAAUACUUUUAAUUAUGCAACUAGCAGAGAUCAAUCUUACCCAGCAGAAAGAAGAAAAGCACAUCCCAAUAUACAACCACGGUACAAGAACACCAGAGAUAUCACUUCCCUCAUGCUUAAGAAGUGAUCCUGGAAGCCUUGAGAAAUUAUUUAAGUUCCAGCCUGAUUUAGCAUAUUUUUCUUCUGAAGAAGAAGCAGCCUCGUGACUAGAUGAUAUCUUGGGAAAACCACUACCAAAUACCCCAGUUUCAAGGUCAGCACCAUACAGCACCUAUAUUAAAGAAUCAACACGGUAGUCAGGAGAUACAGAGGCCACAACAGACAAUUCAAAACCACAAAUAAAAAGGAAUAAAAACUUCACCUCUAUCUCUUCGGUAGCUUUAUCUACAAUCCGCCAAUAUUCACCUUCAACAUCCUCAACCGCUGGCUCCCAUGUACAUUCACUGUCCGUAGAUGUUUCACUCUUUUUAAAGUACUGAGCCUUGAACUCGUCAGCAUACUUUUUGAAGUCUUUUAGAGUGAACCCUGGACCAGGUUCGAACCCAAACGUCUCAAGCUCACUCAUUUCUGGGCUUGCGGAGCCAGGAUCCAUUCCCAUUUUCAUGCACUUCCUCUUCUUCCUUCUCAUUUGAUUAGAAAGCUUUGAAACCUUCUUCAUAGAGCUUCGGUUCUGAAGCUUAUCCACUCUUUGGACGCGUGUGGUGAAUUUAGAACCUUCCCAUACUUGCUUUUCUUUCAGCGGGCAAGGGGGUUUCCAGGAAGGAGGAGGAACAAUGCGGCAGAUUCCAUACUUCUCAGCCUUUGGUCUUAUUUUAGCUAUAUAGCUCAAAGUAUCUUCAAACUCCUACAAACAUGUUUCCAGCUCAAUGUCAGACAAAUAUGAAUAUGCAGUUGAAAGUUAGAAGCAAUAGAAUGUGAAACAAGACCUCUUCGGUAGGGUGGAAUAUAGGGGCAUCUUCAAGGUCAGGCCUUCGAGCUUCAUCUGGUUGCCAUCUCGCAGUUACCUGUGAAUAUAACGUUAGAGAGGUAAGAAUCUUUUAAGUUUAGUUCUGAAGUGAGUAUUAGUUGAGAUUAUUAACCUUUUGGCAGUCAUUACAUUCUGCACAUCCUCUGGUCACACCCUUAGGUAGAGAAGGCUUCACUCCACAAGUCUGCAACCACAUGAUUGCAUUAGAACAACAAGGCAAAGAAAGACCAAGCAUAAGGAAAGAUUAAAAAAAAGGAACUAACUUGAUCAAGAUUUUGAGACAAGGCAUUGCUAUCAUCAUCAUAGUUAAUCCAAGGUCUACGCCGUAGAGACCGAGCAGCUUUGGCUUCAUCAGAUUCAAUCUCCAUCUCACCUUGAUUUGAUACAGAAGAAACACUUUCCAUAGCAGCACCAGGGUCAGGGACAACUCUUUUUAAGGUGAAAGUAGCAUAUGAUUCAAACCCAGGAGGAACAGAUGGCAACUCAUCACUUUCUUCCUUCACACAGAUUCUCAUCAGCUCUGUCCCCAUUACUUAACUGUUUCCAACAAACAAUUACAAUUAGGAAAGUCUCAUCAUUUCUCAAGAAUAUCACAAAACCCAAUAUAGAAAUUAGAAAGAAAAAAAAAACUAAAUAUCUCAAUCAAUCAAAAUCUAAGAAGACCCAUCAACAAAAAAAUGCUUACAAAGUAUCUGACUUUAAACUAGGGUUUCUUAAAUUAGAGGUCAAAACAGCUGGAGCUCAAUCAACAAGAGAUUUGAUAGAUCUGAGGAACCCAAGUCAAUUUGCAAUUUUAGUGAUUUUUUUUUUUACAAAACAAAAUCCAGAUUCAUCAGAUCUAACACUAAACUUGACCAGAGAUCCAGAUUAUUACGAAACUGAUGAAGAAACAUCGCAUGUCCUUUUCAAUAUUUGCAUUAAAAAUACAAAGAUACAGCCAUAAAAGUCCAAAUAUGAAACCAAACCUUUUCUAUAUUCCCAGAGAAAAAAGCCACAAAAUCAAAGGAUGAAGGAAGAAGAAAAGGGUAUAUUGGGAAUUAGAUCUACAGGUCCAUGUUUGGUGUAUUGUGAUGAUCUAUUCAAAUCCUCAAGAAACAAUAUGAACAAAGCAAAGAGAUAUUUUUUCACUAAAUAUUAAUCACCUUUUUUUUUGUUUUCAAUUUAAGAUCAUAUCAGAGAGGAAACAAAGAGUCAUGUGGCUUGCUUGCUGGGCUUUUGAUAUGUAAAUUUUCCUAACUUUUUGAUGUGUGAUGUGUGAUGAUGUCUUAUAAGUAAAAGAGUAACGCUUCAGAAGCAAGCAGAUGCAUUUUCCUAUGCAAUUUGUUUAUAUAACCUAUGGUCUAUAACCAUUGAAAGGGGUAAAACGAUAUAAAUAUUUUAAAAAGCAUUAAAGCCAAGUUCAUUAAUACAAUUUGGUUUUGUUAAUCACGGGUGGUGGACAUUACCGGAUAUCCACACAUUGUUUUAGUCGAUUUUUCUAGAAGAUUUUUUAGAUAAGAAAAAUAUUAUAGUGCUUGGCUUAUGAUUAUCCAAAAAUGAAGUUUUACUUUUCAAAAUUAAUAGUCUGUUUUUGCAAAUUUUGAUAUUUUGUUGAUAUUUCUCUCUAUUUUAAAAUGUUAGUUCCAAUUAUUUACAACUUCACGUUCAGAAAAAUAAUUUUAUUUACAACUUUAGUUUAUUAAAAUUUGAUUUGCCUCGGUAAAUACAAUUCGAAUGAUGUCACAUUGGGUUCAACGAGCCCAUCAGUUUCCGAAACAUGUGGCCUCGGUCCAGUAAAACAAAAGAAGCAGGCAAAUCCAAUGGACUCGACGGCCUCAAAUGACAAAACUACCCUUACUGCCUCCGUCUUUCUAAAUCAACCCCACCACCGGCGAGUUUCUAAAAACCGGCAGAUCUCCACUGUAACUAACACUUUUCCGCCACAGUUUCGCCUCCGCGAGUUUGAAAUUUUGUUGAUAUUUUCUCUGGUUAAAAAUAUUUGUUUAUACUUCAUCUGUUAAAUUUUUUCAUACAUUUUAAUAGAACACAUUAAAUUUUCAUAAUUUUUUAUAAUUUUUUUUUCAUAAUUUAAAACUAAUAAAAAUCUAAUAAGUGCAAUUAAAUUUUUAAAAAUUUGCAUUUAAUUAAUAAAACAUCCACUGAAAAUGUAAAAAAUAAGAUUUUUUGAAACAAAAUUUUUCUUUUCGGUACCAAAAACAAAAUGUUUGUUCAUAUUAUUUACAACUUUAGUCUCUUAUUAAUUUCACAGUAAAUACAAUUCCUGCAGCCACUUAACAAAGAGGACCUAUUACAACUCGAAUGAUGAUGUCACAUUGUCUUCAACAGGCCUAAUAUGGGCUCGAUUCAGUAAAAAAAAAGAGAGGAAGUAAUCAAAUACAACGGGCCCAAAACCCUCGCAAUGACAAAACUACCCUUCCCGCCUCCGUCUUCCUAAAUCAACCCCACCACCGGCGAGUUUCUAAAAACCGGCAGAUCUCCUCCAUGACUCACACUCUUCCGCCGCGGUUUCGCCUCCGCGAGCAUCGUCAUCACAUCCCUAAUCGACGGCCUAUCCUUCGGAAGCUUCGCGGUACACAAAAGCGCGAUCCUCAGCGCCAAAAGCAUCUCCUCAAUCACAUGCCUACACUCUCCAGCAACACUCGGAUCAAGCACCUCCUCCAACCCCUCCCCCUUCUUCACCUUCCUCCUAAUCCACUCCACCACAUCAAUCGACUCCUCGAACGACGGAUCUAUCGGCAUCUUCCCCGUCACCAGCUCGAGCAUCACCACACCAAGACUAUAUAUAUCACUCUUCUCAUCGAUCUUCAGCGCGUAACCGUACUCGGGAGCUAUGUACCCGUACGAUCCCGCCACCAUGGAGACCGUCUCGUUCUUGUGGAGCAUCAUCUUCGCCAAUCCGAAGUCCGCGAUCCUCGCUUCGAGGCUCGAGUCCAGCAAUAUGUUGUUCGAUUUAAUAUCUCUGUGGAUGAUCGGAGGGUAACAGUCGUUGUGCAGGUAGUUGAGUCCCUGCACAACUCCAACGGCCACGUUGUAGCGCGAUAACCAAUCUCUUAACAAGAAUUUGUUAUCGUCUUUUGAAUGUAACGCCGUGCCUAAGUUGCCGUUAGGCAUGAACUCGUAUACCAUCAUCACUUCUCUCUCGUUGUGAAUGUACCCGAGGAUUUUUACAAUGUUGCGGUGUCUGAGGUUGCCUAGGAGGUUUACUUCUUUGAGAAUGUCGUCGUCAUCUUCGUCUUGAAUACUAUGAUGAUUGUCUUCGAUAUCUGGUGAUGGUGACCUCCAAAGUUUUUUAACCGCUACUGUUAGUAACGGCCGUCGCAUGACUUCUGCUUUGUAGACUAUCCCCAUGGCUCCCAUUCCGAUUAUGUUUGCUUCUUUGAUGUGUGUUAAGAUGUCCCCCGCUGUGAAGGAUAGUCUCUGGAAGGCCACGAGUCGCCACGGCCAUUCCUCUUGAGGCUGUUUGCAGAAGAGGUACUCUCUGGCGAAGUUGCUGUAGAGAUCCCAUCUUCUGUAUACCCAUCUCCCUGCCAAGAAGAUUAUUCCUAGAGACAAGAUUACUGCUGUUCCGACUAUGAACCCGAAGAUUGCAUGAUGCAAGUGGAUUCUAUUUCUCCCGGGGUUUGCUGACAGAGCUAGGCUCUUUGAGCAGGGAGGUAGAACUCCACCGCAUAAGUUAUCGUUUCCCACGAGGUCGUUUGGGUUUAUGGCUGCGAAGAGACCGUUCGAAGGAACGGGGCCUGUGAGUUUGUUGUAUGACACGUUCAGCAUCUCUAGCGUUGGUGAGGCUCCCAAGCUCGGCGGUAUGUUCCCGGUUAGAGAGUUGUUUGAGAGGUCGAGUACAGCCAACAUGUGCAUCCCGGCUAGUGCAUCGGGGAUCUCUCCUAUCAAGUCGUUGCUCUUGAGGUUUAGGCUCACGAGUUUCUCAAAGGAAGCUAUCCUCUCCGGGAUUUGACCUGAGAAACGGUUGAAGGAGAGGUCGAGGACGGACAGAGAAGGACGGUCUUGUAUCUGGUUAGGGAUGUUUCCAGCGAAGCUGUUAUGCGAGGCGAUGAAAGUUUGGAGGUUAGGACUUGAGAAAAUGGAGUAAGGUAGGGAGGAGAGAUGGUUAAAGGAUAUGUCUAUGAACGAGAGUGAUUUGGAUGAUGUGAUGUCAUCUGGGACUUGACCGGUGAGGUUGUUUUUAGCUAGCUCUAGAUGCUGGAGCAUUGGUAAGUCUCCCGAGCCAGCUGGGAUUGGUCCAGAGAUGAGAUUUUUCUGGAUCCGGACACGGACCAGAGUCGGACACGAGAAGAUGUCCUCUGGAAUCUGUCCUGAGAACGAGUUGUUGAAGAGGAUGAGCUUCGUGAGGUUUCUGUAAUAGCACAAUCCGGAUGGGAUUGCGCCUGUUAGCUUGUUUGAUGAGACGUCUAGCCAUUUCAACGGCGAGCUCUUGCCGAGAUCGGCCGGUAGAGAACCCACCAGAGAGUUUUGCCACAGCUCGAGAACCUCGAGGUGUGGCAACUCAGCGAUCUUCGAGGGAAUGGUUCCCGUGAGUUGAUUCCUCAUCAGAUUCAGAAGCUGGAGACUCUUCAGCUCAGCUAUUUCUCUAGGUAUCUCUCCUGUGAUCUGGUUAUCAGAGAGAUCAAGAAACACCAGAGAAGUUAUAUUACCGACUUCUCGAGGGAUCUUCCCCGUGAGACGGUUCUGGUAGAGGUAAACCGUUGUAAGCUGUUUCAGCUGUCCCAAGGAAGAUGGAAUAGGGCCAGUGAGGUUCCCGACAGCCAAAUCUAGGUACUGGAGGCUCCUCAGCUUCCCAAUCUCUUCUGGAAUCUCGCCAGUGAAGCCGUUGUAACCGAGAAUGAUUGUCUCCAAGGAAGAGAGCUCACCGAUCACUUUCGGUAGCUUUCCGCUCAAGUUAUUACCAGAAAGACCGAGGAACUUCAGCUUCUUGAGACUCUUGAAAGAAGAAGGCACGGUGCCUUCAAAGUAACCUCCACGAAAGUCCAAAACCUCAAGCGUAGUCGCGUUGCCGAGAUCUUCAGGGAGAAACCCGGAGAAAUUGUUGCUCGAGGCGUUGACGUGUGUAAGACCAGUGGCCGUUCCUAGACCGUAAGGGAAGGUUCCAAAGAAGCUGUUCACGCUCACGUCGAAGACUUUCAAGGAAGUGAGGUUAGAAAGAGAUUUAGGAAGAGAGCACUCGAAUGCAUUGUUGCUGAGAUCAAGGACUGUUAGAGAAGAGAAGCUCUGAAUCUGAUCUGAGAUGUUUCCACUGAGAUUCAUGCUGGGAAGAAGAAGCUUAGCUACAAAGCCAUUUUGAUCACAGUGAACUCCGGUCCAAUGACAAUGAACAGACUCUGUAGCAUUCUCAGGGCGCUUCCAGUCUUGGAGAUUGUUAGAAGGAUCAAACAGGUCUGACUUGAUGGCCAACAAGAUCUCUUGUUGUUGAAAUGUUUCAGACAAAACAAGAGAGGAAGUAAUGUAACAGAAGAGAAAGAAAAGUUGAGGUAUCGUCAUUGUUUUUCUCUUCUUCACUUUUUUGGCUAAGCUUAUGGCAUUUGGAAGCCAAUGGUGCAACUGAGAUUGAAAGGUCCACAAGCGAAGAGUUGAUAACAGGAGAGAGUGGAAACCAAAAGCUGGAAAACAAUGAUUAAGUCAGAAUCUUAAUUUAUUUUAAUCUCUCUCAAUUAUUUUAUCAUGAUUGUGUUUCUUUUUUUCCAUCGGUGGAAUUUUAUACAUAUAAUAGUUAGGUUUUGUGUAUUUUUAACAUAUAAGAUGAUACGAUUUAUCUCAUAUAUGUGUUGCUGAUCUGUAUAGACAUCAAACAAUAAACUGCUGAUAAAAGGAGAUUAAAAUAAUGAUCGUGGGAUCUUGGGUUUGCAAACAGCUAAUCAUAAGACACUGAGUGACUUGUAAAGCUUUGUCCUCAUUAGGGAUUAGUGGGACAGUGAAACAUGGCCAGAGAAUGUGUCUCGCUUAGUGCUCUACUUUAGCUUUUUUCAUUUCUAUUAAUAGAUCAGUCAAAAUAAAAACUAUCACCUUCUAGAAAUUAACUCCACCUCACGUCUGAAUUUUGACACUAAUGAUGUUUUUUUACAUGUGUUUAAUUUUCACAAACACAUAAAUGUUACUUUCAUGGAACAAUGCUGAUAGAUCAUUUUUAAGUCAACGUAACGUACAUUUUGAUCAUCUUAAAUGUGUGAGUAAAUGGACCAUCAGACAUGGUCCGGUUGAAUUUUAUGAUCAUAAAGGCAGGGUCCUGUACAUGGUCCGGUCGAUUUUAUGAUCAUAGAGUACACAAGUGGUCGAUCAUGCUUACUAACGGCCUUUCGAUACUUCGAAUAUACAUCCACGUUAGAUAACACUCCUACUUUCUUUGUUGCUUCAAUCCAUUUGUUGUUGAUGGCUUUCUAAACAUGUUUUGCUAUGUAUUGAUGUAUUUACCAUACCUUAAAUGACUGCAAUACAAUGAUUUUAUCAAGAUGUGGGACUUUUCAAGGAGAUUAAAGGCUGGUGUGUGAUUGUUUCAAGAAUCCGUUUAAUCUUUCAUUAGCCGGGAGAAUGUUUUCUUAAUUUCCGUAUGCCGUCAAAAAAAACUCACAUGGUACGAUAUGAGGGUCUUGAGAGAAUCUUCCCACGUUGUUAGAACAUAAUUAAAGACAAAUAAGAAAGUUCAUUGCCAAGUUGCAAAUAGGAACGUCCCAUAACACUUCCGUGCAUGUUAACACAGUUAUGCACUUUAAUUAUUGCAAACAUGUACAUUAUGUUUUACUAAACACAAACUUUAUGAUAUAUUGUGUACUUGAAUUUAAUUUUCGGUUUCUUUUCUAAAUUAUAUUCAUUUGAUCUUAAGGCAUUUGAGGUCUAUCAUAUAUACAUAUAUGGGGUUUUGCGUAUGCCCGGUCAAGGAGCUUGAUCAACUAUACAUGCAUUUAGAGCUAAAUGCAGACAAGUGAACGAUCCUUAUCGACCGAGUAAAAGUAUAAACUUUUUUUUUUUGUAAUUGUGCAAGUUAGAUGGACAGUAGCUAUCGAAUUAAUUAGUUGCAAUUUUUGUCCUGUGAAACAUCCUCUAUUAUUCUAGAAAGAAAAGUAAUUGCACAAACCUAACUUUAUAAUAUGCCACUUAGGAUUUCACAUGCACCCAUAUGGGCCUUUUUAUCAUAAUUACAUUUUUUAAAAAAAAUAUGAAAAUACUGAAAGGAAUAACAACAAUCCUAAACAUGAUAUCAUGAUAGGUUACAUGGCAUUAUUAAUAUGUACUAUCAUGAUGAGAUCAUAAUUUCGGUAAUUUAGAGAGAGAGGUAUGAUGAAGCUGGAGUCCAUGUGCUAAGAGCUUUCCAAUUUUCUUCACUUUAGUUUACUUUUUGUAUGUGGUUUGGUUUUAUUUUGAUUUUCAGAAAAUAACAAAAAAAAAAUUGUUUUACGAAACAGAAAUGACUGAAUAUAUUUACUGAAAUAAUAAUGUUUAAUAUGUGAAAUCAUAUUGAAACAGUUAUCCUUUUAAGCAAAAAAAUAAUCCAUUUUUAUACACAAGUUUUUUAUAACAUUUGUAAGAAAAUGGAUUAUUUUAUAUGGAUUAUUUACUGAAAUAAUAAAUAUUUUAUAUGUGAAAUCAUAUUGAAACAGUUAUCCUUUUAAGCAAAAAAAUAAUCCAUUUUCUUACAAAUGUUAUAAAAAAAACUUGUGAGAAUCGAACCAAACCGAAGAGGACCAACAUUCCAGUAUCUAAUUUAAACCGCCUAAACAAAUUGUAAGCCGGUUCCACAAUAAGAAAGACAUAGAAAAAAAGCCCAAGUAAAGUGGGUAACAAACACGAAAAGCCCAAUUUCACAAUAAUAAAGCAUUAAAUCAUACACGUAAUUACAGUGUAGUCCCUCUAUUAUUUUUCCGUUUCGAAAUCUUCACAAAUAAAGUUCUCUUAAUUAAAAAAAAGGAAAGAUAGCCGUUGGAGAAGAAGAAGAAGAAGACGAAGACACUAACGGCUAUUUUUCCAUCUGAGCUUCUUAUAGAAGCUUCAUCUCUCUUCUCCCAAACUCUCACAAUCCUUGAGCAGAGAAUCUCAGAUCUAAGAUGAACGAUCUAAUGACGAAGUCGUUCACGAGCUACGUCGACCUAAAGAAAGCAGCGAUGAAGGAUCUAGAAUCAGGCCCCGACCCGGCUGAUCUCGAGAUGACGAACAAAACCGACGAGAACCUCUCCUCCUUCCUCGAAGAAGCCGAGAAAGUCAAAUCAGAGAUGUCCUUGAUCGAGGCCGCGCUCUCCCGGAUCUCGCGGUACAACGACGAGAGCAAAUCCGCGCACAGAUCCGAAUCCGUGAAGUCUCUCCGCAACAAGAUCUCCAACGAGAUCGUCUCCGGUUUACGCAAAGCCAAAUCGAUUAAAUCGAACCUCGAGGAGAUGGAUAGAGCGAACCGGGAGAUUAAACGGUUAUCCGGAACAACUCCGGUUUACAGAAGCAGAGUGACUGUAACCAACGGUUUAAGAAAAAAAUUAAAAGAAGUGAUGAUGGAGUUUCAAGGACUAAGGCAGAGGAUGAUGAGUGAGUAUAAAGAGACCGUUGAGAGACGGUACUUCACUGUCACCGGAGAGAGACCUGACGAGGAGAUGAUUGAGAAGAUCGUUACUGAUGGAGGGGAAGAGUUUCUAACUCGAGCCAUUCAGGAGCAUGGGAGAGGGAAGGUGUUGGAGACGGUUGUUGAGAUUCAGGACAGGUACGACGCGGCGAAAGAGAUUGAGAAGAGUUUGUUGGAGCUUCACCAGGUGUUUUUGGAUAUGGCUGUGAUGGUUGAGGCGCAGGAGGAGCAGAUGGAUGAGAUUGAGCAUCAUGUGAUGAGCGCGGGGCAUUAUGUUAAGGAUGGGGCUAAGGAGCUUAAGACGGCGAAGAAUCAUCAGAGGAGCAGUAGGAAAUGGAUGUGUGUUGGUAUUAUUGUGUUGCUUUUGAUCAUUCUUGUUGUUGUCAUCCCUAUCCUUACUAGUUUCACCUCUUCUUGAGAGAGACAUUGACUUAGUUGUUUGUUUUGUGCCUAAAAAGGAUGUCUUAAUCCUUGCUUUGUUGUGUUUGUGAUUCAAACUAUUAUGCAAUGAUGAAUGUUAACUUAUAUCAAUGUUCUAAAAAUCGUUAGGCGGUUUACAGAGAUUUAUUGUUUAGACGGACAGCUAGGACCAGUUUUAUUAUUUGAAAAACUCUUUUCGUCUACACCCGAUUUUCCAACUAGGUGGGUGACUAAGGCCGUCUAUACUGAUUUUUAGAACACUGCCUUAUAUGAUUGUGAAAAUGAAUUAUGCACAAAACAUUCCUCAGCAAAUGGUAAAAGUUACUGUGCAACCAAGUAUUGCUAAAAGUUUCCAAUGAUGAAUGUUUUUACCUUAUAUGACUGUGAAAAUGACAUAUAAUCUGGUUCUAUGCACAAAACAUUACUCAGUAUUGGUAUCAUUGUGUUGCUCUUGAGCAUUCUUAUUGUUGUCAUUCCCACUAUUACCAGUUUCACAUCUUCUUGAGACAUGACUUAGUGUUUGUUUUGUGGCUAAAAAGGAUGUCUUAAUCCUUGCUUUGUGUAUCCAAACUAUUAUGCAAUGAUGAAUGUUUUUUACUUUAUAUGAUUGUGAAAAUGAAUUAUAAUCUGGUUCUAUGCACAAAACAUUAGUAAAUUGGUAAAAGUUAUUGUGAAACCAAGUAUUGCUGCAAGUGGUUGUUUCUCUUCUUGUUCUUGAGUUUCCUGAAGGCAGAGGACUCGAUCUGCCUCACUCUCUCACGGCUCACACCCAUCGUUUCACCAAUCUCUUGCAACGUCUUCAUCCUCCCAUCUUCCAUCCCAAAUCUCCAACGUAUCACCUGCUUCUCCCUCGUGCUCAACGAGUCCAACACCUUGUCCAAGUCCUCCCUCAUGAACUGCUUUAUCAGAAUGUCCUCUGAUGUUUCUGCUUCAGGGUCUGAUAUCACUUCCUGCAUUCACAUUUACUGUCUUAAGCAAAACAAGAAGAAGACUAUAUAUACUAUGUAUGGUGUGUGUUAUGUUCAGGAGGGGGGACAAACCGAAGGUUUGAGGUUUAGAUUGAUUCCGAUCUUCUGGUCUAACGACCUUGGAGGCUUAGGGGCGAGUAGAACAGCCAUGAGGCGUUUCAUCGACAGUCCUGUGGCUUCUGCAACUUCUUCGUUCUUUGGUUGCUGACCUGUUUCACUGUACAGUUGCUUUCUUGCCUCUUUCACUCUGUAUGUUGCUUCCACCAUGUGAAACUGCCCAAAUCAUUGUAUGAUCAGGCAAGAACCAGACUUUUGUUUAAACAUUUGGGGGAUGAGACUACUUACAGGCAGUCUUAUCAUUCUGGACUGAUCAGAGAGAGACUUCCUCACUGCUUGCUUGAUCCACCAAUGCGCAUAAGUUGAAAAUUUAAAACCCUUUGUAGCAUCGAACUUCUCUGCUCCCCUCACAAGCCCUCUGCAUCCUUCCUGUGAUGCAUUUUCUAUAUUUAUCACUUCUCUCAAUACUGAUGUAGUUAACUACAAAAGAUAAGGAUCUAAGAACUCGAACCUGGACAAGAUCUUGGAGGUUCAUCCCAGCUCCUUGAUAGUUCUUGGCAAUCGAAAUGACUAGACGAAUGUUGCUUUUAAUCAUUCUGUCCUUGCACUGUGUGCCGUGAUUUAUACGUUUUCUUAAAGUCUUUUGAUCAACUCCAGCAGCAGAAGCCCAUUGUCCAAAGGUUGGCUGAUGGCCGCAACGCUCAGUCAGCUCUACUUGAAGCCUUUCCAGCUUCAGAAGGUCCUAAAUCACAAACCCCACAAAGUUUAUGAUCAAGAAACCACAAUAAAAAAGAUACCAAACAAGAAUGUCAAGGUAGUUUAUUUUUCAUAUAAAUUCAAAUGUAUAAUUUGGAUUACACCAUCUACCAUUAGUUUCAUCACUCUCUAAGAUUUUUAAAAGAUUUUCCAAACAUUGUUUUUCCCUAGAAUCUAGAACCUUAAGAAGAUUAGGAAGUGGCUAGUUUAUAGUUUGGAAGAUCAGAGACAAACCUGUAUUCCUUCAGAGAGUUCUGUUUCUUCUCUGGCGGUGAGAAGCUUUGAACUGCUAGUUGUCAUCCUUAGAUAACGCAAAGGAUCAUUAUGGUCAAUCUCCUGUGAAGCAACACGUUUCUUUCUAGUGCUGGAACUAGUCUUCACAGAAGACUGCAUACAUGAUGCAGUUUUCUCUAGCCCUUUUGCCCUCCUAGCUUUCCUUUCGGUUUGGCGUGUAGAUCUCACAGCUGAACUCACUGAAACCUCCUCCACAUCAACUUCUUCCUUUUCUGAUUCUAAAUCAUGAGAAGACUCUUUGUUAUUACAUUCAGGUGCAGCAGGUGGUGAUAUGAUUCUAUCACUCACAACUCCACUGUCUGAAACCGCUAGAUGUCCCAAUAUGCCAGCACGUUCCUUCUCCGUAAACUGAUCCCACUUGGACCGUUUCUCCCCAGCCAUUGAUGAAACUAAUAGUUUCGUGUUGUAACUGUUUCUAAACAACGUGGCAUCUUUCGCAACUUUGACAGCGGCUUUAGCAAGAGCCACUGCUUCAGCUGCUGCUGCUGCAACUACUGCUUCAUCGCUUGUGAGAAGUGUUUCAGCUUCUAAAUACUUCGCCUAGAAAUACAAUGAAGUUGUCAAUAAUCUUGCUGAACCAUUUGGCAAACAUAAUUAAAUAUAAUGACCUCAGUGGAAGGACCAAUGGUUCCUGUAUAAGUCCAUUGCCUGUCUGAUACUCUUGGAUUUGAAUCAGUAUCAAAAGAAGGUAGGAAAUCAUAUUGAAACAGUUAUCCUUUUAAGCAAAAAAAUAAUCCAUUUUCUUACAAAUGUUAUAAAAAAAACUUGUGAGAAUCGAACCAAACCGAAGAGGACCAACAUUCCAGUAUCUAAUUUAAACCGCCUAAACAAAUUGUAAGCCGGUUCCACAAUAAGAAAGACAUAGAAAAAAAGCCCAAGUAAAGUGGGUAACAAACACGAAAAGCCCAAUUUCACAAUAAUAAAGCAUUAAAUCAUACACGUAAUUACAGUGUAGUCCCUCUAUUAUUUUUCCGUUUCGAAAUCUUCACAAAUAAAGUUCUCUUAAUUAAAAAAAAGGAAAGAUAGCCGUUGGAGAAGAAGAAGAAGAAGACGAAGACACUAACGGCUAUUUUUCCAUCUGAGCUUCUUAUAGAAGCUUCAUCUCUCUUCUCCCAAACUCUCACAAUCCUUGAGCAGAGAAUCUCAGAUCUAAGAUGAACGAUCUAAUGACGAAGUCGUUCACGAGCUACGUCGACCUAAAGAAAGCAGCGAUGAAGGAUCUAGAAUCAGGCCCCGACCCGGCUGAUCUCGAGAUGACGAACAAAACCGACGAGAACCUCUCCUCCUUCCUCGAAGAAGCCGAGAAAGUCAAAUCAGAGAUGUCCUUGAUCGAGGCCGCGCUCUCCCGGAUCUCGCGGUACAACGACGAGAGCAAAUCCGCGCACAGAUCCGAAUCCGUGAAGUCUCUCCGCAACAAGAUCUCCAACGAGAUCGUCUCCGGUUUACGCAAAGCCAAAUCGAUUAAAUCGAACCUCGAGGAGAUGGAUAGAGCGAACCGGGAGAUUAAACGGUUAUCCGGAACAACUCCGGUUUACAGAAGCAGAGUGACUGUAACCAACGGUUUAAGAAAAAAAUUAAAAGAAGUGAUGAUGGAGUUUCAAGGACUAAGGCAGAGGAUGAUGAGUGAGUAUAAAGAGACCGUUGAGAGACGGUACUUCACUGUCACCGGAGAGAGACCUGACGAGGAGAUGAUUGAGAAGAUCGUUACUGAUGGAGGGGAAGAGUUUCUAACUCGAGCCAUUCAGGAGCAUGGGAGAGGGAAGGUGUUGGAGACGGUUGUUGAGAUUCAGGACAGGUACGACGCGGCGAAAGAGAUUGAGAAGAGUUUGUUGGAGCUUCACCAGGUGUUUUUGGAUAUGGCUGUGAUGGUUGAGGCGCAGGAGGAGCAGAUGGAUGAGAUUGAGCAUCAUGUGAUGAGCGCGGGGCAUUAUGUUAAGGAUGGGGCUAAGGAGCUUAAGACGGCGAAGAAUCAUCAGAGGAGCAGUAGGAAAUGGAUGUGUGUUGGUAUUAUUGUGUUGCUUUUGAUCAUUCUUGUUGUUGUCAUCCCUAUCCUUACUAGUUUCACCUCUUCUUGAGAGAGACAUUGACUUAGUUGUUUGUUUUGUGCCUAAAAAGGAUGUCUUAAUCCUUGCUUUGUUGUGUUUGUGAUUCAAACUAUUAUGCAAUGAUGAAUGUUAACUUAUAUCAAUGUUCUAAAAAUCGUUAGGCGGUUUACAGAGAUUUAUUGUUUAGACGGACAGCUAGGACCAGUUUUAUUAUUUGAAAAACUCUUUUCGUCUACACCCGAUUUUCCAACUAGGUGGGUGACUAAGGCCGUCUAUACUGAUUUUUAGAACACUGCCUUAUAUGAUUGUGAAAAUGAAUUAUGCACAAAACAUUCCUCAGCAAAUGGUAAAAGUUACUGUGCAACCAAGUAUUGCUAAAAGUUUCCAAUGAUGAAUGUUUUUACCUUAUAUGACUGUGAAAAUGACAUAUAAUCUGGUUCUAUGCACAAAACAUUACUCAGUAUUGGUAUCAUUGUGUUGCUCUUGAGCAUUCUUAUUGUUGUCAUUCCCACUAUUACCAGUUUCACAUCUUCUUGAGACAUGACUUAGUGUUUGUUUUGUGGCUAAAAAGGAUGUCUUAAUCCUUGCUUUGUGUAUCCAAACUAUUAUGCAAUGAUGAAUGUUUUUUACUUUAUAUGAUUGUGAAAAUGAAUUAUAAUCUGGUUCUAUGCACAAAACAUUAGUAAAUUGGUAAAAGUUAUUGUGAAACCAAGUAUUGCUGCAAGUGGUUGUUUCUCUUCUUGUUCUUGAGUUUCCUGAAGGCAGAGGACUCGAUCUGCCUCACUCUCUCACGGCUCACACCCAUCGUUUCACCAAUCUCUUGCAACGUCUUCAUCCUCCCAUCUUCCAUCCCAAAUCUCCAACGUAUCACCUGCUUCUCCCUCGUGCUCAACGAGUCCAACACCUUGUCCAAGUCCUCCCUCAUGAACUGCUUUAUCAGAAUGUCCUCUGAUGUUUCUGCUUCAGGGUCUGAUAUCACUUCCUGCAUUCACAUUUACUGUCUUAAGCAAAACAAGAAGAAGACUAUAUAUACUAUGUAUGGUGUGUGUUAUGUUCAGGAGGGGGGACAAACCGAAGGUUUGAGGUUUAGAUUGAUUCCGAUCUUCUGGUCUAACGACCUUGGAGGCUUAGGGGCGAGUAGAACAGCCAUGAGGCGUUUCAUCGACAGUCCUGUGGCUUCUGCAACUUCUUCGUUCUUUGGUUGCUGACCUGUUUCACUGUACAGUUGCUUUCUUGCCUCUUUCACUCUGUAUGUUGCUUCCACCAUGUGAAACUGCCCAAAUCAUUGUAUGAUCAGGCAAGAACCAGACUUUUGUUUAAACAUUUGGGGGAUGAGACUACUUACAGGCAGUCUUAUCAUUCUGGACUGAUCAGAGAGAGACUUCCUCACUGCUUGCUUGAUCCACCAAUGCGCAUAAGUUGAAAAUUUAAAACCCUUUGUAGCAUCGAACUUCUCUGCUCCCCUCACAAGCCCUCUGCAUCCUUCCUGUGAUGCAUUUUCUAUAUUUAUCACUUCUCUCAAUACUGAUGUAGUUAACUACAAAAGAUAAGGAUCUAAGAACUCGAACCUGGACAAGAUCUUGGAGGUUCAUCCCAGCUCCUUGAUAGUUCUUGGCAAUCGAAAUGACUAGACGAAUGUUGCUUUUAAUCAUUCUGUCCUUGCACUGUGUGCCGUGAUUUAUACGUUUUCUUAAAGUCUUUUGAUCAACUCCAGCAGCAGAAGCCCAUUGUCCAAAGGUUGGCUGAUGGCCGCAACGCUCAGUCAGCUCUACUUGAAGCCUUUCCAGCUUCAGAAGGUCCUAAAUCACAAACCCCACAAAGUUUAUGAUCAAGAAACCACAAUAAAAAAGAUACCAAACAAGAAUGUCAAGGUAGUUUAUUUUUCAUAUAAAUUCAAAUGUAUAAUUUGGAUUACACCAUCUACCAUUAGUUUCAUCACUCUCUAAGAUUUUUAAAAGAUUUUCCAAACAUUGUUUUUCCCUAGAAUCUAGAACCUUAAGAAGAUUAGGAAGUGGCUAGUUUAUAGUUUGGAAGAUCAGAGACAAACCUGUAUUCCUUCAGAGAGUUCUGUUUCUUCUCUGGCGGUGAGAAGCUUUGAACUGCUAGUUGUCAUCCUUAGAUAACGCAAAGGAUCAUUAUGGUCAAUCUCCUGUGAAGCAACACGUUUCUUUCUAGUGCUGGAACUAGUCUUCACAGAAGACUGCAUACAUGAUGCAGUUUUCUCUAGCCCUUUUGCCCUCCUAGCUUUCCUUUCGGUUUGGCGUGUAGAUCUCACAGCUGAACUCACUGAAACCUCCUCCACAUCAACUUCUUCCUUUUCUGAUUCUAAAUCAUGAGAAGACUCUUUGUUAUUACAUUCAGGUGCAGCAGGUGGUGAUAUGAUUCUAUCACUCACAACUCCACUGUCUGAAACCGCUAGAUGUCCCAAUAUGCCAGCACGUUCCUUCUCCGUAAACUGAUCCCACUUGGACCGUUUCUCCCCAGCCAUUGAUGAAACUAAUAGUUUCGUGUUGUAACUGUUUCUAAACAACGUGGCAUCUUUCGCAACUUUGACAGCGGCUUUAGCAAGAGCCACUGCUUCAGCUGCUGCUGCUGCAACUACUGCUUCAUCGCUUGUGAGAAGUGUUUCAGCUUCUAAAUACUUCGCCUAGAAAUACAAUGAAGUUGUCAAUAAUCUUGCUGAACCAUUUGGCAAACAUAAUUAAAUAUAAUGACCUCAGUGGAAGGACCAAUGGUUCCUGUAUAAGUCCAUUGCCUGUCUGAUACUCUUGGAUUUGAAUCAGUACCAAAAGAAGGUAGUCUAAUCUUGGCCACAUCAAGAACGGAAGUUAAUAACGGCGGUGAAGUGGAUACUGCACAUUGUGGUUGGAAGAAGACUGUACCCUUAUUGUGUUUUGCUGCACAUUUAAGACAUAACAAGUAUCUUUAAAACGUCGUCGUUUUUGUGAUCUAUAAUCCCUACCAACUAGAAAUUAGAUGUGGCUACUGUUCAGACAGAGCUUGGUACAAUCAGAACCAUAGAGACUAAACCUUACACACCUUCCAAAUCAAGCCUACCUUAAUAUUUUGGAGAGGUUUAAUAUUAACAUGAGAAUGUAAAUGAGAGAGAAUAGGAAGAGAAUUACUUACAGACAGAGUGAGAGGUUCUGAAUUGGAUAGAGAAAGAAUCAGGAGGGCACUUGAACUGAGGAAGAAGACAAGAAGACAUGCUCUUUUCCGGCUAAACUCGAAAGCUAUGUCUGACCAUUGAAGGCCGUUUAAGAGAUUGCAGAGAGAGAGAGAGGGGAAGGUGCGAGAAAACUGGUGAUGGGGAUGAAGACGAGGAAUGGAUAAUGAGCUUGUCAAAGGGUUGACUCUUCUGCUUCACCUUUGUUCAUUAAACUUUCGGAGUUGUUUGGGCCUUAACUUAGCCCGUUUGGUUAUUAAACCUUCAGUUUAGGCCCAAUCUCAUAGGGAUCAUUACAUAGUAUUUUGAUUUCUAGUCAAAUUUUAACAUUAUUGUAUUAAAUUGGUAAAUUUAAUAGACUACAAAAAUAUUGAAGAUAUAAGGAAUAAGCUAGAUUUUGACACGCUCUAUAAAAGCGCGGGAUAAUUUUUUUGGUUUUAAAGUAACAACAUUUUUUAAUUAGAAUUUUAACAUUUGAUUUUAGAUGUCUUUAAUUUUUUUUGUGAAUAGAAUUUAUUAAAUCAUAUGUUAAAAUAAAAAUUAUUUAAAAAUUUACAUUUAAAAAUAUACAUUUAAUCAAUAUAUAUAUGUUUGUCGGAGCGGAUUGGAUAUUCGGUUCUUAAAAUUUUAGUAUUUGUGAUUUGAUUUAUUUUUAAUGGAUAUUGAUUUUUUAGUAUUUGCUUUGCUGUAAAACUUUACUGAUAUCUGGUUUUUUUGGAUUGAAUCAAAUUUAACAGAUAAAAUGUCCAGCUCCUAUGUAUCUCCAUGGUGAUAGUAGACUUGUUCCUAUGUAUCUCCAUGGUAAUACAUUUUCAGUUAUUUAUAUGAGUCUUUUCCUAACAUAUUGGAUCAUGAAUUAUUGUCAUUUUCUUCUUGCUUAAUCAGAAGAAAACUAUAUCCACUAAAAUGCAAAUCAUUUUUCAAUACGUUAUAACAACGAGUCACAUGGGCAUUCGCAAACGUGGACUACACUUCAUGAGACUAGGGUCCCAAAAACAACGUCUACAGUUAGAAUAAUUUAAUGAGAGCAGUGGCAAAGAAGGGAGAGCAAGAGAACGUAUAGUUUAGGUAUCAAAUGGUGGGACGACAGCGAGAUGAAUAUAAGAAGAGCACCGAAGCACAUGUUGAUGAAUUUUCAUCAAUAUUAGUGAACAACAAGGGGAAGAAUGUAGAGAGAUGACCAUGAUUCUUUAUAUCUUUUUAAUCAAACAAACAUUUGGCUGUGGUGUUGUUAUUCUGAUUUUCCAAAAUAAAGUGUUUUUUUCUUUUCUCUUUUGCUGACUUGCAUAUAUGAAUGGAUAAACUAACCAGGGUCAAUCUUUUUAUAUAUGUAUGUCUUUGCCCUAUGUGUUUUUUUUUUCUUAGUUGUUGGUGAUUGUAUCUAUUUGUUACAUCUUGGUGAAUCUAUAUAUUUUGGUGAUUGUAUCUCUUCUUAGUCUUUGGUAAAAAAAAAGUAACGCCAACUAUCAGUCUAAGAAGGAUAUAGUCGUUUAGCAAAAAAAAAGGAUAUUGUCUAGUUGAACUCUGGAAAGCAACCGUAAAUCAUGAAUCAUCACUAGAAUCUUCAUAUGGUGAUGAAGGCAUUCUUGUUACUAAUAAUGAGCUCGAAUGCUUCGGGACCCAUAUAUAUAUAGGUCAACGAAAAGGAUUUGAUAAUUUAACAAAACUGUAUAUGGUAAUUAAACCAAAUAAGAAACCUCAUAACGAUGCGUAGUUGCGUACGUAAUGUUAAAUUGUGUAUUUCAGCUUUAGCAAAUACAAUACAGAAGUAAGAAAGAAAGGGAUAGAUGCAUGCGCAUGCACAUGCACAUGCACAUGUACCUUGUUAUUCUUGUGCCCCCUCUUAUUAUUAUCGUGUGACAAACGUCGUUCGGUGCCAAAAUUGACAAAUCUCUCUACUAAACAACGUACAAAUCUGACAAGUGUCACUUUCUCCACAAAUGUGUGAAUAUAUAGCAAUUCUCACAUGCGAGACAAUUCAAAUCCAAUGGGAUGGAAAAUUCCAAAGUUAAGCAAAAAACAAGCAAACCAAUCAAGUCUUGCGUGCUAGAAUUUGUAAGAAGAAGAAGACGUGAAAAUAUAUAUAAAAGAAAAUGAAUAAAAUUGCCUGAUUAGGUAAACAAUAUUGUAACAAGAAGAAAAAAAAGUAGAGAAAACAAAAUCUUGUUUUGAAACUACAACAAGGGAGGAGCUAGGAAGGAGGCAAAAUUCAAAUUAUAUAUACAUAUACAUACGAAAGGCCAUCUCAUCCACAUUUCUCUCACCCACUUUCUCUCUCUCUCUCUCCGCGCUUUUGUAUUUUUUAAAAUAUUGAGAAUCUCAAAAAUAAAAAAAAUAAUUGAGAGAAAAAUAGAGAAAGGAGAUCGUGAAAGACAGGGAGGCUCAGCUGAAGAAGGAGAUAACUUUUGGGUUUGGAGACUCCUGAGAACAUUGGCUUCUUCAUUCUACACCUGAAGGUUGUAAGAUCUCUCUCUCUCUCUCUCUCUAUCUAUCUGAUUCGGAUUGGUUAUCUGAUUUGCAAAAGUUCAAUGCUUUUUGGAAACAAUAAUAUUCGAAUUACCCUUUUAGAAUAAAAAUUGGUUCUUUUUUUGUUUGGAGGUUUCGACGGAUCUGAUUCAAUCGGUUUUACUUUCGUCUAGCUUCUGUUUUCCUUGUUUGGAUUGCAGAUCUGAAUUUUCUUUCUUACCUGCCUGCUCAAAUUGGUUUCUCCCAAUCUCUUUUGCAAAUGCUUGUGAAUGAAAUAGCGAUUUUGAGCUUGAGCUACGAUUUGAAUGGUUUGCAUCGUUUAAUCUCUAGCAACUUGUCGUGAAUCUCCAAUAAGCUCAGUGGCUGAAACAUGAUUAAACUAAUAAUUUGAGCUAUAUACAUCUUUUUUUGGUUACACAUAAAAAUCGUGUCUUUGUGUGUGUGUUUAAGGUUUCAAGUGUUCCUUUAGUUGAUUAAUGAAUUUGUAAGCAUAUUCAUCAUGCUAAUUGGUUAAAGAUGUAGCCUUUGUAUUACAUCACUCACUGAUUUAGCUUCUUUUUAUGUGUGUGUGUGUGUGUUUGAGAUUUUAAGUGUUCCUUUAGUUGAUUAAUUAAUUGGUAAGCAUACCCAUCAUGCUAAUUGUUUAAAGAUGUAACAUUUGCAUUACAUAACUCACUGGUUUAGCUUUUUUUAUGUGUGUAUUCAAAAUUUCUAUUGUUCCUUUAGUUGAUUACUUAAUUGAUGUGCCUACUCAUCAUGCUAAUUGCUUAAAGUUGUAGCCUUUGUAUUACAUCACUCACUGGUUUAGCUUUUUCUUUGUAUGUGUGUUCAAGAUAUCUACUGUUCCUUCAGUAGAUUAAUUAAUUAUUGAGCAUGUUCAUCAUGCUAACUGCUCUAAGAUGUAGCCUUUUGUAUUACAUCACUCACUGAUUUAGCUUCUUUUUUUCUGUGGUGUCAGUGUGUCUUUAGCUACUCGUCAUGGUGGCCACCUCUGCUACAUCCUCAUUCUUCCCUCUCCCAUCUUCCUCUCUCGACCCCAAUGGCAAAACCAACAAAGCCACCUCCACCAACUUCUCCGGACUCAACCCCACACCAAACUCUUCCGGCAGGUUAAAGGUCAAACCAAACGCUCAGGCUCCAUCCAAGAUCAACGGCAAGAAAGUCUCCUUGCCAGGCUCAGUACACAUCGUAAAGACUGAUAAUAACCACGAUCUCUCGCAACAAAACGCACCGAGAACUUUCAUCAACCAGCUACCUGACUGGAGCAUGCUUCUCGCCGCCAUCACAACGGUCUUCUUAGCAGCUGAGAAGCAGUGGAUGAUGCUUGAUACUAAACCGAGACGCUCCGACAUGAUUAUGGAUCCGUUUGGGUUAGGGAGAAUCGUUCAGGAUGGGCUUGUGUACCGUCAGAAUUUCGAUAUCAGGUCUUAUGAAAUAGGUGCUGAUCGCUCUGCAUCUAUAGAAACUGUCAUGAACCACUUACAGGUAUAUUGCAAUCACACUCGUUUGAUACUAGAGCUUGACCCGCACUGAUGUUGGUUUUUAUAUUUUUAUAAAUUGUUUAGUGACAUAUAGAUAUAGGUUAUUUAGAUAUUUCUAGGUUCCUACGAACCUACCCGGACUCAAACCCUGUCCGUAAAAUUGAGUUUAAUUUUAAACCAAAAAAAUCCGAUACCCGAAAAAACCGAUCUGUAUCUAACUCUUGUCCUCAUGACAGGAAACGGCACUCAACCAUGUGAAGUCUGCAGGACUGCUGGGAGAUGGGUUUGGUUCUACGCCUGAGAUGGUUAAGAAGAACUUGAUAUGGGUCGUUACUCGUAUGCAGGUUGUCGUUGAUAAAUAUCCUACUUGGUAAGCUCUCUUGCCACUUAACCUUAAACAAUAUGCAUGAAUCAUUUGCUUAUUCAAAUGUCUGUUUCACCAGGGGAGAUGUUGUUGAAGUAGAUACAUGGGUCAGUAAGUCUGGGAAGAACGGUAUGCGUCGUGAUUGGCUAGUUCGGGAUUGCAAUACCGGAGAAAUCUUAACACGUGCAUCAAGGUUAGCUUCUUUUUGUUUUUUUUGUUUACUCCAGCUAUUAUCUGAUUAUUGAGUUAUAACCAUCUCUGUGUUGCAAAACAGUGUGUGGGUGAUGAUGAAUAAAGUGACAAGGAAAUUAUCAAAGCUUCCUGAAGAGGUUCGAGGGGAGAUAGAGCCUUACUUUGUGAACUCUGACCCAAUCCUUGCCGAGGACAGCAGAAAGUUAACAAAGCUAGAUGACAAGACUGCUGACUAUGUUCGCUCUGGUCUCACCGUAAGUAUAAAUAUUCAACUCUUUAUCUUUUAGCGUGUAAAACUCUUGAGAGAUUCUUAUGAGUUUAGAUUCUUAUGAGUUUAGUGAUGAACUUUUGCAGCCGAGAUGGAGUGACUUGGAUGUUAACCAGCAUGUUAACAACGUGAAGUACAUUGGUUGGAUACUCGAGAGUGCUCCAGUGGAGAUGAUGGAGAAGCAUAAGCUGAAAAGCAUGACUCUGGAGUAUAGGAGGGAAUGCGGGAGAGACAGUGUGCUUCAGUCUCUCACCGCGGUUUCGGGAUGCGAUGUUGGUAGCCUCGGGACAGCUGGUGAAGUGGAAUGUCAGCAUUUGCUUCGACUCCAGGAUGGAGCUGAAGUGGUGAAGGGACGAACAGUGUGGAGUUCGAAAACACCAUCAACGACUUGGGACACUACAUCGUAAAAAGAACAGCAAAGGGUGCUUUGGUUCCCUCUGUAAACUAUAUACCUGCUUGCAACCACCACCUUUGUAUAUUUUUAUUCUUAUUUUUGGUUUUAUUUUUCUUUGAUGGAUAUACAUUAUAUUUAUUUAAUCUUUCUAUUUAUUUGUUUUUUUUUUCUUAUGGGAAAAAUGGGUAUGGUCGUUUAUCAUUACAGUUAUGUUAAUUAUGUAUUCCUCCCAUGUGCCAUGAUGGCCAGACAAGGCAAUAGCUUACUUUCUUAUCAUCUUAUAUUUAUUGUACUCUCUUGAGUUUUGUAGUUGUUUCCAGCUGAACAAACACGUGCAUCAUGUUCUUGUGACUUGUGAGGAAUGUCAUGGCAUGUACCUGUCAAAUUAUUGAAUGGCUACUAAAUAGACAACGAACAACUAAAACGGUUAGUGGUUUGAAAGGCAUAACACAAUUAUUAUUACAAACGACAAAGAAAGCUUAUAAAGCAAUAAUAAUCUGGAAAGCUUAUAAAGCAAUAAUAAUCUGGAAAGCCAUAAAGGUAGACGAGAAAGGACGAGAAGAGUUUGAAGGUUUAAGUGUCCAUGUAUUUAUGUAUGUGCAUUAUCGUAUACCACCGGUCCUGAUUAGUUUAGCUUAACCGGUGUUGGUUAAGUAGAAUCACGUGUUUUGGUCACGUGUGGUGAGCACUGUAAAACGGCAACGUAUGAGCCGUUACAGCUACACCUUAUCUUGAGCUAAGCUCUAGUGACUGAUGAGAGCUUAGUGCAGAGAGUUAUCAAGAGAGAAAGGAUCGGUGGUUGCGAUUGUAAUCCAAGCUCUAGAUCAGAGCUGAGUAGUGGAUUGCUGAUCAUAGAUCAGCCCCAGGAGAUAUAGCGGCCUUCUCACGUUGAGAGGGUGCGGUGAACCUGGGUAAACACUUCGUGCGAGUUCUUGUUUCCUUUCGAGUAGUUCGUUAAUCAACAAACCGAGUUAGAUCUAAGCCGUUAGGAGAAGCGGAUCGCACAAAUUGGUAUCAGAGCUUGAGUUGGAGUUUCGAGGAGGUUGCGAUUCGAAGAUCUAAGGUUUCUUGAAGCGAAGCGAUGACAAAGACAAAGAUCGAGAUCGAAAGAUUCGAUGGAGAUGGAGACUUCUCUCUCUGGAAGAGAAGGAUGUACGCAUACCUAAGCGUAUCAGGUCUGAAGGAUGUUCUUGCCGAGAAGGCCUCAACCUCUGAGGUCAAGGUAGACGGAUCAGAAGAAGAUGAUCCAGAUGUCAAGAAGAAGAACAUCGCAACAGAGGAAUCUAGGCUGGAGCGAUGCGAGAAAGCUAUGAACAUGAUUUUUCUCAACGUCGGAGACCACGUCUUGAGAAAGAUCGAGCGAUGCACAACAGCAGCGGAAACAUGGACGACACUAGAGGCUCUAUACCUUCCCAAGUCUCUGCCGAACAGAGUCCACGCGCAGCUCAAGCUUUAUGGAUUCAAGAUGCAGGACCAACGAUCAAUUGAUGAGAAUGUAGAUGACUUUCUCAAGAUCGUUGGUGAGUUGAGUCAUCUCAGUAUUGAAGUCCCAGAGGAAGUGCAAGCAGUCCUCCUACUGAACGCAUUGCCUGCGAAAUACGAUCAGCUGAAGGAAACUUUGAAAUAUAGUAGAGAGGUCAUAAAUGUGGAAGACGUAACAAGUUCAGCUAAGUCGAAGGAGAAGGAGCUGAAAGAUUCAUCAACGUCACGACCAAGCUCAGAAGGUCACUAUGGCAGAGGGAGAUCAGAAUCACGAAGCUGGUCUAGUAACAAAGGCAAGGCAAAUGCAAGAUCAAGAUCGAAGUCUUCAGAAAAGAAGAAAGUUUGCUGGAUUUGUGGGAAAGAGGGACACUUCAAGAAACAAUGCUACAAGUGGUUGGAACGGAAUAAAGGGAGGACUCAGAACUCGCCAGAGUCCUCAAUGGUAAGAGACGACGCUCAGGAUCUUGUAGGACUAAUUGCUUCAGAAGUCAACGUGUCUCAAAGACAAGAUGAAACAGAAGAAUGGGUCUUAGAUACUGGAUGUUCUUUCCACAUGACCUCAAGGAAAGAUGUCAUGAUUGAGUUUAAGGAAGCAACAGGAGGGAAGGUCAGAAUGGCUAAUAAUAGCUAUACAGAAGUCACUGGGAUCGGCUCCGUCAGGUUCAAAAACCCAGAUGGUACAACCUUUGUACUUCAUGAAGUCAGAUACAUGCCAGGAAUCGCAAGAAAUCUGAUUUCGUUAGGGACUCUUGAGAAGAAAGGAUGCGAGUUCAGAGGAUCAGACGGUUUUGUGAAGAUAGUAAAGGGUUGUGCGGUUAUCAUGAAGGGAGAGAGAAGAGGUAAUGAUACGCUGUAUAUUCUUCAAGGAGGAGCUUUGAAGUCAGAGGCUAAUGCAGUGAAGGAAUCCUCUGAAGAUUCGACCAGACUCGCAACGACCAAGCUUUGGCAUAGCAGGCUUGGUCACGUUGGUCAAAAGGGACUAGAAGUUCUAGCCAAAGAAGGAUGUAUCGAUAGAGCCAGUAUUACUGAUCUUGAUUUCUGCGAAGACUGUGUCAUAGGCAAGGCACAUAGGGUAAGUUUCGGUACAGCAAAGCACGUUACAAAGGAGAAGCUAGAUUACGUGCAUUCUGAUCUAUGGGGCUCUCCAAAUGUUCCCAAGAGUUUAGGAAACUGCCAGUACUUUAUAACAUUUACUGAUGACUGGUCCAGAAAAGUAUGGAUCUACUUCAUAAAAACCAAAGACGAAGCCUUUGAGAAAUUCGUUGAGUGGAAAAAGAUGGUUGAAGUACAGUCAGAAAGAAAGGUUAAGAAGCUCAGAACUGAUAAUGGGUUGGAGUACUGCAAUCGCAGAUUCGACCAGUUCUGUAAGGAGGAAGGAGUUGUACGUCACAGAACCUGCACGUAUACUCCUCAACAAAACGGGGUUGCAGAAAGGCUCAACAGGAGCAUAAUGAACAAGGUUAGGAGUAUGCUCAGUGAGAGUGGUUUGGAUCAGAAGUUUUGGGCUGAAGCUGCUUCUACAUCGGUCUACGUCAUCAACAGGCUACCUUCUUCUACUAUAGAGUUCAAGAUUCCAGAACAGAUGUGGACGUCAGCGUUACCAGAUCUUUCCAGGCUAAGGCGUUUCGGGUGUGUCGUAUACGUACACUCGGAUGAGGGAAAGCUGAAUCCAAGAUCAAAGAGGGGUAUUUUCACUGGAUAUCCAGAUGGCGUAAAGGGUUUUCGCGUGUGGCUACUUGAUGAGGAGAAAUGCGUUAUCAGCAGAAAUCUGAUCUUUCGAGAAGAAUUGAUGUACAAAGACAUCAACAAGAAUGAAAUCUCAGGUAACUCUGUUCCUUUCAAUACGCUUAUGACUAAUGAAACUUUAAGUUUUGAGAAUGCAGGAAAACAGGUAAUAGGCUCCGAUGAUCAGGAAGGAUCUUCACAAUCACGUGAAGACAGUAGUGCUGAGACUCAGUCACCUACAACAGAGGCUGUGACUCCGGUUAACCAGCAAGAUUUGAGUGAUUAUCAGUUAGCGAGAGACAGAGGAAGACGUCAAGUCAGACAGCCUUCAAAGUACAAAGACUAUCAACAGUAUGAGGGUGAUGAUGAGAUAGCUGGUUUUGCAUACCUGAUGAUUGAAGACGCAGGACGACCAGAACCUGGGAGUUACCAAGAAGCUCUUGAAGAUCCUGACAGUGAGCUGUGGAUACAAGCCGCAGAUGAAGAAAUGGAGUCGUUACUGAAGAAUAAGACGUGGAUACUUGUAGACAGAGUAAUGGGUCAGAAACCUAUUGGAUGUAAGUGGGUGUUUAAAAGAAAGGCCGGGAUUGCAGGGGUUGAAGAUCCAAGGUUUAAAGGUAGACUGGUCGCGAAGGGCUACGCACAGAAGGAGGGUGUAGACUUUCAAGAGAUUUUUUCACCAGUCGCCAAGCAUGUAUCCAUCAGGUUUAUACUAUCCAUGGUGGUUCAUUUUGAUAUGGAGCUACAACAAAUGGAUGUUAAGACGGCGUUUUUGCAUGGAUAUUUGGAUGAAGAUAUUUACAUGGAUCAGCCUGAGGGCUAUAUAGACAAGAAUCACCCGGAGAGAGUGUGUCUACUGAAGAGGUCACUAUAUGGUCUACGUCAGUCACCUCGACAAUGGAACACAAGGUUUGAUGAGUUUAUCAUGAGUCACGGUUUCAUCAGAAGUGAAUACGACAUCUGCGUUUACUUCAAAGAGUACGAAGUAAAUGAGCACAUUUAUCUGCUCUUGUACGUGGAUGACAUCCUCAUAGCAUCUAGAAGUAAGACUGAGGUUGAGAAGUUGAAACAGACUCUAGGCUCAGAGUUUGAGAUGAAGGACCUCGGUGAUGCCAAAAAGAUACUUGGGAUGGAAAUAACACGAGACAGAGAGAGAGGAACCUUAACAGUAUCUCAAGAAGAUUAUGCUAUGAAGUUUCUAGGAAACUUCAACAUGGAGAAAUGCAAGAGUGUAUCAACUCCUCUCGGAGCACAUUUCAGAUUGAGCUCAGCAACAGAGAAAGAGCUGAAAGAGCAGAGUGACUAUAUGAAGACUGUUCCAUAUCAGAGUGCUGUGGGUUCUCUGAUGUAUUCCAUGGUUGGCACGAGACCUGAUCUAGCCUAUGCGAUUGGAAUGGUCUGCAGGUUCAUGAGUAACCCUAUUAAGAUUCACUGGCAAGCUGUCAAGUGGGUUUUACGGUAUGUUCGAGGAUCAACGAAGAUGAAGCUGUCAUACAGGAAAGAAAGCCAGUUCAUUGUUAAAGGAUAUUGUGAUGCAGACUAUGGAGCAGAUCUUGAUAAAAGGAGAUCUAUAACAGGGAUGGUGUUUACUGUGGGAGGAAACGUGGUGAGCUGGAGGUCAAGUCUACAGAAGUCAAUUGCGUUAUCAACUACAGAGGCAGAGUGGAUUGCUUUGGGAGAAGCUUCAAAGGAAGCUAUGUGGCUCAGAGGGUUCAUCAACGAAUUAGGAUUUGAGCAGGAUCGAGUUGAGAUAUUUUGUGAUUCUCAAAGCGCCAUUGCACUAUCAAGGAAUCCGGUACAUCACGAGAAGACGAAGCAUGUAGAUGUGAAAUACAAUUUCGUCAGGGAGCUGGUUAGUGAGAAGAUCAUAGACGUGGUAAAGAUAGCGACUCAGUAUAAUCCGGCAGACAUCUUUACAAAGGUACUACCGGUUGGGAAGAUGAGAGAAGCCCUGCGGUUUCUCAGAGUUACAGAAAACUGAAGCUAAACAUUCGCUAAGUUAUUGAAGCCUGGUGGGAUUAUCAGGAAGAUAAGAAGCUGAGUGAAGUUUCUCAGGAGGAGUUAACAAGAAGAGUUAACAUGAGAAGAUAAGAGGUUUGGAGCUGGAGUUUACAGUUUCAGGAGAGGAUAGUACUAAGAGCUAUCAAGAGAAGAAGUCAUAUGCACCAAUACGUGGACAAGGAGGAGAUUUGAAGGUUUAAGUGUCCAUGUAUUUAUGUAUGUGCAUUAUCGUAUACCACCGGUCCUGAUUAGUUUAGCUUAACCGGUGUUGGUUAAGUAGAAUCACGUGUUUUGGUCACGUGUGGUGAGCACUGUAAAACGGCAACGUAUGAGCCGUUACAGCUACACCUUAUCUUGAGCUAAGCUCUAGUGACUGAUGAGAGUUUUAGUGCAGAGAGUUAUCGAGAGAGAAAGGAUCGGUGGUUGCGAUUGUAAUCCAAGCUCUAGAUCAGAGCUGAGUAGUGGAUUGCUGAUCAUAGAUCAGCCCCAGGAGAUAUAGCGGCCUUCUCACGUUGAGAGGGUGCGGUGAACCUGGGUAAACAAUUCGUGCGAGUUCUUGUUUCCUUUCGAGUAGUUCGUUAAUCAACAAACCGAGUUAGAUCUAAGCCGUUAGGAGAAGCGGAUCGUACAGAGUGUUAUAGAAGGAAAGAGACGAGGAAGAAAUGAAUUUAACACGGUAUCACGGUUCACGGAUGUUAAGUGAUGCAUUUGAAGUAGAAUGCCAUAAAACGCACAUCAUAAUUGCAUUGCAUGCAUUAAAAAUUAGAUUUACUCUGGUAGUAAGUGGUUUUCAUCGACUUUCAAUAGAGUUUUUUUUUUUUGUUUUUGUCGGCACUUUCAGUAGAGUUAUAAGCUUAACAUAUAUUACAACCUACUUAAUAUUAUAUCUGGGGAUGUCUUGUCUUCUUGAAUUAUUUUUGGGUCUAUUUUCCUCUUGAUUGUUGCAUCCAACUCAAUAAAAUAUUACAAUUCAACUCCAUCUUGACUUUUUAAGAUUUGAAGUCAUGAGGAUAUAUAAUUACAAAAGUCAGUAGCUAACUUGUACUUAAUUUAUUAGAUUAUUAGUAAUUUAAAAUCGUAUAAAGAACUAAAUCAGUGCAUUGUAACUGAUUAAAAAAAAUUCAGUAGAUAAUUAGUAUUACACCUCCAGAAACACAUAUUCUAUGUUUAUAAUUUUGUAACUAUUAUUAUAACUCCAAGAAACAGAAUGCUUAUAUUACACAUACAAAAACUGUAGUCAUCAGAACCGAAGGAGAAUUGACUAAAAGAAUGAUGCCAAGAACCCCAUAAAAACUAAACAUAACAAAUUAUAUUUUGCUAUGGAAGAAGAAUUUUUACGACCCUUAACCAAACUAUCAUCAUCAUCAUCACUCUCAAUAUCUUUAGGAUGGUCAAAAUUGGCGGGAACUAUGGUAUCAGGAGCAACUUCAUCAUCACCGGAUUGAGAUGGUUGGCCUGGUCCAGGAGCCGUCUCAUCAUCUUCAUCUGGUGAUGAUAAAGCAGGUAGGCCUUGACCAUGUGUUACAUUUAUCAUGAAAUGCUGUCCAAAUUUGCAUUGUUCACCAUCAUAGUUUCCUGAGAAGAAAUAAUUGGAACCUUCUUUGACAAGAGGAACUUUUACCGAGACCGGAACUGGAGAUGUUGCUGAAGGUUUUGCAGCUGACCACUCUUUUGUACUAUUGUCUUCAUUAUUGUUGUAAUCGCAUGAUUUGUAUGUUUUGAAGUCAUAUGUUUGCACCACCGAAUGGUUGCUAUCUGUGUUGAAUACUACAUUUGAACAACAAAGACGUUUAUGAUUUGAGACUUCAUAAACCAAAAACAAAAUUAUCAAUUCAAAUUUUUAAACUACACAUUUUGCUAAAAUAUUGUAUUUUUAUAUAUCUAAACGUCAGAAACUACAUUUUCUUAACAUUAUUUCUUAAAAAUAUGCUUGGUUUUUAUUAUAUUACUAUGGUUACUUCAAAAAAUAGAGCUAAAUUUUGGUGUAAACUUACUGAGGAAAUCACCCAAAGAAAAGGAUUUGGAAUCAGCCCAUUUCUGAUAGUUUACAGAGGGUCUCUCCUGGAUAUCGAACCAUCCUUUGGACUCACCCACGGUGUAGUUCUUGUACGCAUCAGCUGACAAACUCAGAACCAUAAGGCUCAUGAUGAGUAACACAUUAAAACAAGAUGCUGAUGAAGAUCUCAUGCUGCAUGACAUUACUCUUCUUCCUCUCCCGAUUCUCUAGAUUACAGAGCUUUGCUUUGAUUGAUCUAUAUUUGCUAUAAAAAAGAGAUAUGAGUCUAUACAUAAAGUAAUAAGCUGGUCAUUGGCAUGUGGACAAGUCUUGAUGUUUGGGGUAUACGAAGGAACAAGAAACGAUGCGAACUGGUCGGUCCAAUAAAAAACCAACGCCUCCUUCUCCUUCACACCACGUGAUCUCUCACCUUAUGUUUGCUGUCUUGGCUUCCCUACAUCUGCCAACUGUCGUUUCUACAGCCUUACUAAAUGGAAUCCUUAGAUAACGUGUUUUGUAGUGUGCUUUUACUUUACUACCGUAGAUUCGAAGUUCUUUUUCAUUCCAGUGAUUUUGAUUGAUUACAUCAAAAAAUUUCAGAUUUUAUGUUUCGGAAAAACAAUUUAUUCCAAAAUUACUUAAAUUAAAAAGGAAAUUUUGCGAAAAAUUAAAUCACAUGUUCAAUAUAUUAUGACCACUGUCAUUGAUAUGCAAAAAAAUGAAAAACUUAUAUCAGUAAGUUUCCUUCGGUGACUAACAAAUGCAAGUUCAAUUAAAUAUUUUUCAUUAUUGAGUUUUAGUUGGGCCUUCAUAAACUCAAACAAAAAUAAUGGGCCAGGAGACAUCUAUUGAAAAGGAACUCUAUUAUUUUAAAGUUUAGGAAAUUUAGGUUUCAGAUUAAUCUGGUAAACCGAACGGAACAAAAUCAAACUAAAAUAGAUUUGGUUACUGGAGUUCAAAUAUGAUUCCUUGACUUGUCGAACCCAUAAACAACAGUGUCAAUGGCUAUGUAAAUGUAUUUUAGCAUAUAAUAGAGGCAAGAUAAUGUUGUUUCUUCAAGUCCCAAAGGCCAUUAUGUUGUAUUUUUAACACUGAAUAAGCUUUUUUAUUAUAAAUCCAAAAGAGACUGUUUCAGUUCAUCUACUCAUGGGGCAUUGUAGAAUUAUUGAGACAAGGAAAACAAACACGUUUCGAGAGUGAGAACAUAAAGAAAGGUUCGAAAGAGAGUCUGAAAAUGGAUUUAACUGCUACCACCAUCUCAUGAUCUUUGCAAGACAAUCUUGGCAGAGAAAAUAGCAAGCUUCUCUCUGUUUUAGGAUUCAGGACCUUCCUUGAGACUUGCGUUCCCACCAUUCCAUGAACUUAACUUGAGCAGCCAUCGUGUCCAACUUAUACAGUUGCAUCGUGUGGUUAGCGACUUCUUGCCCAAAGGUCCAACCAAAAAGACCUCCUCCUAAGAAUGACAGUGCAGUACCUGCCGCACCAAGCAGCAGUUACAAAGGUGCAUACUUAUCAAGAGAUAUACGCAUACAGUUCAGUAUUUGCCAAACAUGUAACAAGAGCGUUUUAUUUACAUGGGACAUAAAGUAUUUAACUUACUCCAGAAGGUGUUCAUUUUGUCUAAUGAUUAAAAGGGUUAUUCACAAAGAGAAAAAAAACGUAUUUACCAUGUGGACUCCUGGAAUAUUUCCAGGAAAAAGCAGCAGUAGAUACAGCUCCAAGUGCAGCUCCAGUAGCACCAAAAGCCGCAGCUUCCCUAGCAGUUUUCAGCUGCAAUAGGAUGAAAACACAACGUAAGUCCAAGCUUUCCAAGGAGCAAAAACGUCUAUAUCUUGAGUAAGAGUGCAUAUGAGCUAAGAAAUGAGCAAGAAGUGGAGCAUGGAAUGGAACAUGGGUUGAAUCAUAAAGAAUCCAAAACACUCUCCUAACCCUUACGAAAUUCCUGAAUACUGAUCACAUUCUGCUCUAGUAACUAUCUAUCCUGCUUCUUCCUAUAGCCUUCUUCUUCCCUCUCCUACUCUUUCAUCAAGUUUCUUCCAACAUUCAAUAUCUUUUAACUCCAUUAAACAAUAAUCUAUUCCUUCCCUAAUACAUUCACAUCAAAAAUCUUUGCUAAGAACAGUGUAAACUCACUGAGGAUUCACUCUAUCUAUUCAAUAACAGAGCUCUCUACUUCAAAAAAAUCACAUAGAUCAAAGAGCCACGAACAAUCAGUCAGAGAUUCACAAAGGCUCAAUCAGUAAAUCAAAUACAACGCCGAGGAGAUAACAAACAAAAUCAAUCGAAUAAUCCAUGGAUACAGAGAGAGAGAGAGGGGGCAAUACGGUGGGUCCAUUGACGGGAUCCGAGGCUAUGAACUCGUCGACGUCGGAGGAAGACCAAGAAGGAAGAGGCGUAUCGCGUUUGGUGAACCUCGUGUAAUUCUCCAGGAACGAUAACCUCUCCUCCCAGAACCCCUUGAAUCCAUCCAGCAACGAUCGCGAAUCUCCCAUUCUUCUUCGCACACUUUCUCUCAGAUCGAUAUCGAUUUUUUUUUUUCCUGAUUGAUUCAAUCGGAGACGAACGUCGCUCCUCUACGCCGCUCAAAAUAAUCAGUCCAGUAGUCUAACCAGUAAAGUAUCGCCACGUGGUUAAUAGAAUACAUUUGGUAUUUAAGAAUUUUCAUUUAUUUUAUGAAAAAUUAGAAUUUCAAAUGUUUCUUCUCUAAUUUCACAUUACCGGUUCGGUUCAUAUAUUUUAAUUUUUUUUGGAUAUUUUGAGUCUAUUAUUUGUUCGGAUUUUUGUUUUAUUUGGACCGAGUUGAGAUAUUUUCUAAUAGAGGACUAAAUAUAUGAAUUUGUAUUAAAUGUUCAAAAAUAUAUAAUACUGACGAAUUUUCGAAUUUUUCCAUCUGGAUUUAUAUUUAUACAAACACACAUACACAAAAUGUUUAGGUUUAAAGAAAAAUAUCUUUAGGGGAAGAUUUUAUAUAAUUCCUAGCUAAUAUGUUCAUAUUAAUUUGGACUAGUGAUUUGAAGGUGUUAACUCUACUGCUAAAGCCUUCUUUCCAAAGAAAAUAGGUGCUAGGUUCGAGUCUCAUCAGUUAUGGAGAGUGGAUUAAGCAAGUGGCUCUUGUCCAUGGUCCAAAAAUAUCAUGGGAUUAUGUCUAUAACUUCUCAAAUUCAACUAAAAAAAGAAAGUAACCGGCUCUUGUCCAUGGCCAAAAAGAUUAUAGGUUUGGACCAGAACUUCUUGAAUUCAACAGAAAAAUAAAAGUUUGGCUACUGUAUAUUAAUUAUCAAAUCAGAUUUGUAUUUUCAAUCUUUGUUAACUCAAGUCUCGAUAUUAUAUGCCCAGUCCUACUAGCUAGUCGCUCGCAUCAUAAUCCAAUCCACAUCAAAAGUAGACGGUCUUCAGCGAAGUCGAGAAGAGAGUGUAUAUGAUCUUGUAUGUAUAACGUAUACAGAACAAACCAUACUUUCAAUAUUUUUUAUCUACUUUUGAACAUAGUUUUCAAUUGUGUGUGUCUUUUUUUUUUAAAUUAGUCACUUAAUUUAUAGUUUUUGUUUACAAACAUACAUAUGAUUUGACAUUGUGUUCCUGUGUACUUAGGGUUUUCUCACAAACAUGCAAUCGAAGAAAAAAAAUGAUAAUUAGAGUAACUGAUUCGGUAUACAAGACUAAUCGUAAAAAUUAAGGAAACAAAAACCCUAAUAAAAAUGGAGGUUGAAAAGAAAAACAUAAUAAUGAUGAGAAAAAAAAUGCAGUGAGAAAGAAGGAAGAAAAGAAAACAUUAAAGUGUGUGGACAAGACCCGUCAGAGGCACAAACAGCCAAAGACAUCCAAAGACCCCAACUAACAUGAUUUGACGUUUCAGAUUCUGUUUUUCUUUUGGAUCAUUCAUUUUAAAAAAAAAACUAUUUUCUUGUCCAUUUUAAAUUAGUAUAUCUUAUUAUACGCAAGUUUUUAUGUAUUUUAGUUUUCUUUCAUAAAUGAGUGUGCAUGGACGAGUCGACGGAAGGUGUACGUAAGUGUCUCUAACACUGUUGGUCUGUUGCACACACUGGACAACAUGGCCCUACAUCUCUAACCUUCGUUGAGAGAGAGAGAGAUGGCUUUCAUUAAACAUAGCCACAAGCACAGUUCGGGUCAAUUUUGGACUAUAGAAAAUGAAAGUUAUAAUUAAUAUGUAUACUUGAAAUUUGAAUAGCAAGUUGAUGUCGACGUGGAAACUAUAGUGAUUGCAAUUUGGUCGAUGCUAUGAGUCAAUUUUUUUUCCAAAGUGGCGCAUUCUUUUAGCAAAAGUUGACAAACAAUACAACUACACAAAACAUUAAAUUUUAAAUCGAUAAAAGAGUACAAGGUUUUUGUUAAUGGUUAUUAAGAAUUUUCACUAGCGAUUAAAAGAAUUCAAACACAUUAUUCCUUUUCUAAAUUAGAUACGUUAACAUGAAUUAUUCUGUUGACUUACACAUGAUGCAGACACGAGCAUUGAUUUCUUUUCUUUUUUUUUUUCACGAGCACGAGCAUUGAUUUCUCAUCAAUGAUUUUUUUUUUUCAUUUUAAACUGUUAAAAUAACCAAUUUAGCUAUUCAUUGGGAGCCUUUGCUUUUCGUAAAGAAUGUUUCUUUGGAAUGAGUGAUUUUCAGAAUUAUCUCAGCACCAUAAAAGUCACCAUAUCAUAUCCCAAGAUGGAAUUUAUCUUUUCUUACCCACUCUAUGUAUAUACUACUGUACAUGGGCUUGUAUAAUAAGUAUAUAAAUAUUUCAGUAUACACAAACAAACAUGUAAAGUCCAAACUCCUUUUUUCAAAUUCUAUACAUUAAUUAACAUUGAUAUAGAUUACUAUAAACUACUCAAUUUUCAAAAUUCGUGACCUCACAAAGAGCUACACCUUUUCAGAACAAGGAAAUAUGAAACUUAUAUUACAAUCUUCGUAACGGAGAUUUCAGGUUCAGAUGUGAAAACCAUAUAUGGGUUCACUUAUUAGGAGAAUAUAAGCUAGAACUGAAGUUAUAGAUGGAGCCCACGCAAGAAAAAAGAAAGGGACAUACAUACACGUAUAUAUAUGUGUGAAAGGUUAUGGUGAUCUUCUUCUUCCUUACCUUCUCUUCCAUCAUCAGCAUACACAUACAUAUAUAUAAUAGCCAUUAUCAACGUAUAUGUAAAGGCUUUAGUAGUAUCCAUUAGACUUUUGUCCUGCAACUGUCUGGUCUAAUUGCUUGCCCUUCUUGUUGCCAUCCAGCUUUAAUCCAAAGUGAAUGUGAGGAAAAUGUGCCCACUACACACACACCCAAUCAAGCAAAACUAAAAUUUUAAAAUAUACUGUAAUAAACAUUCCACCAAUUGCGAAAAGUAGAAUCCACUAUCUUGUUGGUAUAUACACUUAUUGUUAUUACUAUUUUUUUAACCAUCAUAUCUCACAUCAGAGAAAUAGAUCAAACCCUAGGAUUUUCUAUUUUUAUAAGUUUACUACUUAUUAGAAAAACUAAAAAUUGUAGUUUCUUUAAAAUUAAGUAUGUACAGAUAUUUUUAAAACGUUGUAAAGUAUAACAAUUUAGUAAGCUUUUCAUUAGAAAUAAAGAAUUGUUUUAUAUCUUCAUUACGGUUAAUUCUUUACUAUCAAGAAUUUUAUUUGGAGCUACCUCUCGAAGGCUAUUAUAAUUGUGAAAGAAUGAUAAAGAAGGAAGCUUACAUUUUUAGCAGCUGUGCUAAACGCCUCGCGGUGGCUGAUCUCUGGAUUGCCAGCCUUGAUCCUUUGGAUUUCCUCUCUAUUUAACAUUAGGGGAGUUAUUAAAAUGGUAGUGAAAGGAGUUGAGAAGUUUCAUUAAAAGAUAAACUUACUUGAUGAAUCUGUUGUAGGCUGAAGGAACGCGUUGUCUUUUCUCCGGCGCUGCCAUGAAAAUAAAAUUAUGGACUCAUUGCAUAUGUACACAAACUUCAAAUGCUUGUGUAUCAAAAAUGAGAGUAAAGAGCAACUAACGACGAAUAGGAGGCAUUCUAGGAGCCUCUCGAUCGACAUUUUCUGACAAUGUGGUCGAGAAAUGGUUGGAGCUCCUAGAGGAUGAUCCAUAUUCUUUCCUUGUUAUCGAAGUUGUUAUCUGUUGCUUAUGCUGCUUCAUGAUUGCAAAGACUAUAUCAGCCAGAAUUCGACAUAGUAACAAGAAAAUGUUGAAGUCCUAUAAUGAUUAUUAUUAUAUGAUACCUGAAGAUCUUGAUGAAUGGGAGUAGGUGGGCUUUGAUGAAGUGAAACUCCAAUGUUGAGAGAGAGCAAAUUGGUACAAUGGCCACAUCUCACAGUCACAAGCGUGAACAUACUUGCGUAUGGUACACUUACCUGAUCAUGGAUAAAAUAGGUGGUAAGAUAUCUUAAAUCAUAUAUAUAGACGGACAAGUUAUUUGUCUUGUUUACCACUAUCCUGUUAUUCGAUUAGCUGGUUAGACCAAUCUCUAAUGUAAUAGAACUUAACUAUAUUGUGCAUGCAAUAAUUAACAGGAGAGGUUGAGAAAUAUAGUACGCAUGUUAACUAUUCCAUUCUGUAGAACUGUGCGUUUUUGUUACUUAUAGAACAGUGUAUUGAUUUGACAAAUACAAAUCCAACUAAUAUUUUCCUGAAUAAAACAAAUAAAUAGGUUCUUUUGUUGACUUAUAAAAUCAGGAUUAACGGAGCGUUCAUAGGGUGAAGUUCUUAGCGGAAUAUAAGAAACAAUCUCUUAACUUUUAACUAAAAAAGCUAAGAACCCCACUCUAAAAAUCCUCUAUUAAUCAUGCUCUAAAUGAAUUGGUCGGAGAAAAUUCAUAAAGAUCAACCUAAGGUGAAAUGCUAGUGUUUAUUUCAUUAUACAGUUUCACUAAUUAAUCAUUCAGAUUUAAAAUAUUCGCACGGUAUAAUGUACUUCAAUAAUAAAACGGAGUACAUAGUACCCUUUAAAGUUUAAAUUUAAACAUUUUUUGUGUUCAUAUUGAAGGAAAAACAGCUAGUAAAAUAUUUCUUUUUUCAUACGUCAAAGAUAUUCCUCUAGUUUGUACAUGUAAUAUAAUAUAUUUAAAUAUUUAUAGAAGUAUAUAUUAUCAAGUUUAAUAUUUUUCCCCUGACCCAAAACAUUCAAAAUUGUUAUGCUUCUACUUUCAUAUUUAUUAAAAAUUGGAAAAAGUGGGUAAAAGAGUAGUUCAUGAAUCUAUAUCUAAAUAUGUAUACGAGAGGGGUAUUUUGUGUAUGGUGGGUUCUCUUGACAUAUAUAUAUAUAUAUAUAUAUACUAUAAACUACUCAGUUUUCAAAAUUCGUGACCUCACAAAGAGCUACACCUUUUCAGAACAAGGAAAGAUGAAAUUUAUAUUACAAUCUUCGUAACGGAGAUUCCAGGUUCAGAUGUGAAAACCAUAUAUGGGUUCACUUAUUAGGAGAAUAUAAGCUAGAACUGAAGUUAUAGAUGGAGCCCACGCAAGAAAAAAGAAAGGGACAUACAUACACGUAUAUAUAUGUGUGAAAGGUUAUGGUGAUCUUCUUCUUCCUUACCUUCUCUUCCAUCAUCAGCAUACACAUACAUAUAUAUAAUAGCCAUUAUCAACGUAUAUGUAAAGGCUUUAGUAGUAUCCAUUAGACUUUUGUCCUGCAACUGUCUGGUCUAAUUGCUUGCCCUUCUUGUUGCCAUCCAGCUUUAAUCCAAAGUGAAUGUGAGGAAAAUGUGCCCACUACACACACACCCAAUCAAGCAAAACUAAAAUUUUAAAAUAUACUGUAAUAAACAUUCCACCAAUUGCGAAAAGUAGAAUCCACUAUCUUGUUGGUAUAUACACUUAUUGUUAUUACUAUUUUUUUAACCAUCAUAUCUCACAUCAGAGAAAUAGAUCAAACCCUAGGAUUUUCUAUUUUUAUAAGUUUACUACUUAUUAGAAAAACUAAAAAUUGUAGUUUCUUUAAAAUUAAGUAUGUACAGAUAUUUUUAAAACGUUGUAAAGUAUAACAAUUUAGUAAGCUUUUCAUUAGAAAUAAAGAAUUGUUUUAUAUCUUCAUUACGGUUAAUUCUUUACUAUCAAGAAUUUUAUUUGGAGCUACCUCUCGAAGGCUAUUAUAAUUGUGAAAGAAUGAUAAAGAAGGAAGCUUACAUUUUUAGCAGCUGUGCUAAACGCCUCGCGGUGGCUGAUCUCUGGAUUGCCAGCCUUGAUCCUUUGGAUUUCCUCUCUAUUUAACAUUAGGGGAGUUAUUAAAAUGGUAGUGAAAGGAGUUGAGAAGUUUCAUUAAAAGAUAAACUUACUUGAUGAAUCUGUUGUAGGCUGAAGGAACGCGUUGUCUUUUCUCCGGCGCUGCCAUGAAAAUAAAAUUAUGGACUCAUUGCAUAUGUACACAAACUUCAAAUGCUUGUGUAUCAAAAAUGAGAGUAAAGAGCAACUAACGACGAAUAGGAGGCAUUCUAGGAGCCUCUCGAUCGACAUUUUCUGACAAUGUGGUCGAGAAAUGGUUGGAGCUCCUAGAGGAUGAUCCAUAUUCUUUCCUUGUUAUCGAAGUUGUUAUCUGUUGCUUAUGCUGCUUCAUGAUUGCAAAGACUAUAUCAGCCAGAAUUCGACAUAGUAACAAGAAAAUGUUGAAGUCCUAUAAUGAUUAUUAUUAUAUGAUACCUGAAGAUCUUGAUGAAUGGGAGUAGGUGGGCUUUGAUGAAGUGAAACUCCAAUGUUGAGAGAGAGCAAAUUGGUACAAUGGCCACAUCUCACAGUCACAAGCGUGAACAUACUUGCGUAUGGUACACUUACCUGAUCAUGGAUAAAAUAGGUGGUAAGAUAUCUUAAAUCAUAUAUAUACACGGACAAGUUAUUUGUCUUGUUUACCACUAUCCUGUUAUUCGAUUAGCUGGUUAGACCAAUCUCUAAUGUAAUAGAACUUAACUAUAUUGUGCAUGCAAUAAUUAACAGGAGAGGUUGAGAAAUAUAGUACGCAUGUUAACUAUUCCAUUCUGUAGAACUGUGCGUUUUUGUUACUUAUAGAACAGUGUAUUGAUUUGACAAAUACAAAUCCAACUAAUAUUUUCCUGAAUAAAACAAAUAAAUAGGUUCUUUUGUUGACUUAUAAAAUCAGGAUUAACGGAGCGUUCAUAGGGUGAAGUUCUUAGCGGAAUAUAAGAAACAAUCUCUUAACUUUUAACUAAAAAAGCUAAGAACCCCACUCUAAAAAUCCUCUAUUAAUCAUGCUCUAAAUGAAUUGGUCGGAGAAAAUUCAUAAAGAUCAACCUAAGGUGAAAUGCUAGUGUUUAUUUCAUUAUACAGUUUCACUAAUUAAUCAUUCAGAUUUAAAAUAUUCGCACGGUAUAAUGUACUUCAAUAAUAAAACGGAGUACAUAGUACCCUUUAAAGUUUAAAUUUAAACAUUUUUUGUGUUCAUAUUGAAGGAAAAACAGCUAGUAAAAUAUUUCUUUUUUCAUACGUCAAAGAUAUUCCUCUAGUUUGUACAUGUAAUAUAAUAUAUUUAAAUAUUUAUAGAAGUAUAUAUUAUCAAGUUUAAUAUUUUUCCCCUGACCCAAAACAUUCAAAAUUGUUAUGCUUCUACUUUCAUAUUUAUUAAAAAUUGGAAAAAGUGGGUAAAAGAGUAGUUCAUGAAUCUAUAUCUAAAUAUGUAUACGAGAGGGGUAUUUUGUGUAUGGUGGGUUCUCUUGACAUAUAUAUAUAUAUAUAUAUAUAUGUCUGACACACAAUCCUCAAGGCAACAUGAUAAAAGAUAGUAAAGAGAUGAAGAAUGGUUGAUGAAGCUUGUAAGGAGAAGACAGCCAUGUUAGAAAACGACGUGACCUUAACCACAACCCAUAAAGUCCUUAACAUAAUAUGUGAUGGUACCAUCUUAUAUUAUAAUCUUCUUUUAUCUUUGUGUAUGUAUCCAAUCCAAAGUGGUCAAGAUCGGCCAUGAUUUAACACUUUGCAGCUUUUUUAUAGAUCAAGACAUUGUUGCUCGAACUGGGUCGAACAAAUCUUUGUACUUUCCACUACAAUACGAACCCUAUUUUGUGCAAGGCGACCUUCGUUAUUUUUUUUAAAAAAUGUGACCGUUUUUGUCGCUAAUCACACUCAUGCUACAUCUUCAGUAUAACAUUUAUAAAUAAUCAACUUAGAAGAGUUUCUCGUGAUUACUAUAUUUAUUUUAACCUUAUCUACACACUGCAUGCAAGACUUGUAUAGAAGUUAAUAACAUUUUGGGAUAACACUACUACACUAGUAUUAACCAUAAAGUAUAAACAACGUAACUGACCUCAUGUCCUAGUCAGUUUUUCCUGAUAGCUUCUAUAUCAUAGAUUAUUGAUUUGUAUGGUACAUGUAUAUAUAUAAAUAUAUGUGUACACAGUACACAAAUGUAUGUAUAUAUAGUCAUCCGUUAAAUAGUAAACAAUAUCAAGCCGGUCUACAAAGCUGAAAAUAAUUAAAUUUAAAUAAAAAUAAAAUUAUAUAGAUAUAAUAAUAAAAUUAGUCUCACUUCACUGUUGAAAAAUGAAAUUUUGGGGAAGCAAAAAAAUGUUUUUCUAGAAUUAUCAGCUGGUGAUGUGAUGUAAAUAUUUUUACAUGGACCACGCUUUGUAGAUCAAAGAUCUAUGACUGAUAUGAUAUAUAUGCAUACCUGUGUCACAUGCUACAGUUUAUAUAUUAAACGAUAAUAUGAAAGUCAGACUAUAAAGCUUGAAAACUUAGUGAAAGUUUUUGAGCCUGUAUCGCAUGGACGCAGGCAGCAACGCCUAAUACCUUUUACAGGAAAUAUUAAUGGCGAUUGGAACUUAGGGAAUUGAUAUUGGUAGUUCUUAAGAAAAUGAAGGAAUGAAUUACUGAAACAACAAAGAAAAAUUGUCUUCUAAAACGACAAAAACCUUCAAAAUUGUGAAAUUAAGGAAGGUGCUAUUCUUGUAGACAAUAAACCUACACAUAGAGCCCUAGAUCUGAUCAGGAGCUGUUCCUUUGAGUUUACUUUGUUUGAGCACUAUAAUAUAUGGUUCAGUUACCAAACUUCUUUUGCUUCUUUGGGUAUAAUAUCUCACCACCCGUUAGUGAGAGUCAUCUCCACAAAAGACAAAGGUAAAAUAAAAAUCUAGGGUUUCUUUUAUUUUCUCAAAUCAAGAAACUUCACCUAUAUAUCUUCAUCAAUAUUCAGAAGCAAAAUCAUCAUACACUCAUCACCAAUUAAGUAAUUGAUAGGAAGAUAACAUCUUAACUAUUUGAAUUAUGUUAGAAAAGUGAGAUCUAGCUCUGAGUUAAUACCAAUCUCUCUUUUCUUUUGAGAAAUAUUCCAUUUCUAAUGUAAGCAAAUAGGGGAAGCGAGAAAAUUACCGCUAAAAUCGUGGUGCAGAAGUUGCAGUGGACAUAACAAACACGGUCAGAUGAUAAAUCUAUAGACAUUAUGAUCUCUGGCUUCUCUUCACUGAUAUCUCUCUUCUUGUUCGGGUUACAUGAAAGUUUUAGCUAUGCCAAUGAGAUCAAAGAAGGAACUAUUUGAUCUUGAAAGAAUAUAUUAAAGAAAAGGCAAGCUAAGAAGAGAAGAAGAAGGAUAGAAAGAGAGAGAGAGAGAGAGAGAAAGAUGUGUGGAGGAAGGAUACAAAAAAUCUGAAAAGACUAAUGGGGUUUGUUUGGGGAGGGAGAGGGACAAGUGGGGACUAUACUACAAUGUUCUUUAUUUACUAUACUUUUUAUAUUGGAACUGUGCCGCGUAUUCGCAACACGGAUCGAACAAUACAAUAUUAAUUAAAACUUUUGUUUUUAUUAUUAUAUAUAUGCAUAUAACACUUAUUUGAUCAAUGGUUGUAGUUUAUGAAAGAUAUGCAAGGCAAAGAAAUGUACAUUCUAGAAUUAAUUGUUAGGCUUUUCUUUGAUUGAUUGAAGUAAACAUUCGCCAAAUGAAAGUGUCUGCAAGUAUAUGACAUCAUGCGAGUUAUAGUUUAUGAAAGCUAUGCAAGUCAACGAAAUACAUGCAUAUUUGGAUCGAUAAGACUUUUUGACGAUUUAUGUGUCAUUUCACCAAAUGAAGGUGGCCUAAAUGUAUAUGACAUCAUAAAAAAAUGACUAUAUGAUAGUCACUAGAUCCAUUUUGCACACUCUCCUCCAAUAUUGAUUUAAUAAAAUUGGAUACGAGAAAGUAAUUGGUGGAAGCAAAAGUUUGAGGCAGUUUCAUUUAUAUGGAUUGGAAGAGAUGGGAAUAAAGUUGCAGAUUGCUUAGCAAAACAUAGAUUAUCUAAUAAUAUGCUGUUUGUAUCUCAUUUCUAUGUUCCUAACUUUAUAACCCAUUUGUUACAUUCUGAUCAGAUUAGAUCAUUAUCAUAAUAAAAGAUGUAUUGGAGUUAAAAAAAAAAAAUUCACAAACAUUCAUUUUUGGAAAUAUGUGUGAAUACAUAUAAUAUGACAUUUACUGUAUUUUACAAGAUAAUUAACCUUUUCUAGAUUUUAUCAAAAAUAUGUUUGUCAAAAAAGUAUCAAUAUCCUGUAACCAAAUAUUGAUAAAUGUUUUUAUAUUAUAUCAAUUUCAUUAUAAAUGGAAGAUGUUAAAGAAAUUCAAGUUCUUAUAACAAAUCUGAGAGACUGGAAACAAAUUAUCAAGGAGGAUUUCUCAACAUUUGCACCCAAUUUUUUUUUUUUAAUUUAGGAUACUACGUAAAACCACGAGGUCGAUAGGCAUAUUAUGCAUUGAUUAAGAUUAUACACAAUGAGUUCGAUGCCCUUGUCCAUCACUAUAUUUAUUAAUUAUUUGUUUUACCAAAAAGAAAAAAGAUUAUACACAAUGAAGCCCCAAAAGGCCCAAUCUAUCUAUAUGGGUUUUCAAAGAGAUUUUCAUGGGCCGAAAGUGAACAGCUCAGUUAAUAGCAUCUGUGCUGAAAAUGAGUGAAACAUAGCAUUUACACGAACUGGGACCAUUUUGUUAAAAUUUUGGCCCAGUUCCUACGCAGAAGAAACGACUUUGAACAUUUCCACACCAUGCGACGACUUGUAAACACGAAAGGAGGAAGAACAAUCCAGAACCAGGGGUAAAAUCGUAAUUACACCAAACGACUUUGAGUCAACUCUCACUCCUAUGUUCUCUCAUCUUCUUUGUUAUAAACUCAACCUACAAUGUCAAUAAGCAAGUGCUAUAGAGAUAGAUUCUGAUAAAAAAUGAGAUUAACCCAAAACAAGCUCAAGCCUUUCCACCUCUUCCUCUUCUCUCUUCUCACUCUAACUCCCUUGGCUUUCUCUGAGAUCUUCUUUGAAGAGCAUUUCGAAGGUGAAGUGUUACCACAACACUCCUUCUUAAAAAAGUUUCCACCUUUAGGCUUUCUAUUUAUAGAUUUCUGCAACUAACUUAGUAAGAUUCGUUCAGGUGGAUGGAAGAGCAGGUGGGUCUUAUCUGAUUGGAAGAGAAACGAAGGCAAAGCUGGUACCUUUAAGCACACCGCCGGCAAAUGGCCCGGCGAUCCCGACAAUAAAGGUACUUCCUUUCUUCUACCCUUUUAAGAUAUUUAACCAAUUGGGUCUGAAGAAUCAGUUAGAGAUAUGUUUGGUGUUCUCUAAUGAUAAACCCUGAUUAGGGUUUAUCUGAAAUGGGUUAGAAAAGGGAGAGAGAUAGAGAGAAUGGGGGCUGAGAGUAUAAGAUUUGUUGAUAAAUAUUUUGAUACCAUAAACUUAGGGAUAACGCCCUUUAAGUAGCAAUACAACUUAUUCAAAACGACAACGUACUAUAAACUCAUUUUAAUAUAAAACCCUCUUUCUCACCAAGAGGUUUACCCACACUUCAUCUUCUGUUUCCCUUAGCCACUUAACUUCACCUUCUUGGACCUGUUCUUCUUCUCCACGAAUGCUAAUGGGACAGCCAACUUAUCAAUACCCCCUCGAAGAAGACUCAGCUUGUCCUCAAGCUGGAAUUCCGGAAACUGCUCCAACAACAUCUUAACCGGCUCCCAUGUACAUUCAAAAUCAGGUAGUCCUUUCCACUUAACUAGCACCUCAGCCUUCUUAUCCACUCCUGAUUUCCUGAUCUCUAACAAUUCUUCGGGCUCAGUAUUCCACUCCAGCGAUGAGGAAAGGACCAAAGGUAACUCCUGAACCUUAGUGUGAGGCGCCACAGCCUGCUUCAACUGAGAGACGUGAAAGACAGGGUGAACCUGGCUGUGCGCUGGAAGCGCCAGUUUAUAAGCUACCUUCCCAACUCUUUUCUCCACCAGAUACGGACCAAAGAACCGAGGAGCCAACUUCUCUACUCUUCUCAUGGCCACUGUUGUUUGUCGGUAUGGUCUCAACUUCAAAUAAACCCAAUCUCCUACUGCAAACUCAACCUCACGACGCUUCUUAUUCGCAGAUACCUGCAUCCUAGCCUGAGCCGUAGCAAGAUUGUCUCGAAGUUCUUGAAGCAGAGUAUCACGAUUCUGUAACAUCCCUUCUACCUCUGCGUUAGCUGUAGGCACAUCUCCAAACCUCAACAACUUCGGUGGGUCUCUCCCGUAAAGAGCACGGAAUGGCGUGGUGUUAGAAGAUGAAUGGUGAGAGGUGUUGUACCAAUAUUCAGCCCACGGUAGCCACUGACUCCACGCUGAAGGUUUUCUUCCUGCGAAACACCUCAGAUAAGCUUCUAGACACCGGUUGACUACCUCCGUCUGACCAUCCGAUUGCGGGUGAUAAGCAGUACUCUUAUGCAGAGCUGUACCUUGACUUUCAAACAGCGCUGCCCAAAAGUUACUCAAAAAUACUCUGUCUCUAUCUGAUACCAUCGUCUCCGGGAAGCCGUGUAGCUUAAUCACUUCUCUGAUAAAAACCUCAGCUACAGACUUCGCAGUGAAAGGGUGCUUCAAGGGAAUAAAAUGUGCAUACUUGGUCAAUCUGUCAACCACGACCAAGAUCACGUCAAACCCUUUUGAUACUGGCAACCCUUCUACAAAAUCUAAGCUGAUAUCAGCCCAUACUUGCUCGGGAAUGGGUAGUGGGGACAGCAAGCCUGCUGGUGAAAGUGUUGAAUAUUUGUUUCUCUGACAGACCUCACACGAUUUGAUGAACUCUGUGAUGUCGCUUCUCAUUCUCUUCCAGUACACUUCUCUCGCCAUUCUUUUAAACGUCUUCAACACCCCUUCAUGCCCACCUACUGCACUGUCAUGGAACUGACUCAUCAAUGCUGGAAUAAAGGGUGAGUUAGCUGGAAUCACCAAUCUCCUAUCCUUGAACAAAAAUCCAUUCUCUACGCUGUAACCCUCAUACUCCUUCUCUCCUCUUUUCACUCCGGUAAUGAUUUCCUGCAUCAACUCAUCUUUCUCUGCUUGAAUUGCUAACUCAUCCAUGUCGAUAGACAACGGAGCUGUCAACUGGAACUCCUUAAGUUCAGCCGCGUCGUCAGUCGCUUCCACUCUACGAGAUAAGGCAUCCGCCACUCUAUUCUCCUUACCUGGUCUAUACUCAAUAGUGUAGUUAAGACCAAGCAGCUUAGAAGCCCACUUUUGCUGUUCUACUGAUACUGCCUUCUGAUCCAACAGGUGCCUCAAACUCUUUUGAUCCGUUCUUAUUGUGAACUGAUGACCCGUAAGAUAAUGCCUCCACUUGGUCACAGCGAAGACGAUAGCCAAAAGCUCCCUUUCAUAUACCGACUUUACUCUGCCCUUGCUCGAAAAUCCCUUACUAAUGUAAGCCACCGGUCUGUUCUCUUGAGAUAACACUGCCCCGAUCCCACUACCUGAAGCGUCAGUCUCAACUACGAAAGGCUUGGAGAAGUCUGGCAGCCUUAAUACUGGUAAGUCACUCAUAGCUUCCUUCAGUCUGUUAAACGCUUGCAUAGCUCUCGGAGUCCAGCAGAACCCAUCCUUCUUUAAAAGCUCAGUCAUAGGUCGAGCUAUCCUUCCAUAACUUAAAACGAACUUCCUGUAGUAGCCAGUAAGCCCCAAGAACCCCCUCAAGGCUGUUACGUUCCUCGGCGGUGGCCAUUUUUUCAUUGCUUCGACCUUUUCUGGAUCUGCUGAAACCCCCUCUUUGGUGAUCACGUGACCCAAAUAUGCGAUCCUUCCCUGCCCGAAAGCACAUUUCUUCUCGUUCGCGUAAAAACGGUGAUCCUUCAACACUUGUAACACUAUCUUCAAGUGCUCCUGGUGCUCCUUCUCAUCUCCACUAUACACCAGUAUGUCGUCGAAAAAGACUAACACAAACUUUCUCAAGUAAGGCUUGAAGAUGUCAUUCAUCACAGAUUGAAACGUCGCGGGGGCAUUAGUGAGCCCAAAAGGCAUCACUAGAAACUCGUAAUGUCCCUCGUGCGUUUUAAAAGCCGUCUUUCCUACGUCACCAGCCUUAACCCUUAUCUGAUGGUAACCGGAUUUGAGAUCGAGUUUAGAGAAAAUUGCUGCUCCCUCCAACUCAUCGAGCAACUCUUCAAUCACUGGAAUGGGGUAACGAUCCGGUAUGGUACUCUUAUUCACUGCCCUGUAGUCAACGCAGAAACGUAGACCACCAUCCUUCUUCUUGACCAACAAUACCGGGCUCGAGAAGGGACUGAUACUAGGCUUUAUAAUCCCGGCUUGUAACAUCUCCUGUACCAGCUUCUCGAUCUCGUUCUUCUGAAUAUGAGAAUAUCGGUAAGGUCUUAUGUUGAUAGGAGAUGUUCCUUCGUGCAAUGUAAUGGCAUGCUCCCUUGACCUCUUGGGCGGCAGCCCUGUAGGCAUGUUGAACACCUCCUUGAAUUGUCGAAUCAGCCUUUGAAUGUUAUGACUCGGCUUUACCAACCGCUCCUGCUCGCCGACAUUCUCAAACAGCUCCUGCAAUUCCAACAAGUAAACAUCUCCUUCGCUUCCACACAACUUCUCCAUGGACUUGAGUGACACCUGAGCCCGCACGAGUGAAGGGUCACUGGCCAGCGUUACCCACUCAUUGUCAACUUGGAACCGUAAGAUAUGCAGACCCCAGUUUAUUCUUGUUUCUCCCAGCGAUGCCAACCACGUAUAGCCCAGCACCAUGUCUGUAUCUCCCAACUCAAACAGCAAAAAUUCACCUUGUAUCUCAAUUCCCUGAGCGACCAACUUAAGAUCUACACACUUCCCUUUUCCAGUGAUAACUCGACCAUCUCCAAUGGCCACGCCAAACUCCGGGGUAGGCACUACAGGUAGGCCGAGCUUCUCUACUAACCUCGUGGCUAUGAAACUGCAAGAGGCUCCAGAAUCAAUCAGAACUACUACCUCCUCUCCUCCAACGUUUCCUCUAAUCCUCAUGGUUCUCUUUGUUGUGAGGCCAACCAUGGAUUGUAAAGAGAGAACCUGUAGCUCUUGCUUAGUGUUGGUUUCCUGUUCCUCUCCUAGUUCAUCCUCAUCUUCCUCGUCUCUUUCUGACUCCUCCUCAACCUCCAAACAUUUAUAUUUUUGAAAUGUUUUGCAUCUGUGUCCCGCAAAGUACCGCUCUCCACAUUGCCUACACGGGUUAUGCACUGCCCUUCUCUGAUCACCUCCUUUACCAUCUCGUUGUGCAUCCAAUGACCUCCUUGCAGGAGUGGUUUCCCCCGGCUUAGAUGGAGAUACACUCGAGCUUCUCUGGUUGGAGUUAAGCGCUGGGGCUGAGUUAGUUCGCUGGAAUGGUCGAGAAUGAUACGCAUGUCGAUCAUUUUCUUGCUCCUCAAUGAUCUUUGCUGUAUCCACUAUCUCAUCCAUACCCAUUGGCCUCAACCUCACAACUUGCUCCCUCAAGCUUCUCUUCAUACCAUGUAAGAAAAUCUCUUCCAACACAUCGUUAGGAACGUGUGGAACUUCUGCCGAUAAUUCUUCAAACUGCUCACGGUACUCAGAUAUGGUCCCCGUCUGACGUAGUCGCAGCAUUUGACUAAGAAUGGUUCCUCCCCGGGAGGGUUUGAACCUCCUUCUUAGUUUCAUUUUAAAAUCCCUCCAAUCCAAUAGCUCAUCCCGAUCCUGAAUCAUCCUCAACCAUGUCACCGCACACCCCACCAUACUCGCCAUUGCCUGAGUAAGUUUCUCCUUUUCCUCCGUUUGGUUCACUGAGAAGCACUUAUCCACCCUAAAAAUCCAAUCAUCAGGGUUCUUCCCUUCAAAAUCAGGUAACUCAAGCUUCUUCUGAGGUGGUGAACUCUUCUGCGACACUGAGUAACCAGAAGACCCCGCGGUGAACGGUGUCUUGGAAAUCUCCGCUGCUCUUAACGGAACAGCGUUCUCCGGAAGGGUUAGGAUUCCCUUCUCACUUCGCAUCUGCAGACCUUUCUCCUGUGGCUGACGACCUUCUUCCAACGAACGUUGUGCAUCCCCUGCACCUUCCUUAACAGAUCUAGGGUUUUCCAGGUUCGUUACCGCAGCGAUCGUAACACCCAUCGGUUUCUCCUCCAGGGAUUGACGGUGUCUCUCCUCCGCGCGUUUCUCGUUCUCCAGGGCUCGAAGGUUGUUUGCUUUCAUCUCCGCUCGCAUCUCCUCGAUGAUGCUCGCGAGUCCGCCAAGCUGACCCUCAAUCGCAGUCAUCCGAUCUGCGUUAGAAUCUUGCUUUGGUGGCAUUUUGUGGCUCUGAUACCAAUGAUAAACCCUGAUUAGGGUUUAUCUGAAAUGGGUUAGAAAAGGGAGAGAGAUAGAGAGAAUGGGGGCUGAGAGUAUAAGAUUUGUUGAUAAAUAUUUUGAUACCAUAAACUUAGGGAUAACGCCCUUUAAGUAGCAAUACAACUUAUUCAAAACGACAACGUACUAUAAACUCAUUUUAAUAUAAAACCCUCUUUCUCACCAAGAGGUUUACCCACACUUCAUCUUCUGUUUCCCUUAGCCACUUAACUUCACCUUCUUGGACCUGUUCUUCUUCUCCACGAAUGCUAAUGGGACAGCCAACUUAUCAUCUAGUCUUUGAAUCUUUGAAGCUGACUUCGAGUUUGUUUAGGUAUCCAGACGUAUAAUGAUGCCAAGCAUUAUGCCAUUUCUGCAAAGAUUCAAGAGUUCAGCAACAAGAACCGGACUCUUGUUGUUCAGUACUCUGUCAAAAUCGAACAGGACAUAGAGUGUGGUGGCGCUUACAUCAAGCUCCUCUCUGGUUACGUUAACCAGAAGCAGUUUGGUGGUGAUACUCCUUACAGGUUUAAUCUUAAUGUCUUCUUUUAGUGAACAUCAGUUCCUAGAAGGUUAUAUAGCAACCUUAGAUCAAGUUCCCUUGGCUUGGGGAUUUUGAUUAGUGUUUAUUUUCGUAUGCAGUCUAAUGUUUGGACCAGACAUAUGUGGAACGCAGACGAAGAAGCUUCAUGUGAUUCUUUCAUACCAGGGACAGAACUAUCCGAUUAAAAAGGAUUUGCAGUGUGAAACAGACAAGCUAAACCAUUUCUACACGUUUAUCUUGCGGCCUGAUGCUUCUUACAGCGUUCUGGUUGAUAAUAAAGAGAGGGAGUUUGGAAGUAUGUACACUGACUGGGACAUCCUUCCUCCAAGGAAGAUUAAAGUUAAAAAUGCAAAGAAGGUAAACUAUUUGCAAUGUGGAUUACUAAUUACACUUUACUUAGCUAUUAGUAUGACUUAUGACUACUUUUUUUUCUAUGUAGCCAGUGGAUUGGGAUGAUAGAGAAUAUAUAGAUGACCCUGAUGAUGUUAAACCAGAGGUAACUAUAUAUAAAGACAUUAAUUGUAUUGAGAGGAAGCUAUUCAGUUAGUUCUUAGUUUGAUUCAGGCAACUGUGUUCUUCCUUUUUGUUUUGUAAACAGGGUUAUGAUUCGAUUCCUCGUGAAAUUAAAGAUCAGAAAGCUGAAGAGGUAUGUACUGUUAAAAGUUGGUGGUCUCUUUUGAGUGAUUUGCAUUUUUAGUAGUAGUCUUAAGUUUUUGGGAACUCAUUGGUUUGUGAUAGUGUUGUUAAGCUCUCUCUCUCUCUCACUCUCCUUUUGUUAUUAGCCUGAGGACUGGGACGAGGAAGAAAAUGGUCCAUGGGAAGCCCCUAAGAUCCCAAAUCCAGCGUACAAAGGUCCUUGGAAAGCAAAGGUAAAUGGAUUCAACAGCCAUCAAUGGUUAUGCUUUUAUUUACUCAAUUUUUCUUCUACACCAUCUUACUUUUCUUUAACAAAACAUAUUUCCCUACAGAAAAUCAAGAACCCCAACUACAAGGGAAAGUGGAAGAACCCAUGGAUAGAUAAUCCAGGCAUGUUAAAUGUGUUGUUUGCGUUUUGGGCUUUGAUUACUUUCUUGUUGAUGCUAAGCUUGAGCUUCUCUCUUUCUUUGCCUUGCAGAGUUUGAGGAUGAUCCAGAUCUUUAUGUUCUGAAGCCUUUUAAAUACAUAGGCAUUGAAGUAUGGCAGGUAACUUCUAGAUCUCUCUUGAAUGGUAUCCAAUAUUAUUAACUUUAAUACUCUUUCUCCAUCACCAGACAGUUAUAUAAUAGCCACUGCAAAUUUUUAGUGUAGAACAGGAAACAAAAAUAAAAAAUAAAAGAUAAAAAUUCAUCAUUUUAGACAAGGGUCAGAGCUCAUAUACUGGAUUGAAAGAUUGAUGGUUAAUAUUGCAGGUGAAGGCUGGUUCGAUAUUUGACAAUAUCUUGAUCACUGAUGACCCUCAAUAUGCAAGAAGCAUGGUGGAUGAUUAUUUUGAACAGCACAGGGAGGUAAGAUUCCUCCAAGCCUUUUGUAUAUAUUUUUGCUUCUGUGUUGUUCUGUAUAGAGAAUGUCUUAAUUUUAAUAUUUAAUCUGGUAUAUACACCAGUCUGAGAAGGAGUUAUUUGCGGAAGCUGAGAAAGAGAGAAAAGCUAGAGAAGAAGAGGUUCGUUUAGUUUUUUUUUAAUUAUAGAACAGGUUCUUGUUUCUAUGUAAAGUAUCUUAGUCUUCUUGCAUGGCCAUACAAAAUUUGACAAUCACAGGAAUCUCGGAAGGCAAGAGAAGAAGGGGAACGUAGAAGGAAGGAGAGGGACCACCGGUAUGGAGACAGGAGGCGGCGUUACAAACGGGUACUUACAACAUUGAUCAAACUCGAUUAGUAUUUCUUCUUCUUCUUCUCAAUCUUAACUCUGUUGUUUCUAGAAAGAAAGAAAGAAAGAUAGUGAAUAUGUUGGUAAUGAUGCUUUGUUUUGUUUUUUUGCAGCCUAAUCCACGUGAUUACAUGGAUGAUUACCACGUAAGUGGUGUUUCUAUCUCAUCCAUGAAAAAUAUUUAAUUGCUGUGAAAAUGGUUAAAACUUAUAUGUGUCUGAUCUUUGUGUAGGACGAGCUGUGAGGCACAGUGGUGGGCAUUUCUGGCAUUGACAAACCAAUGAAAACAAGUGUUGAUGGGAGUAAGAGAUGUGUAGAGAAGGAACAUUUGGAAACUGUUUGGUUGUCUUGUGUGAUUGUAAUUUGUAACCUUUCUUGGGGGUUAAAAUGUAACCCUUUGUAUUCAUAUUCAUGUUAAAUGUAUAUUGGCAUGAAAACUGUUACCUGUCUUUUGGAUUUUCACAAACCUAAGUGUACGUGUCGCCUCUAAGCUUGAACCUUCUUUCAGAUCACAGUCACACCCUCACUCUAUUUGACACGGUUACCUGUUUAUGGAUCAUAACAAAAAAGACCUUGGACAAAAAGGCUAAACGAGAAAGAAAAGAGGCCUUAAGGUUCGAUAAAAAUGGACCAGACCGAACCGUAUAUGGGAUUUUUCUUUUCGUUUAUGACAAUCGUCAGGUGCUAUUCUACGUAACUGAUGACCUACUUGUGUCCCUAAUAGUACAUACUAAUAAACAUAUAAUAUGGGUGUUCAUUAAAAAUCAGUUUAGGCGCUCGUCUAGUCGCAAAUGAAUAUAAACGAAACAUUUUUUUUAAACCGAUUUUUUAAAGAAAAAAAAACGGUCUAGGUGUUCAAAAAAUUAACCUAGAUAUCCAUGUUAACAAUAUUUUUUUACAAGAUGCUUAACCACAAUUUUGUAUAAUAUGUUAAUCCAUCUUGUGAAAACGUUUAAAAAGUCAAAAAGAAACUUAAAAACGCGUGUAUGUUGGGCACAAAUGUUAAAAAGUGUACCUUUUCUAACUUGAAACGUACGGGUAAGAUCACAUCAUUGGAAACUUUAUUAUCAAGUAACAAAAAAUAAAUCAAUGACUCGAUACGCAUUAAAGUCGUUAUCACUAAGACUUUUGUUUUGUUUGUUCUUUAGUAUUUCGUUUAAUUUGGAACGUCCUUAACAUUUUAUAAGAAAAAUAGAUUUUGCUUAUUCAACUAUGGAAUUAGAAUUCAACUCAUAUAAGAUUUUUUUUUUUGUGUGCACAACUGAUAUAAGAUUAAUUGCAGAAAAUCUAAAGGCCUCUGAAGAGCUUUUUGAUAAGUAAGUGGAGCAGUCAUGAUAAGCGGAGUUGUCUAUCAUGUGUUAGCUUUCAUAAUGUUAACCCUAACAUCUUUUAUAAUGUGACAAACACACCAUUGGAAUCCAAUGACUGCAGUAGAUUAAUUUUUGAUUAUAGCUGAAUUUCGGGUGUGCAUUGUUGAAAACUAUUUUUACAAGUUCAAUGAAAUAAUAAAAAGUGUGAAGAGAAAUGUAUCUUUGGAAUCUACUGGAUCCAAUGGUUGAUGGAUCUUCAUAUAAAGGUUAAAAAAGAAGUGAAAUUUAAUAAUGGAGACAAAUACCUAAAACUUAUUAACUUACUCUCCACUUUAAUUUGCCCGCCAUUUUGUGCAAGAGGUUUGAAAAAGCAGUUGGAAAAAUAACUAAAAAGCCAAUAGACAAACGAGCACGAGCCCGUGAGUUUACGAGGACAUGACCCUCCUUUAACAUUUUCUUAGGGUUUAAUAAUGACACAUCGCAUUAACACUUAUCAAUCAGUUGCUCGUACACAAUAUCUAUUUAAUUAAUUGAACUUUCAUAGACAGAAAAGCAUACACUAAAUUUUCAUAUUUUGAUAUUAUACCAAAUAUUCAUAAUCUAUUGCAAGAAGGAUUCUACCUUUUUCUUUACGGAUAUUCGUAUCUGCCAUAUUAGGGCCACAUAUAACACUUUUUGUAAUUACUUGACUUGCAUACCUUUUUUUUAUAACCUAACUUAUAAUCAACAAAAGUUGAUAUUAGAAUACUUCCCUUGUAUUACUUGAAUUGCAUACCUUUUAUUUAUUUUACAAUUACUUGACUAGCAUCCUUUUAUUUAUUUUACAACUUAAAUAUUUAUUAAUCAUCUCUAAUUUUUUUUAUUUAUUGGUUGGGAAUAUUCUAAUUAAUAUCAACUUCUUCGCUUCAUCUAUUUCGUCUAAUCGUCUUUAAAGCUACCUCAAGAUCAAUUUGACAGUCUCCCCGUUACUACUAGUGAGGCUCUUCUUCCAGAACCGUUUACAGAUUAUGGGGAAAAUGUAUAUAAGGUGGCGAAUUAGUUUGAUGCGUCGAGUACAAAAAAAAAUAACUCUACAAACCAAGGAUUUUGUAACAUUGUUAAUUUAAAAUGUCGAAUGAUGGAUACUUUAUGAUAAUUACUAUAUUUACAUUAUAUAGUCAUCGAGAUAUGAAUUAAGAGGUACAUUUUACUUUUACUGAAACUUAGUUGAAAAGGACAAAAAGAAGGAAAAAAAAACCAUGGUCGAGUUAGGCUAGAUCCAAAACGAACUCUUGUUCAAAAUAACUUUAUUUAAUACUGUAUUAAUAUUCACCUAAAUCCUAUAAUAAAUAGUUAUAAGUUAUUAAUAAUUUUCUGAUUACCACAAUCUAAAACAUCACUAGCAUUAGUUUGACCACAUAAUACACAACUCGUAUGUACAUGUAUUUCACCAUCUUCAUGUUUUUCAUGGACUGAAUCAUCAUCAUCAUCGAUCUUUAUGGCGACAUGGUGACAAGAGUCCACUGAACUCUCUCCACACGACUGGUCAACAGUGUUUGAUAAAUCAUCAUCACAUAAGAUUGUGACAACAUGAUCAUCUUGAGAUUUGGUUGGCAUUGCACGAACAGUGCUUACAGAAUCUGACUUCUUGGAUGACACGGUCGAUUUCUUCUUGUUCUUAAAUCUUGCAGCGGAUGCGAGUUCAUGUACGGAUUGUGAUACCUUUUCGGUUAAGUUUACAAUAUCAAUGAGCAGAGAGACGGUGGUCGUUAAUGCGAUCAUUUGUAGAGGCUCAACAUCGUUCAAGAUGCCUGAUUUGAGUAAAGUAGAAAGAUCUUUGCAGGCAGAUUGUGAGUUUAAGACAUGAAUAUCAGAAGAUGAUGAUUUUCUCAUUUUCUUUAAUGAAAUUGACGCUUCUUUCAUUGAUUUUCCUGACUCCGAGCUCAUUUUUCUUAACGGUUCUUCUAGUUUCUUUUUGAUGUCCAUUGGGAUCUAAUAGAAAAAGAAGAGAACAAAUAAAUGGUUAAAACGAACAUAUAUUAUGUAUAAUGUUCAUAUGAAACAUUAUCAAUAUAAUAACCUUUUUAAAAACAUUUACGAUAUAUACAAACAUAGAGUAAGAAUAAAUAUAUAUAUAACUUUUUAAUAGUACUUUAAUUAUUCAUUUUUCCCCUCCAGAGGAGGCAUCAUUUCAAAAUACAACAAUAUGAAUAUCAAGAUAAUAUAUAUACAGAACGAACAAAAAAAAAGAUAAUAUGUAUACGUAUUUGUUAGUAUUUAUUACUUUAGAUAUUAAGCUAAACGCAAAAACCUAACAAAACUAUAGAAAAAAUAAUACCUGAAAAUCUGAGUUGAUGUAUGAAUUCAAGGCAUCCAUCCGGUAGGCACACUGCCUGAGUAAUGCAGCGACGGCAAGGUAUUGUUUCCAUGGAUGCCUAAAUCUAAAUUGGCCGUGACGCGGUUCCCAUUUUGCAAAAUUAGCCUAAACACAGUUUAACAAUAUACCAUCAAUACAGAAUCCAAUCCAAGUUAUUGCAAAAAAUGGUAUAACUACAAAAAGUGAAACGAGAAGUGGAAGAGAGAGUACACUACCCACCAAAGCUUCUUCAUUGCUUUUUGAAUUGAGAACACAUUUAUAUUUUUCAAGAUUCCUUCUUCUCUUCUCCACCUCCUUGACGUCCCCAUCAUCUGUCUCUUCAAAAUAUUCGUCCCCAAAUUCUGCCAGUUUCCAACUUUUUAUUUCAUAAUCAUAAUCUCAAAAAUACCACAAUAUUUAUUUAUGUUUUUAAAAAAGCAAUACCAAUCUUUUAGAAAGAUCUAGGAACAUUUUCAAGAAGAUUUUGUAAAAGCAAAUGUGAUAUUUUUGGUGGGGAAGUAUUUUUAGGUAUUAUUAAUUUAUAUACAUAGUGAACCAUAAUUAAGUAAGGGAAAGAACCUUGAAGGAAGCGGGACAGUGUAUCAAAAUUGGAGGCAAGAAGAGAGUGAAGGUCUUGUCCAGCCCAGACAGGGCAGAUAAAGAUAGAGAUAAGGACGCAACUGACUCCUCCCAUUAUCACUGUCGAUAGUCUCUUAUGCGCCAAAUCCAAUAUCUCGUCUUCUCUAAACCCCGACACUGAUAUCAGUGAGAACGUCAAUAUGAAUAUCAAUAUCCCAUAAUCGUAUCUCGCCUUCACCCGUGGGAAGAACCUCACGAACGUCGAUAACGCAGCUGCACACACAUAUAUAUAUAAUAUAAUACCAUGCAUUAGUCAUGGAAACAGUGCCCAUGUACAACGAACGUUCAAAUAAAAUUUUAUGCCUUUAUUCUUCAUAUAUUUUUAUAAUAUCUACAUACAUGUACAACUAAAAUUGUUGAAUAAAUUUGUGAUAUCCUAGGCGACUGAUUCUUUUGUAUAUGCUCCAGAUCGGACCUGCUUCAUAGCAUCGAGUUCGAGUUUCAAUGUUCUGGACUUAAUACCCGAGGUGAUUAUGUGCCAAAAAUCCGAAUCUUCUUGGUACUCUAUAAAGUUAUGAGUGUUAUUAUGGUUACCUUGCGCAAAGACAAAGAUGGCGAGUAGAAUAGGUUCUACUGUUGGACCGGACAAACUUGCUAGGUGAUGAGCUCCAACUCCUAGUCCUCCAGCUACUAAUGUUGCCACUGCUCUAUUUAUUCCUUUCCCAAGUGUGGCACCUAUGUACACACCAAACCAAUGUUAAAUCUACUUACUCCGUAAAUAUCAGACAUAAAUAUUAAAGGGGCUGGUUCUGAUCACAUGUCGGACUAACCUACAGAAAAUUCAAAGACGACAACGACGGUCAUGACGGCCCACAUUGCAUUGACACCAAAGUUAUCGUAGAGAGGUUGAUAAUAGUAGAAGGAAGAGACCAAAGCAAGAGCAAGUCCCACUUUGAAAGAAUGAACUAUUCUUCUUGGGUCUUCUUUUCCUACUCUCCUCCCUUCUUUCCAUAUCUCUCUCACUUUUUCCAUUGCACCUUUCAUUUACUCACCUCUUAAGCGAUUUUGAUUCUCUUAAAUACUUCCAGAAGGAGAGAACCAAGUAUAAAAUGGCAUGUUGUUUUGUCUCGAUGGGUCGAUGUUAUUUGUAGAGAGCAAUGAGAUUCUUGUGUAGGACCGGACUCGUGAAAUGUUAAACAAAUUGAAAAUGAAAUAUUAUAUUAAUCAGAGACAAGAGUAUUAUUAAUUAGAGGCAGAUAGUACUUACGUGAACAAAUUUUAUUUUGUUGCUGAUUUUAUUCGAUGUUUAAAAAGCAGAGCCAUUAGUAGCUAGCAAGCUUUAUUUUUCAUUGUUAAUUAUGUUUCGGAAAUUUCCUGUGAAGGUUCAUGUACAAAAGAAACUCUUUAUGUAAAUAUUAGUGCUUUCCACAUUUGAUAUCUAACUAUUUAAAAGUUGGUAUGUGUACAUUAAAAUAAGUAUUAAUAAAACUAUAUAUUUGUUUUUUUUUAAUUUGUAAUUUAUAACUCUUUCAUAUUUAUCUUCAUUUUAUACAAAUAAAAAUUUUCUUAAAUUUGAAAGAAACGUUUCCCAAAACUAUUUUUAAUGAUAUAAUGAACAAAAUUUCUUUAAAUACAAAGUACGUUAUAUAUAAUAAGGUUUCCAUAAAAACUGGUUAAAAUAGUUGGAUCGUACUUAAACUAAAUUUUACUUAUGUGCUAAAAUUACAAAUGUAUUUAUUAAUUAGAUCACAUGAACUAUAGUUAUAAAGUGUACUCACUUAUGCGUCUGUCUUUUUAUGAAAAAAAUCAAGAAGACAGUGGAGAACAGAUUAAUUUCGAAUGUGUUAUCAAAUAAAUAUAAUUUCAAUUAUAAACAUUUGUGGGGAGACUUAAAAUAAUGAAACAAACAUUCUAGUAGUUUUGGUUAUUGACAUGACUAAUCAUGAUUCAUGAUUCCAAAAUAGAAAGAUAGUCAAAUUGCCAUUUUCCCCAUCGUUUUCUAUCUUUCAAAGCCAGGGAUAUUCAGUCCAUUUGCUCAAUGACACAUGAUACUCGAAAUCUCGGAGAAUUAACUCACACAUAUAUUACUUCACCAAUUUAAGACAUAUCUUGGCAUAUUUCACCACUUGUCCAAUUGUUUAUUUUGUGUAUAAUGACCAUAUCCACCAGUAUUCUCUGUUUCUUAGCUAAAAACAACGUAUAUAGAGUAGGAGAUUAAUGUAUCGAUAUCGGUCCAAGUAAUAUUUAAUUAAGUUUAGAAAAAAAAAAGUAACAUUAAAUUUAAAAGUUAAGGAGAACAUGGUUAGAACGCGUAAGUAGAUGGCGAAUGGUGCCCCUUUUGCACCGAGUUACACUCAGCCUAGCGCCCAUUACCCCAAUCGAACGCCACAUUUUUAUAAUAUUUCAGUUAAAAUAAGAAAGUCAAGUUACAUUUAAGAAAUUUUUUUUUACAGCUGAAGUAUUUGUUUUGGAAAAUGAGUCUUGAUCACAUUUUAUAUGUGAAAUUGGCAUUUUGUAGGUAGUUUUUAAUAUUAUUGUGCUUAGUGGAUAUUAAGGCCUCUUAUCAAAUUUGGGUUGGGCUAUAAACCAAAUUUCGAAUAGGUCAUGAAGUGAUUCGAUGAUUUUUGUUUGUGGCUGAUCCAUCAAUAAAUUUGCCACGUUUUUUAGCUUUGAAAUCACUCGGAUGUAAAAUACUUUUUAAGAGCAUGGGAAAAUGAAAACCAAGACUUUAUUAUAAAAAAAAUGUGACCAAAUAGUUCAAAACAAAACAAUGCAUGAAUACUACAUCAAAUCUGAAGUAUACGAACACCCAAUGAAUGUUCUAGCAUCAUCCCGACCCCAUGUACGCAACUCGUAUCUACAUGUAUUUCACCGUCUUCAGGUUUUUCAUUGAUUGUAUCAUCAUCAACAACAUUGUUUGAUGUAUCAUCAUCAUCAUCACUUAAUAAGAUCGUGACAACAUGAUCACCAUCACGAGAAUUAAUUGGCAUGGCACAACCAAUGCUUCCAGAAUCCGACUUCUUGAGUGACACGGUCGGUUCGGUCGGCUUCAUCUUGUUCUUGAAACUUGCAGCGGAUGCAAGCUCUCGUACAGAUUCUGAGAUCUUUUCGGUUAUAUGAACAAUAUCGUUUAGUAGUGAGACCGUCGUCAGCAAUGAUACCAUUUGAAGAGGCUCAACAUCAUUCAAGAUGCCUGAUGAUUUGAGUAAUGUGGAAAGAGCUUUGGAUGCAGACUGUGAGUUUAUGAUAUGAAUAUCAUAAGAAGAUGAUUUCAUCAUUUUCUUUAAUGAAAUUGACGCUUCUUUCAAUGCUUUUCCUGACUCCAAGCUCAUUCUUCUAAACGGUUCUUCUAACUUCUUCUUUAUGUCGAUUGGGAUCUAAUAGAAGAAAUGAGAUUAAGUAAAGACUUAGAAGGAACAUAGUUAUGUAUAACAUCCACAUAAACUAUUUACUAUAUAUAUAAACAUAGAGUAAGAAUUUUAAUAUGUUUUUUUUUUCCUUUGUGUUUGCAUCUGUGAUUCAUAUUACAAAUAAUACGUAUAACUUGAUCUUUUUUAUUUCAUUAUUAUAUAUGCAAAUUUGUAACAAAGUUGUAGAAAAAAACACUACCUGAAAAUCUGAGUUGAUGUAUGAAUUCAAGGCAUCAAUCCGGUGGGCACAUUGCCUGAGUAAUGCAGCCACGACAAGAUAUUGUUUCCAUGGAUGCCUAAAUCCAAAUUUUCCGUGAGGGGGUUCCCAUUUUGCGAAAUUAGCCUAAAUACAAUGUAACAAUAAUAUCAAUACAUAAUCCAAUAGUUCAAAAAUUGUAUAAACUAAUAAAAGUGAAGCAAGAAGGGUAAAGAGAGAAAGAGUACACACCAAAGUAUCUUCAUCACUUUUUGAGUUAAGAACACUCUUGUACCUCUCAAGAUUCCUUCUCCUCUUCUCAACCACUUUGAUGUCUCCAUACUCUCUGGCUUCAAAAUAUUCACCCCCAAACUCUGCCAAAUUCACACUUGUAUAUAAGUAUAUAUAAGAGAAUUCUCAACAAAAAAAAACCUAAUUUAAUUUAAAAUUAAUUGAAGAUAACAAAAACAGUUAAUUUUGAUAAAAUUAAAACUAACAAUUUUUUUUUGUAAAACAUCAUACAUAUGGAAACGGACGGAGUAUAAGAGAGUUUUAAAAAUAAUAUAACAACAAAACAAACCUUGAAGGAAGUGCGAGAGUGUGUCCAAGUUGGAGAUAAGAAGAGAAUGAAGGUCUUGUCCAGCCCAGACAGGACAGACAAAGAUGGAGAUAAGUAUGCAACUGACUCCUCCCACCAACACUGUUGAUAAUCUGCUCUCCGCCAAAUCCAAUAUCUCUUCGUCUCUAAACUGGGACAACGAUAUCAGUGAGAACGUCAAUAUGAAUAUCAACAUCCCAUAAUCGAAUGUCGCCUUCACCCUUGGGAAGAACCUCACGAACGUUGCUAACACAGCUGCACAUAUAUUUCACCGUUACUUUUCUUCGAGGUAAACAGAAAAUGUAUGCAUGCAAGUAUAUGUGUGUUACGUAAGGUUACCCGUUACAAACACAAAGGUGGCUAGAAGAAUGGGCUCUAUUGUUCGACCAGACAAACUUGCUAGCUGAUGAGCUCCAAGUGCUAGUCCUCCUGCUACAAAUGUUGCCACUCCUCUGUUUAGUCCUUUACUAAGUGUGGCCCCUAUGUAACACACCAAACCAAAGUUAAUAUAUACCCAUUUUAAUAUUUCCUUAGUCAUUAAAAAUAUUAAAAUGCUAGCUAGGAGGUAGCGCUGAGUCUGGUUACAUGACGAACCUACUGAGAAUUCGAAGACGACAACCACGGUCAUGACAGCCCACAUUGCAUUGAUACCGAAGUAAUCGGUAAAAGGACCGAAAGGUUGGUAAUAAUAGAAAGAAGAGACCAGAACAAGAGCAACCCCAACUUUGAAAGAAUGAACUAUUCUUCUCGGAUCUUCUUCUCCUACCCUCCUUCCUUCUCUCACUAUCUCUCUCAGUUUCUCCAUUACACCUUUGGUUAUCACUGACCUUCAAGAAGGAAGAGAUAAAGAAAUAAAGAGAUGACUUGUUUUAGAAUAGAUGGAUCGAUCCGUUAUUUAUAUAUACAUAGUGAUAGCGUAAGAGACUCUUGUCCAUUGUCCGGGACUCGUGAAAAUGUUAUCUUAUUAUUAUAAAAAAAGACUCAAUAGUGCGGUGCAGUAUGAACUUUGAACGUUUAAUGAUAUUUUAAGUGAAAUAAUAUUAUUUAAUUAACCAUAUGGAACCUGGUCUAGUUAGUUGGGUACUAGUUAAGGCCUACCUCAGUGUAACGAAAGUUUAUUAUGUUUAGCUGGAUUAGUUAGAUGAGCAGGUAGUCAUUAAGUAUAUUGUACUGUGUAUAUUAUAAUAGUACAGUGUAUAAGAUAUUUAAUUAACGAAUGAGGGAAGAUUAAUAUAGCUCAUCAAAGAUCUUUGGAAACGAUCGCGUAGAUGAAUGCUUUAAGAGUUGAGCUCUCUCCCCUUUUCUUCGGUGCAUUGAGUCUAACUUUAGCGGUGCACCACACCACAAAAGCUAGGCGUGAGCGUGACGUCCGCCUAAACGAUAAAUCAGUCUUCAUAUAAUUUUACUAAAAGGAAAUUGGUUUAGAAGGUGAUAAGCAUUAAUCACCUAGCAAUUUUUUGAACAUUGACUAUGUUUCAAUGUUGGUUCAAGAUCAUAUAUGCACAAGUACAAAACUUUGAUAUGUACUCGUCUAAUCAAAUUGGUUGGUCUCUCUAGAGAGGUAGAAUUUUGUUUCCACCCAUUCCUACUUGCUGUCUAUAGUGUCUAAGCAAGUAACCCCAAGGGAGCCAGAAAAUUUCUUGGUAUCAACACAAACGUUACAAAAGUAUGAGCUGCUUAAUGAAUAUAAGUGAUACACAAAGGCCCCAACGUCUAUAUGAUACAGAAUAAAUAGAAAAACAGCAAACCAUCCAUCCCCCACCUAACACACCCUAAUACGGAUGAUAUGCAUGUCGACCAUUAUAACUCAUGUCCCACACGGCAAGACUAUACCACAAACCAAAACGAAAAGGUAAUCAAAUUGGAGAGAAACAUAAAGAUUUUGUAGGAAGCAGACUAAAUAAAAGUUGAAAGAGAGAACUAAAGCCCAAACGAAUGAACUCUACAAAUCACUACUAAACCACCACCAAAACUGACUUUUCAACCCUUACGGCAUCUCAAUUUACAACAACCCCCUGAUAUCUCCAGACCCUCGUUGUUACUCGUCUAUGGCUCAUCUUUCUGUACACCAACAUGAGGAACACCAGGAGGCAGAUGUUACAAAGUGUUUGGCUACGGUAUGUAUGUGCACGAGUGCCUCUUCCGUCUAUACCUUACAUCCAAGCCAGCGAGCCUCCUUUGUCAUUUGGAGCUUGUGGGCGUCCUCUGGUUGGUGUCGCUGGCCUAUUUGCAUUCAGCUCCUGCAAAAUGCCAAUACCAAACUAAGUACCAAUUUUUCAUGUCAAAUUACGUAUGUACUUAAGAUUUCGCUAAUGAACUGAGGCUAUAGCAACCUGCAUCCAAGUGUCAUCUGGAUGUGAAGCUUCAGUUGAUGAAAGCGCUGGAGGUAACGGAUGAAUGAGCUUAGGAACCACUACAAGAUCUCUCCCCAGUACCAAGAUAGCCCCAGCAUUGUUUGCCGUACCUGAGGUUAGUGUAAGGUUAUUAACCAAACAAAUAUAAUCACAUGAAGGUAUCUGAUAAGAUUAUGGCACUAGUGACUAGUGAGUUCAUACACAUACCACAAUAGUUUGUAGCUGAAAAGAGAGUUAUCAAAUGCCCCUGAGCAAAACGCUCAAACCCAUCCAUCACGCAUUCGUGUGCACGUACGAUUAAUUGAAGAUCAUUGUUGUUGCAGAACUCCAUAACACGAUCAGGCUGCAUUUUCCAAGUCAUGGUCAAGAACAGAACAGGUAAAAAGGAAAUGCAAAAGCAAUUAACACUUCUUCAUAUGGAAAGUGACUGGGAGCAAACUAGAUUAUAUUACUGGGAGCAGAUCUUAUGAAGGGAGGAAAAGCAAAACUCAGACAAGUUAUAAAUUUGAAACAAGAGAAAUUUACUCACCCCAAAUGUAACCAAUCCAGGGCCUCUAGCAUUGGGCCUUAAACCUUCCACACUGUCAUUUUCAGUCGGAUCCGACCUAAUGAAUUCCAAAUUAACAAACUUGUAAGACUUCGACCACAAAAUUAACCAGAACAACAUAUAGAAGACAUAGACUAACCAUAAUAAAUCCAUGAGCACAAUGGAGCCAGCUUCCAUUGUAAUUGGACGCUGAAUACUCUCUAUCUGCUCCACAUGAUUUAUAGAACGACCAAUACCCCCAUGCAUACAUAAAAUUUUCUUCUCAAUCGAUGCAGCAAGCGGUAGCCAAUUAAAUAAACGGUUUAUUCGGUGCCACACCCAGAUUCCAUCACGUUCACCCUGCAAAGCAACCACAGCGUGAGACAACUAAACAUGGAAUGGAAACAAGAGAUCCAGAAGCAUAAUACAUUACCAUUCGCUCAAUACACUCGAUUCGGAAGCCAAAAAGAGCAUUAAUAUCAGCAGCUUCAUGGUUUCCCCGAAUUAAGUGUACGUUAUGCUGGUACUCAACCUGCAUUAAUGAAAGUAGAAUGUCAAACCCUCUAUGGUCAAGCAACUAGAACAUCUGCAUCAAGUCAAAACUAACACAAGACACUUAGAACAACCUUUAAUGCAAGCAGAAGGCAGAUUGUUUCUAGACUGUGUUGACCUCGAUCAACAUAGUCCCCUAAGAAGAGGUAAUCGAUGUAUCUGACAAUUAUACAACAGAAUUUUAGUAAUGUUCCAGCAAAAUAGCAAAAGUGAAAAAAAGUAGCGGGCCAUGACGUCAGAAUGUGAACUUACGAUAUGUCUCCAGCUGUAGAUGGUGAACCAUAUUCAUCAAAAAGGCGCAUAAGAUCCCCAAACUGUCCAUGCAGAUCACCAAAUAUUUUGAUAGGAGCUUUAAGUUGUAAUACAGUUGGUUCAUUUGAGAAGAUACGCUCUGCACUAUCACAAAGGUCAGCUAUUUCAUUGCAAUCUAGGAAAAACUGGCGUCGAACUGGAGGCUUCCACCCACGAGGCUUUAAAAGAUGAGCUAUAACCUAUUAUCACAUAGUUGAGAAAAAAAACUCAUUAGAACCCGUUAAAAAUAAUUCAUUAGAAUUCCGAAUUAAAAAGUAAUUUUUCGAGUUUACGCAACCAGUUUCAAACUGAACAAAAUAGAAUGCAAAGGUAUUUUCACCAGUGAGUUAGCAGUAAAGCAAAAACGGAGAUAAUAUACUAUACAAUAGCAUUUGAUGAUAGUUUCAAUUUUUUUGAUUGUAACCAAACGAUAAAUCAAUGUCACAGUAAGAAAGCAUCGUAAAAUAUAAUAUUUCACGAUUGUACCUUUUUAUCAUAAAUUUUACCAAGUGUAUUACUGUGUUUCUUAAAUCCACAUUUAGGAUCAUAAGAUUCUAUUGCAAUACGUCGUGUGGAGAACCAAGUUUUUACCUUCUUAGGAACACUACUGAUUGACAUUUGUCGAUCUAAUAGUUUCCUUGCUGCGGUUGCACUUUCUGGUGUCCCAUAACUGACACGUCGUCCCUCAUUUUCAAAUUGAUCAAUAGAAAAUUGUCUAGCCAUUCCACCCAAGGCGCCACCAGUUUCUGCAGCAACCACCACCUAAUAACAAGUGCCAGAACCAUUAUAAACCAAAAAUGUAUUACUGGUGACUCUGGGGUAAGAAAUAUUUAUAAAUGAAGAACAUGGCGUUAGAAAUAUAUUAUUAUUUAAGAUAACAAGUGUGGCACUCACGGCUCUAUGAUGAAGACGAAUCCCUGCAGAUCCCAUAGAAUCUGGCUUCAUUAGCGAAAAUGUAGGUGUCCCACUAGGUGAAGCCUCUCCACCACAAUCCCUAUCUGGAAGCUCAACUUCACCAUUGACCUGCCGUGCCUUGGCAGCAGCCAACGUAGCACUGAUCGCCUCAGCUUCUGCCGCUGAUGCUUCAACAAGAUACUCCACACCCUUGCUCGUUCUCCUACAAAGUUGUUUUGGAUACUCGUCACUAAAUACAUCACUGUGUUAACCAUACAGCACAAGAUAAAUCAGUAGUUAAGGAAGUUGGCAAACCUGAUUCCUGGAUUGAUUGCAUUUUCAGAGCUUAUAUCAUUAUGCAGAUCACCAUUUACAGGGGGUGCAACAGGGCUUUCCAGCACAACAGCACCAUCAGCAGCUGAAUCAGAUAACUCCCUAUUCCUUUCGUCUGAAAAACCAUACCUUCCAGGUAACCGACCUGGAGCCGAAUUUGUUGCCGCAGCAGCAGCAGCAUGAGAAGCCGCAUAUGUUGUUUCCGCAGCGGCAAGAUCCUCAGCAACUAAAAGGCCAUCGAGUAACACCCCUGAAGUAUCACCAAUAUAUAGUUAAGUCGUUGUGAUGCCAUCUUUGCAAUUUGAACAGGUGCAAACUUAUUACAAGAUGGAGAGAACUAAGUCUAGGAGAAAUCCAAAAUUAAUAUAAUCUCUUAGAUUUGAAUCUCAAAAAAAUACAUAGUUAAGCAAGCGCAAGUCACAGCCAGCCAUACGAUGUAUACUAUAUCACAUUCAGUGAUCAAUCCAAUCAUAGAAAUGAAUUCCUCAUGAAGAAGCAUGCAGUGGAAACUGUGGAAUCUAUGUAUCAGAAAUCAUUAGGUACAUUGACAUAAGUCUUGCCUAUAUUUCUUCUUACCUCCACGUAGACCGCCAUAGAUAAAUAUCAAAUCACCGACUGCAGCAGCAGCAUGUCUACAACGCCUAGUCAGCUCAACAGAAGCAUCACCACCAGCCGCAUCGGCACUGUACCUGCCAGUUCGCGGACUAGUAACAACGGAUUUCGUAUCACACCAUACACCUGCGGCAGUAUCCAAUACUGUACAAAGACAAUAGAUGAAAUAAUCAGAGAACUGUAGAUUCACUCAGUGCACAUAUUAUUAUAAAACCAUUAUAUAUCUCGUCUAGAAAUGAAACACAUUUAACAAUGGCUAAAAUGCUUCAGUGAUAAUUUUAUGGCUAGAACCACGUCGAUUGGCAAAAAAGAACAGCAUAUUCCUCUAUACAGCUUUCGUCUAUACAUGAUGAAACACUUCAACAAUGGCCUACAGAAGACUAAAAAUGGUGCACCUAUUAUCAAGGAAACUAAGUAUUUUUUUUAACGACAACCCAACAGCACAAACAUCUGUACAGAUAUUCAAGUUGCUUCUCGUUGUUUGCUAACCUGCAACACUGGAUGAAUCUUCAACCAUGCGUCCACCACCAAGUGCCCCACCGGACACAUGAAGUCUUGCAUUUACAAAGACCUAAAGAAUCCAUCAAGCAGUUUAAUUAUUCUGAUGAAGCCAAAAAAGAGAACCAAAGAGGAAGAAGUAUCAUACUGCUGCAUGCUGAUAUCUGGCAGAUGGUGAGACACCAGGAGCUAUGGCCCAUUCCCAGCGUCCAUCUCUGUGCUUAGCAAGUCCAUAUGCACUGGCCAGAGGCUAUCAAUUCAAAAGAACAAAUAUUUAUCCCUCAAUCAAGUAUUCAAGACCAAGACAGUCCACUGCUUUCAAAUUUCACUCUACAAUGACAACUUCUCAUAAUAAUGGUCGUGAAUAAACAACUAACUGAUAAUAUCAUUCCUUGAUGACAAUUUCAAUUUGGUCUGUGAAGAAACACAACCUCUACAACAACGGACUAACUCUCAUGGUCCCAUUCAUAUCUCACAACAAAGAAGAAGCCAAGAUUCUAUCAGCGGGUCCGUGUCUGUAUCGAGAGAGGCAAUUGAGCAUGAUUAUAAAUAAACUCUGCCACUUACCACACUAUUUGCAUCCCUUCCACCACAGAGGAGAAGAAGACCAUCGGAACGUGCACUUGCAGUUGCAUACCUAGGUACAAUGUACAAAUAGCAUAAACAAUAUUACUCCAGUUGAAAGGACUCAAUUAUCAAGGAGUGUAAUCAAACUUACAUGCAGGGAGGUGGACCUUCUCCUUCUGGUUCCAGCUUACGCCAUUCAUAAGGCUUGGCAGCAGUAUCCAAGGCCCAUACAUCAGCGAGAGGACGUUUUCCUAAUGGUUUAAAAAGGUGUUCAGAAACGAGAAGCUUUAAGGAUAACAUGAUGGUCCAACAUAAAAUACUGAGAAUAAGCCAACAUAGAACACUGCAUACCAUCAUUUCCACCAAUCGCCAUGAGAUAUCUUUGUCCCACAAGUGCCAUGACAUGUCCAUAACGCGGUCCUGGUCCAGGACCCUGAACAACAACCCUGGAUAGAAAAUAUAGCCCUAUAUCAAGACGCAAACUAGUAAAAGGAAUCCGAAACCGAGUAGCGACUAUUGACGGGUUUAUUUUACAAACCUGUGCCAUCGUGGCCGUUGUUGAGUGAGAUCAAGAACGUGAAGGUCUUCGGCAGAUAAACCAGCAGGACCAAUUCCACCCUGCACCAGAGAGAGAAUUCAUAAGCACUUUCAAAGCUGACUGGAAAUGAUCAUUUUGAAUCGAUAGGCUGAUAUCAUUUACAUAAUAAAAUAGCAUUGUUUUCCACUACCUGAAUAACUACCAUGGUCCCGACUGCAGUUGCGACAUGUGCGGCUCUUGGGGUUGGUGGUUCCCCAAAUGGUGUAAGCCUGUAGACUCAUUUCAUCAAAUUAACUGGUAUCCCAACUUAUAAAAAGAGCAGGAUCUCAUGCGGUUACAUAUACAGGAAAAGAAAAUACACAUUUUAUGCUCACCUAGUCCACUUGUUAGAAAGGACAUCAUAACAAUGAACAUCGGCUGUUGCUCCAGCCAGCCCUGCGCAUCAAAAAACACGCUAAUUAUUUUUUAGCAAGUCUAGAAAGCUAAAAAUAGCAAGAGCUUGAACAUGUAAUCUAUAAGCAAACUAAUAAAAAUAUAGAUCCUAGAUCUUAGAAAUGCUAAUCUCACAUGAAAAAGGUUACAACUUUAACUUGACUUAACAAAAAGGAAGGUAGAUAACGAGAUCUCGGAACUCGCACAAUUAUUUUAAGGUAUGAACUAAAGAAGAACGUGAACGUGAAACUGAGGAAAGCUACUGUAAAAGCUUGACACCACCAUAUAAAUCAACAAAAUCAAAGCAAGAAUCACCAAACUUUCCAAACCGAGACAAAGUCACAAUUAUUCCAAGCAAAUAACCAAUGAAGAUAUUUGUAAUAGCUAAAUCUUCAGUAGUUUAAUGCUUGUCAAGAGCCACGUGUCCCAUUAGGAGAGAAAAAUAAAUAAACUUUCUAAGAGACAACCAAAACUAGAAACAAGUGAGGCAAAAAGAGAAGGCAAAAACGUACGAAUGCCAGCACUCGGAGCUGCAGAAGUCGGAGUUCCAGUACCACCAGAGUUACCCUCAAGAGCCGUAGCACCACCAAACAACACAAGACGAGGCCCAAUAUACCCAUUCGUCCCUUCCUCGCCAACAGCCGGAACCGCCGUCAACGUAUGACCGCACCUAGGCCCAGGCCCAUCCUCCUUCUUAUCCAUCAACGCAUCAACGACCGAGUACGGCGGCGCGCACCUCGGACCAACAACGACUUGCGCUGAUUGCGCUUCUCCUCCUCCCACAGCUUCCUGCUGCGACGGUUCGGGACUCGAAAAGGCAGGCAUCGAUCCUCCUCCAUCCCCCGACGCAUCCCUCUGAGAUUGCGCUUCGUCGUGCUGAUCGUGAUCGUGCUCGGGGACCAUAGACGAAUCUUCAUCCAUUGUUUAAAAUCAAAAAUCUCAAAAGCUUCGAAAAGUAAAACCUAAUUUUAGAACCGAUCCAGCUACGAUUCGAAUAGGAGCGAAUCUCUGAUCAGCAGCAUCUCUCUCUGAGUCAGUUCUGGAGAGGUGGUCAGAUUCGUCGAGCUUUCGUUUAUAAACGGAAACAGUUAAUUUUCCCUGGGAAGAAAUUACAACGAAGCAAACAUUCGUCCAACUUUUUCUUUCUUUUAUCGACUCUCUCUCUCUCUCUCUCUCUCUCUCUCUCUCUCUCUCUGUAGGAGUAUAUAUAAGGGAAGACAGAUAUACAAGAUCCACCCGGUUAUUUAACGAUAUCCAAAUCCAAACCGGAACUCAUUUUCGGAUCGGUUUAGAUUUUUCGGAUCGGUUAGUUAAUGUAUCAACUAGACUUGGGCUUUUUUACCUCAUUCCGAAGUUUCUACCAAACCUAAACUGAGAAAACCAAAUUCCGAUUCGAACUGGUAUACAAAAAUAUCUGAACUGAAAUUCAAAAUAAAAUUUAAAAAUAUUUGAAAUUAGUUAAAUAUAUUAAUGGUUUUAUAUAUGUUAAAGUAAUAUAGAUGUUUUACAGUAUUAUAAAGAUUUUUGUAUUUAUUUUAAUUUGUUAUUUUGAAUACAUUUUAAUUAAUUUAACUAGUUUUUGAUUAGAUUUAUCAAUAAUUUAUAUCUUUUCAGUUUUUUAGUUUAAAAAAAAUAUUUUUAACCGGAAAUAUUCCGAACCAAACUUAUAAGGAACCCAAACCGAACCCGACGGAUCCUAAACGCCAGGCCUAUCAACCGGAAAUAAAAACCUCUGUACCGUAGCAAGCAGGGCACUAUUCCACCACUCGAACACUGAUGCUAUGAUCAAACAGACAAGACUAAACCAUAUUUCAAUUUUCACUCUCACCAUUCUCCUUUUUCACCAAAUAAGACUUAAAAUUUGGAAACAAAAACAUCAACAGAUUCGAGAAGGUUCAAACUGUUAUUACAUAAUAAAAACAAAAACUUUGAAGCAUCUUAGUAUGACAAAACACCAUCUGCAUAUCAUAAACUCUUGGAUGUUAUACAAUAUGGUAAGAUCAACGCAUUGUGAGAGGUCCUGUGUUAGCAGGUUUCUGGAAAACUCUCACCAGAGGCAUUCCAUCUCCUUCCUCUGUGUUCUUAACUCUCCAGUUCCUAUCCUUCUUCCUCUGCGGCUUCUUGUGCUGUUUAUGUGAAGCAGUCUCCUUCUUCACUGUCACUUUCUUAGAAGAAGCAAGCCCGUUCGCCAGAUCAAACGAGCUCAGAUCCUCCAACACGUCAUCAAUACCAGGAACUUGCUCGUCGCUUUCCUUCUCAUCACCCUCACCUUCUUCAGAAUCUGAACCUGUUUCUCGACCAGUGUCAUCCUCUAUCUUCUCCUCCGUCAUCCCAGGCGGCAUUGCAAAAUGCCGCAGCUUACCUCCGAUGUAAUCCUUCAGAAUCUGCCUCGCCGCUUUCGUUUCAUCAGGUAGUCCACUAGAGGCAACGUAGCCACGUGAAGCACAGUAAGCUCUUAAGAGCUCAGCAGCGAGAGGAGGACGAGACUGACGCUCAUAUGUUUUUGGUUUCGGAAGUGUAAUGUUGUAUACACUCUCGAUGACACUGCGAGGGACCUUGUCAGCAACCACCUGGAUAGCUUCGCGGUGCUCCGUCAUCCUGUCGAUAGGAAGCACACCGCAAGUGAUCAUCUCGUAUCUCGAGCUCGAGAACGAAGGGAAGACUAAACCGGGACAAUCACAAAGCAUAAGCUCAUCGGAUAUGAUCAAUGUCUGGAAGUGCUUUGUUUUCCCUGGAGUUGAGGUGACUCCUGUUCGUUUCUGACCGACCAAAGCGUUGAUUGUUGAACUCUUCCCCACGUUAGGGUAGCCAACAAAUCCAACAACAGCAUUCUCACGUUGAGUCUCAUCAACAGGUGCUCUGGAGUUUCUCGCUCUGACAAUCUCUUGAGCCUCGGACUGUAACCGGGCCAAGAGCUCGUCUCUGCCGUAUAUGACAACUUCUGGAUCGUCUGUGUUCUGGAAGUUAUCGGCUUUUCUCCAUUGCUCUUUCAAGACUUUGCCUUCUAGGACAGCUGUGGCAGCUAUAGCUGACCAGAAGACGAAGAGAAUGUCGUUACGGCGGAAAUAUUCUGCCCAUUUCGCCCUGUAGAUAUAUGUUAAAGAAGUAAACCAAUUGAUUAGAAGACACACAAAAAAAAAGAGGUUGGAGGGGAAGGUAGCAAGGAAACAAUAGGAGGCAUAUCUUUAUCCAGCUACAAGACUUUCGUCUUAUCUUGUAAGAGUUUGUUUAUAUUUAAUUUGAAAGCCUUUCGUCAAAAAAAAACAAUAGGAGGCAUAUACCUGACUUCAGGAGGUAAAAGAUCCGCCUUGUUGACUAGAAGCAUCAUUUUCUUGUGCUCAUCAAUCUCUCGAGCAUAUGCCUGUGUCGAGUCGAAUCUUUUAAGUAAAUUGUAUGAAUCAGGAAUACGGUGUCAAGUGGAGUCUAAAGAGAGAAUGCAAUACCUCAAGAUCAGGGCAACGGUAAAACAGUGGAUCUCUAGCAUCAACUACCAUAACAAUCUGCACAGAGGAUAAGUGUUUAAAAACCUUAAAUUGAGCUAAAUGAGAGGUUUACUGAGACUUACCAAAUCACUACGUUCAAGCACACGCCAAAGCUGUCUCCAGAUAUCCAGGUUCUUUUCAAAUGGUGUCAACACAAGCUUUUCGUUUUCCUCGAGCCUGAACACAGAUACAGAAGAACACGCAUGCAUAAGCAAAUAGCAAUGAGCCACUUAAAAAUGUUAAUGUGGAAACCAAACCAUACACCUAAUAUAUCAAAAGAAAUGAUAUAAACUCUCUCUAUCCAACUUGGGUAUUAGACCAAUCAUACAAAUGUGCCAAAAAUACUCCAGCUUUAAGCAAGCGCUAGUUUAUAUAAACUUAUUUAAUACACAUUUUAUAAAUAACAGUAAAAAUGAGAUAUGCUGGGAAGAACUGAUACAAGAGUGAGACUUUUUCCCCUUGAAAACUUCUCAGUAAGGUACAAGAACAAUUGAAUCACAAGACACAUGCACUUUUAUCUAUCAAAGCAUUGUAUUCUACUAUCUGAGAAGACUAUUUAACAGAAGCUGAGUAAAUUUUCCCAUCUACUAUCAUUAACAAACAUUUAAGUGACAGAUAUUGAUUUCAUUAAAGCUAAGAUACUGGAUAAGAAGAAAAAAAUGGUCAUUAAGAUGAUGUAAACAAAAGGCUAACCAACCUCACAAGCAUCCGGCGCCAAUUCAGAAAAGCUUGUUUCUCAUUAGCAUCAAGCUCUUCCACUGACAUUUCAGGAGUCCAAGGAGGUCUGAAGAUGAAAAAAAAUAAAUUAGACAAUCUCAGAGAUAUGUAAAAAGGAGAAUUAAAAGGACGUACCUUCGAGGCACUUGAAGACUACUGGCGUGUAAAGCCUCCUCUAUCUUCUGUUGCUCUCUCCAUUCUUCAGCUGCUAUAGUACUUGAGCUAGACUGUGUGUCUCUGUACCCAAAACAACAUUAGAUAAACAGUUAAAGUUUUGAACUUUUCAUACCAAAUCGAAUUAUUGAUCUCAGGAAAGAGAGAUCAAAACAUAACAAGUGGAAGCUGAGCUCAAAGGAUAGCUAUUUUCAAUCAAACGAUACAAAAGAGAGGAACUUUGAAAGAAAGGAAGAAGCUUACACAUUAAUGGGCAGAGGAGUGGUGUUGCUGUGAUUGAUAGUGAAAAGGCGCUCAGCCUCCUCGGCCUGCUCGAGGAUGGCGUCGAUGUCGCUGACCUCGGUGACGGAUUCGAGAACCUUCUUCUGGAGAUUCUUGUAGUACUUGCCUUUGUCCUUCGAUUCCUGGAUCAUGUGGUUGUGGUGCUUCACCAGGGACCGCCCCAGCGUCGUCUUCUCGCUCUUCACCAUCUCUCUCUCUCUCGAACUCUCUUCUUUUCGGUAAAACCCUAAAAGUAUAAAAACCCUUUUGAGACGAUGGAGUCGGUUAAUGUUAAAAAGUGUUGAGCUUUCCUUAGGUCAGCCGCCGACCGCAUUAGCUGGUGAAGCUGAUUCAAGUUUUACGCUUUUUUUUUAGCGUAAAAUGGGUAAAUCCUAUAUUUACUCUCCUACUCCUAGCACAAUAAAAAAAAAAAAAAAAUUUACUCUCCUACUCCUAGCACAAAAAAAAAAAAAAAAAAGUAACCACCAACCUUAAGUGGGAAGACGAGUAGAACCUACUAAUGGAGGAGCUAGAUGUAAGUAUUACUUCCUUCUUAGUAGUUGAUGUUUUUCAAAUUGUUAUCUAUGAUUGUAAAUUUUUUUUAUUUUCUGGAGAUGAUUUACGAAACUUAAAAGCUCUUUGUCACUGAUUGAUUGUUUUUCUGAUUGUUAGUUGUUCAAGAAUCUCAACGAGUUUCCACCAAGACGUGGUGGCUAUGGCCUGACACAUGUGGAUUGUGUUGGAAGGCGUGCAUACACUAACGAUGCCUUGGUGAAGCUCUAUACCAAGCUCGGCCUUCAUCGGUACAAUUGGUUAGAGGUAUAAACAAACCUACUAAACUAGUAUGAUGCUGCUAAUGCAGCUCGACGAUACCUUUAAAGAGUUUUCAUCUGUUUUCUAUAUCAUUAUCCCAAAGCCUCUUCUUGGGUCUCUUAAUAUUUUUUUAAUACUUUAAGUAGUUAAAGUGAGGUUAAGAGACAUAACUAAGAGACCUGUACAAUUAACGCCUCCAAUGCAAGUCUCUUAUUUAGGGGUUCUUAAAAAAAAAUGUCAUGAGAAGAAAAUGUCAUAUAGAAUUUUUAUUGUUUUGUGAAUAAAAUUUAUGAUCAAGAGAAGAAGAGAACAAAAACAUGUUUUGAUCAAAAGUGUUUGGCCGUUAUGUAUGGAGAGAACAAGAACAAGUUUUGAUCAAAUGUGUUUAGUGGUUAUGUAUGGUAUAAAGGAGAGAACAUGAAGUUGUUUUGAUCAAAAUGUGUUUGCUCUUGUAUGGUGAGAAAGAUAGAAAAUGAAGUUGUUUUGAUCAAAGGUGUUGCUCGUUCUAUAUGCAGAGAAUGAGAGAAAGAAGUUGUUUUAUAAAGAACAUGAAUGAGAAUACAAACUUUAUAAACAAGCAUACAAAAGGAGAACAUGAAGGAGAAUACAAACUAGACUCGACAACACCAACUACUAGACUACACAAGCAUACAAAAGUCUGUCAAAAGCAUGGAUUACAAAAGACAAGUCCGUGAACACACAUGAGAACACAAAAAGCGAAGGUCAUCAAGAAAAUGAUCAGGCUUUGAGUCAAUUAUAGUGUGCUCCUGACAAACAAGAAAACAAAACAAUACAACUUAGCAUAUUCCCAGCGAUGGCAACACUCGAAAACAACACAGUGAUUCCUUAGUUUUCAGACAAAAUUGAACCAAGGGUAUUACCUUUACUGACACACGAACAAUCCCAGCAAGACCGUAAGAGCGAACAAAAACCAGCUUGACGUUUGCUUCUCUACAGAUUCUAUCAAGCUUAACCAUUGAAUCUUCCACUAGCUGCAGACAAAAGGAUGAACACACAAAUAAAGGAUCAAUAAGGCAACAAUCAAUGAAGCACUGGGGAAAGGUCUAUAAAAGAAUCUGAGAGCAUAAAGAAGCUCCAAAGAGACACAAAAGCUAUCAACUUUACAAACUAUCAAUUGGGGAAAGACUCUACCCUGGUGAAGUACCUUAAUAAAUCAAAAAAGCACCCAACUUUACAACUACCAACAUAAUCAUAUUACCUGAGUGGCUAUAACAAGAGUGAACUGAGAGAAGAAAUAAGGGCUUGUCAUAAUCAGCGUAUCAGGACUCUCUUCAAUAAACUUAGCUUUAACAGAAUCAUAUCCUGCCAUGUUCUCACGAUUGAUUUAUUCUACUCCCAAUACGACGAGCUAUGGAGUUUAUACAGAGAGAGAAGUAAAUCUGGAUACCUUAAAAACAAAUCAGUAUGAAGAACAAGACACAUAAAAAACAAAAUUAUCUACAACCAGAAACAGAAAUCAAACCGAUAGAGACGACGAUACCACCGAGAGAGACGCCGGCUGAUUCCGUCGACGAGAGAUUCCGUUGAGGAGAGAGCACCGGCGAGAAGAUAUCACCAGAGAGAGACGGUGUCGUCGAGGAGUCAAGAGAGAAUGAGAGAAGAUGAUCCGGCAAGGAGAGAGAGAAAGAAGCGUGAAUGUGUGACGCGUGUCACAUAAAACCCGUCUCUUCUGCCUUCUAAUUAAGAGACGUCUCUGGUACUCGUCGAAAACCCACUUAUAUUAUUUGAUUCUAAUAAGUUUCUAACUAAUUCCACAUUUGGAAUUGGAAACAUGAAAUGGCGUUUAAUUCUCCCUAAUGGCGUCUGGUUACGAUUACCCAUAAUCCAAAAUCCGAUCCGAUACAAACGCAAAGCUAAAUCUAUUAAAACAAUAAAUAAACGUCGCCUUGGGCCCUUUCCAGCGAAUCUCCACCGUCAAUCUCUCCUUCUCCGGCUCCCUCGCCAGAUCCCACCCUUCUAAUCUCCUCACGGAUAGCUUCACCACGUAUUUCCUCGUAACUAACGGUGGCCAUGGCCGCCACUUCAUCAUCUUCACCACCAUUGAAACUCCUAAGCGACGUCACGAAAAGAGAGAUUGAAGAGACGUAAACAAACUCUUUCUCAAGUAGUUGAGAAAAAAACAGGAGAAAUGGAAAAAAAAAGUUUUUUUUAAUUUAGAUUGUUGAUUUAGAUCAAUGCCAAGAAAUAAAAAGCACGUUUUAGACACAGGAAGCUUUUAGGAUGUGGUUUCUAUCUUGGAAAGAUUAAAACUUGGAAGUUUAGCUUCUUCCAUGGUAAAGAUGAAAAAGGUUAUGGUGCGAAGAGAGAAGAGAGAGAGAGAAAGUGGCACACAGAACGCAGCACAAGCGUGUAGACAGAGAGAGAGACAACGAACAAAAGUGAAAAGAAAGAUCAUAGCUUCACAGAUCUGUCCCUCUCUCACUCUAACGAACGAUAGACUCGUUGGAAUAAACCAGCAAACCGGAGUUAAAUUGUAUUGGUUAGAGGCGCAUGCCAUUCUUUAUUCUAUGUCCAUCGCACUUUAAGACAUCCUCCAAACAUGUGACACGAUCGAUCCUAUCGUUACAAGAUCACGCAUACAAGUCAGUUUGAAUUUCUAAAAUCUAAAUGAUGGUUUUAUGCGACAAUGUUUGACAACUAAUGUGCUUCAUGCCACUGGAGUGCGGUGGUCACUGGCCCUAGCUAUUCUUCACACUAAAGGAACAAGCGGUAUCUAAUGCAUCAUGAUUCAUGCAUGAUCAUUCUUUUUUCUAUUGCAUAAUAAUUUAGCCAACCCACUUUAUAUAUAUCAGGAGGAAUUCUUAAAUUGUAAUUAGCAUGACUCGAGAUUCAUUGACUUGUUUCACACAUCACAGCCACAUGCGUAUUAUUUAAUUUGCUCAUGAGUUAUGAAGCCUAUCUGCUUUAUUUAAACACGACGAAUACCAUUGCGAUUGCUUUAUUAAAAGAAAAAUAACAAUAAAAUAUGAGAGAGACGAAGAAGAUGAUGCUUUCCAGAUUUCAAGCGAAAGAAAUUAAUUUUUAUCUUUAGUGUAUUGUUUAGUUGGAGACAAACCUUUUCAUCUAGUAACAUUGUUUUGUUUAGGAAUUUUGGCUAUCCAAACACGUAAAACUCGUCUUAUUAUUUUUUGUUGACAACGUUUCAUUUUAAUAUUUUCUAAAAAUUUGUAUGCAAAUAACUGCAUAGAAAUUUUUUUUUCACCAUUUAAUAAUUAGUGAAAUUAGUGCAAAUUUUACUUUGACAAAUGCAUGGACAUCGACUAUUUAUAGAUUUUGAAAAUCUAUUUGAAUAGUUACAACUUUUCAGUUUAAAUAGUCACAUCCUUUUGAUUUAAAAGUAAUUAUUUUGAAAAAAUACUUAUAUGAAUAGUCACAACUUUUCACUUUUUAAAAUAUACUUAUAUGAAUUUUUAGAAAAGACACAACUUUCCAACAUUGAACUUUUUGAAAAGACACAACCUUUUACACAUUUUUUUUCAAAAGACACAACCUUUCAACAUAAGUAGAUUCACAACCUUUGGAAUUAAUCAGGAUUGCUAUUAUUAGUAGAUAACUAACAUACGAAUGUUGUUAUUAGAUUUGAACCUAGAUUAUGAUAAAACAAUGACAUUAUUGCAAAUCAUUGGCAUACAAAUAUUAAUCCAUACUAUUAUUUAUGAAGUGAUUUAGCUUACCUGUCAUGAUUUUCAUGAUUUUAGGUAAUUUUGUUUAUUUGUCAUAUUUUAAUUAGUUUUAAGGUGAGUCAUUAAUUUAUUAAUAGUUUUUAGUUGAAAAACUAAUUUAUUAAUUUUUAAAAAAUAUCCGUAAUAAAUUUUAUAUACAAUAAAAACGAAUUCUGAUUUAAUAAUAUUUAAAUCUAUAUGUAAUAUUAAAAUUCUUGUUUUCUUAUUUGUCAUAUUUUAUUAGGUAGCUCUUAUAUAGGUCAUUGAUUUAUUAUUAGUUUUUAAUUGAAUAUUUAUUAAUUUUCACAAAACACUAAUAAAUUUUAUAUAUAAUAAAACACACAUUUUAUUUUAAUAAUAUUAAAUUUAUAUGUUAUAUUAAAUAAUUAAUUAUAAACUAAUUUAAUAAAAUUAUGAAAAUAUAUUUAAAAAUUAAGAGAAUUCUUGUAUAUAUUGUGUUGCUAUCUGACUAAAAUUUCAACAUAACUUGUAUAAAUUUUGAAGAGCAAAGAAUUCAUCAUAAUUUUUUUUUUUCAACAUGUUUACCAAUUAGAGUUUUGUCAUGCUGAUUUUUGGAUUAAUAAGAUAUAAAAUAAUAAGUAUUCGUAAGAUAUAACAUCUAGUUAUUUAUAAAUGGAACAAAAUAAUAGUUUUGCAAAACACUACAUCUUAAAUGACAUGGGCUCAGAAAUAUUUAUCGUAGCCCAAAUGAAGCCCAGUAAAAAAAAUCACUCUCCGACCAAACCUAAAACUGAUCGACAGAAUCCGCAGCUAGCCGCAUUGUAACCUAACCACCAACCUUCCGACUUGAGAAAGACGGGUCUUCGCUAGAGAACAUACUAAGGAGAUGAGUCAGAGUUGUGUUCGGAUGGAGGAGCUGGAUGUAAGUAUUACUUCCUUCUUAGUAGUUGAUGUUAUUCAAAUUGUUAUCAAUGAUUGUGAUUGUGUUUUCUUUUCUGGAUAUGAAAUUUACGAAACUUAAAAGCUCUUUGUCACUGAUUGAUUGUUUUUCUGAUUGUUAGUUCUUCAAGAAUCCCAACGAGUUUCCACCAAGACGUGGUGGCUAUGGCCUGGCACAUGUGGAUUGUGUUGGAAGGCGUGCAUACACUAAUGAUGCCUUGGUGAAGCUCUAUGCCAAGCUCGGCCUUCAUCGCUACAAUUGGUUAGAGGUAUAAACAAACCUACUAAACUAGUAUGAUGCUUCUAAUGCAGCUCGACAAUAGCUUUAAAGAGUUUUCAUCUGUUUUCUAUAUCUUGCAGGGGACAAACUUUGAGCUAGAUAGCUUAAUGCAAUUCAACAUGCGUAGUGCUGCAUCUCCUUACUACAUGACCUUAGUUGCGCGCCUUCCAUCUAGCGGUUUGCAGCAAAUCUUUCAGGUUCUCGUAGAGGAAGAACGUCUUGGCAUUUUAGAUUUGACAUGCCCCAUCUUUAGACCUCAAGGUAACGGUUGCUUUGUUGAUACUUUAAUCAAUUUCACUACUUUUAAUUUGCUGACUAUAUUUGACAUAUCACAUAGGGACCGAGACUUCAAAGAAAGAGUCAACUCCUUUCUUACGUCCACAUUCCGAGCCAGUGUCUACAAACUACCAAGACAGAUUGCUUGGCUGGACCAGGAACAAGUCAGCAAUUCCAUGGCCCUCCGCUUUCAGUGACACAAAGCAGCGUUUUUACAUGGUAAUAUACUCUAUUUGUGGUCGCUUGCAUGCAUCAAUUUUGCUUUUGGUGUUUUGGAUUUUAUCAAUAAUGUGUGCUUACUAUAUACGUGCAUGACUAACUCGUUUCUUACUACUAGUGUUAUAUACGUGUCUUGCAUGCAUCAAAUUACUAAUAUUUGUUUUUAUUUGGCAGUUGAAUGAAUCUGAGUUGCAAUGUGAUUGGAUAUCGUUGUAUGUGAAACUUGCAAUCUGUACUUCCCAUAGGAAAACCACAGCUGUAAGUUUGAUGUUCUCUCACUUUCUCUGUUUGUUAUAGCAUAUUAAUAAUCUAUUUGGUGAUGAUAUAAUGUCUUGUUGUUGCAGGAGGAACUCAACAACUUUGAGCUGGAGAUUGUCCAAGUGGCCAUAGAAUCUCUAGAUGAUAAGGAGCCCCCAAGUCUCAAGUCUAAAGCCGCUGUCAUCUACGUAGCAUACAAGAACUUGGCCAAGGCUAGAACUGGUGAGCAUUAUCACUACCAAGCUGUGGUGAGACGAGUCAUCGACCAGACUAUGGGAACAUUGAGCAUCCAAGGUGAUUGCUGGAUUGCAGAAGCAGCAGCAAUGGCUUCGGCGGCUGAAAGCUUAAUCUUAGGGGUCGCUUAGGACCUCAUAAGCUAUGGAGGUUGUCUAGUCCUAGGUGGUAUCAGACGUACAAGAACCGUGGCCUCCGCUCUUCCCCUAUUUAGUAAUUUAAAGACAUUUGAAAGAUGCGUAGUAACUCUUAUGUAUUGUGCUUUUGGUCUCUCGUGUUUAACUACUAUUACUUAUUAGCGAUGACUGCUUUUUGGUCUCUAUUUUAUGCUUUUGGUCUCUCUCUAUUUGUCGGAUGGUUCUCUUACGUACUGUGUGCUUUUUGGUCUUUUUCUUGUGUAUCUGUGUUUUGUGAUGAACUUGAUACCCCUGAUCAUCAUUUACAACACAAGAGAUCAAGGGUCUGCAAUUAUAGAAGGUGAUGAUGAUCACGAGUUAGUAGAACCUGAUGUACUUGUUGAAAGAAUCGUGGAUGUUGAAGACACGAAGGGACAAAAGGCUCACUUUUAUAGUAGAGAAUUUGGUAUGCAUUUGAAACAGUUCUGAAACAUAAGUUGACUUUGGUAUGCUAAUGCGGCUCAACAUAAGUUGCUGAUUCAAAGCAGAGGAACAGUUCUGAAACAGGAGAACACUGAAGAUCAUAUGAUUGUUCUAUGGACGACCUCAGCGACAACGGUGAACCCUCAAAGGUAAUAAUAAUACAAGUAACAGCCUCUUUUGAAGAUCUCUCCACGUGGAAUUAACUAAAAGUCUAUGUGGUUCUUUCAACCAGCUCACUCCCGGAGGGCGGAGCGAGUGGUUCACGGAAGCUGCCAAGUCAGCUAUCAACUGUUGUGAAUGAGCCUUCUUUACCUCCUACCAAUACAGACCCAAGUCCAGAAAGCCUUGGCGCUGCUGCUUCACGUCCUCUUCGGCAGGGUAAUGGUUCUGGUGGUCCCUCUUUAUAACCAGCAGCAAAGGAGUAAUGUUGCCGGUCCGCCUCACACCUAAUCGACAAAAAGGAAAUAAUGCUCCGGGGAAUUUUGCAUAGCUGAAAGUAUGUUCAUGUUCUUCAAAUGCUUUAAUGUCCGCAUCAUAUUAUUUGGAGAAGACUUUCUGGCUUGUUGACAGUGGGUGUGCUUAUUGGGUUGUUGUUAAGAGCAAGAGAACUGGAUCUUCUUGAUAAAGAUGUUAGAAAAAAGAGGAUAAAUGAAUAACCGAUUUUACAUGAAGUUAUGAAUCUUCAUUGGCUGAAGGAAAGAGACAAUGUAUUGGUACAACUGAAAGCUUAGAAGACUUGGCUACAGUCAGUGGAGUUGGACCAUCAGUUUUCAAAAGAUAAGCUUGUGGGCAAGAGAAAAAUACAAUGGACAACUUGGGGUGGAAAGGAUGGGAUUUUGACAAAAACACUCAAGGUAGUUAUGUAUUUGCUCUUGUUUCUUCAAGUUAGAUGCCUAUCAAAUGUGAAUGACUUUAAAAUCCUCUAGUCUACAAGGUAUCUUGGUAAUGAUGGAUCGUUGCUAUGGUUUUUAUAUAGGCACGCAUUGAUAUGGAACGUACACGAAGAGAGUGUCUGUGCAGCUCCUCACUUGCACUGAAGAUGCUUAGUAAUUUCGAUGCUACUACCAACGAGGGAGAGAGUGUUGUAUAUGAGGAAGAGAAAGUGCAGCCUGAGUCCAGGAGCAGCUUCACUUUUAAAGAAAGAUUUACAGCUGAAAGUAACGUCGAGAGAAGAUCUAACUAGAGGGUUAGAAAAGACGAGUACAUUACUUCUUAAGGAGGAGCAGUUAACACCAAGCCACUGUAUGAAGCCAGUCAAAGAAGAAACUGUUUAUGAUUCAUUCAUCUAAAGGAGUCAUCUCUGUUACAGCUACUAAAUCCACAAGUUGAAAAAAAGAAUUCACAGUGAUGGAUAUGAUGAGCAAGACAUACCGAGUUUCUGAGAAAAGAGAUACAAUUUCGUCUGGCAAGGAUUUGAAGAUGCUGGAGAGACCAACUCACGUUAAUAGUUAUGAGGUGAUGAAUGGAGUGCUGAACUUGUAACUCUUCAACCAAUUAAUAGUUUGUAGUUUAAAGCAAGAACACGUUUAUGUAACCAGUUCCAAAAUGGCAUAAGAUUUAUAAACUGCUAUGCUAUGAGUUGAUCUCCAAAAAAUAAUUACAACAUGCUAUUAUCAUAUAAGUCAAACAUGGCAUGUGUUCGCUUAACACACUUCAUUUGCCUGUAGUAAGUGGGAGUUAAAGAAAGGGUCACAACACAAGGGCAAAGCUACAAUGAGUGAGUGCUCACAGGAAAAUGAAUCACAAGAUGCAGAUUAUUACAUCUCUGUCAAAGAUGAGUACCCGCACCAAGAACAAUCCCUUUUCACUACAGCAUACAUACUUGUGCAAUACAGUGACUUGAAUAUAAGCAAUGGCAGCAGCCAAAAAUCAGAAUUCAAGACCAUGCAUUGAGACUAAACUCAGUGAAACCACAAGAUUAUAAUGUUAAACAAACUAGUAAGAAAAAACUCACAACAAGACGUAUCAAACAAACAAUUAGACAGGACAUGAGGAAUCAUAGAUCCACCAGGGCGUACAUGGAAGUAUUACAUUAAGUGUCAAUAAUGUAGCCAUAUUGCAGAAUCGCAAGUUUUCAAACAAGACCUAACCAGCCAAAAUACCUAACCGAGGAGAGAUGAGUUAAGAGGAGACAAAAAAGACAUUAGUUUCUUCCCUUUACUAUAGCUAACAGAUGCUUUAAGGGGUUAAAGAACCAAAAAAAAAAAGCUCUCACUCUCUCACACAGCUCCUUCUUCUCAGCCGCUUCUUCUUCUCAGCCACUUCUCUGCUUCUUCUUCUGCUUAUCUCUGCAACCAAAAAAACAAACACAAAACAGAGAUAAGAGAAUUGAGAAAUUGCUCAAUGGUAAUCAGCAGAUAAUUACCCAUGGUCCUGGAACGGCCUUCUUCUUCUUAAGUUCCGACGCUUCGGUGUACACCGCCGUUUCCUCUCGUGUGUGGGUUCACCACGCUUCCUCUUAAGUUCCUGCUUCUCAGCUUGGCCUUGGCCUUCUCCAUCUCCAUCUCCAUCUCCAUCUCCAUCUCCUUCUCCAUCUCCUUCUCCUUCUCCUUCUCCUUCUCCUUCUCCUUCUCCUUCUCCUUCUCCUUCUCCUUCUCCUUCUCCUUCGGGGUUUGGAGUUUCAUGUAUGAUCGGGAAGAUGAAAUUGGAUAGCAAGGGCUGCGGAGUCGGCGUUGGUCGAACAGUCUCUGCAUUCUCCUGAUCACCGACGCCAAUGAUCAUAUGUAGAAUAGCUAGUGAGACUCGGAAGUAUCCAUUAUGGCCGAUAUCCGUGCCGUUGCUCGAUUUGCAGAGUGCAACCACUUCCCCAUUGUGAAUCUGUAUGUCGACAAUGUCGACUCCGUGAUAACCAAGGAAACGAGAAUUUGGCUUUGUAGGUCCGUAGUAAAUGUCAUCCUACACAAAAACCAAUUAUCAUGAUCUAAAAUUUAAUCAGUAAAAAAAAAAAAAAAAAAGCAGAGACAAAUAAUAAGUUUACAUACCUCACCGAGUCCCCAAAGUUCAGAGAAGUCUAGAAGGGAAGCCCCGAUUGGCUGUUUGCAGAGCUGGGCCAGUGCUUCUUCUAAGGUGUCGACGGUGUCAUAAGAGUCGAUGGUGAUGUGAGGUUCUGAAUCAGCUGGAUGGUCUUGAUUACAGUCAUACACAAGCACUCUUUCUUUAGGCACUCCUCCGUGGUCUAACAUGAACUGAAAGGCUUGACGGGUAGUAGUUGCAUAACAGGAAUGACCGACUUUACCAGUUGGGUCAUUGCCAAUCUUCUCAGGAUGCACGUGGGAGUGGAGGUACCACGUAGACAGAGGAACAAAUUCGUCAUCCAACAGACGGAUAACUCGUAGGGCGGAGAUGGAAUCAGUGGAGCUAUAGGCCCAACACUGGAUGUGCUUCAUUUGGUCUCGAAUAGGACCAGAAAGCUUCUCCCAUAACUCGAGUUCCACAAGCUCUCUGUAAAACUAAUAAACAAAACAAGUGUGCUGUUAGAAAUAAGAUAUCGAAAGAGUAAUGUGGAUUUCAAAGAGUUAAUGUACCUGUUUCCUCGCUUGAUGUUUCGGUUCCUGCUGCCAAAACAACAUGAGAAUCUUCCCAUCAUCAGACAGCCUAAAAAGGCCUUUACGAGUAGUGCCUUCAGCUUUUUCAAAUUCUUCACCAUGCAGGAACUGUUUUAGUUGUUUUGAUGUUAUUUCGCUAAAGAGAUUCUUCUUCAGACGUGAGGAAAUGUCUUUGGGAAGACGUCUUAGAUCAGGCCUUACUGGUACAUACACAUACUCCGAGCCCACCAUAUCCUUAGAAAACAAAAACAAAAAAAAAUAAUUUUAGAAACACAGAGAUGUUGCAUUAUGAUAAGAGAUUGUAAACACAACAACACAUGCUAUGAUUUCUUGGGCACGCUAAACCAGAACACAAAAGCCAAUCUUUCUUACCAACAAAUCUUCCAAAUUUUAAGAAAUCUCGGUUUUGAAAUUAGCCCUGUAUUAUUAGCCAGCCCUAGAAGAAUUUUGUAUAAUAGAUGGCCUUGCCUUGUAUUAACCCAAGCCCAUUCAUAAGCCAUAACCUUAUUUAGUCUGCCUAAUUAACCAAUAACUGUAUAUAUAUUUAGUUAAUCAGUUAACUUCACAUGCAAAAAUCAAGCAUAACUUUGGUUCUCGGUUCUGAAAGAAUAAUAAGAGUUGGGAGACUACGAAGAAGAGAAAGUACCUGAUUUCUCGCUGCAACUUCACUCUCGUUCUCUCUUUCGUUCUUCGGUGUAGCGAAGAAACAAAGGCACACUUUUUUUUUUUUUUUUUUGUAGCCGUCGUCAAGUCCAGACCUAUAAGGACUGAGUGUGCUGAGACCAAAUAGAUAAACGAUGUCGUUUAUUAUUUUGGGUUCACAAAGAAAAACUGUGCAUGGGCCCUUCUUUGGCCCGAAUAGUAAUUAUUGGCUUAAAAUGUAACAAAGACACAUUUCAUUUAUGCCUACCGUGACAUCACAUUGUUUUGGUGCACCUUCAGGCAAAACGUAUCAAAUGUGUAGUAGACUCUUGAAACUUUACGUAACGUAGUGCACCUUCUUUCAUUUGUUUGACGAAAUUUUUAAAAAACAGAACAAUGAUAUUUAUUUUUAUUACCUAAGUAUAAAUCUAUUAACAUCUUAACUUUUUAGCCUAAGUUUCAAAAAAAAAACAGAACAAUAUUGAUUUCUAUUUGUUAGACGAAAAUAACAAAUUAUACUUACAGUUUUCAAAAUAUUUAAUUAUAUAGAUAAUUAAAAUUGAAUUAGCUAAUUGAACUUCAUUAAAAUUGAUUUAAAAAUAACAAUAGAAAUUUAAAGGAGAUAUUCUCUAGGUUUCUUAUUGUUAAGUUUAAAUUUCUUGGUGUUAAGAUCGAUCUGCAAAGACCAGAUGCUACACCCAAAGAGAAAUUCUCAAUGUUUUUCCAGUCACGAACACAACAAACAUUUCUCAAAAAAAUUUACGCCCUGCAUAUCACAUGUUACUGUAUCAAAAACAAACGAAAAGUACUUCAAUACACAUAUCAUAAAAUUGGACUAAACAUGUCUCACAUUUUGAUAUAUGCAAGAAUAAUCUCUAAUAUUCUUUUACCAUUUUCAGCACUAAACUGCUUCUAGUUAUGAAUGACUUUUGCUUGAAUCCACCAGCCUAUCUUGUAAGGUCUGAUAUCCCUUAGUGUACUGAUUUUCUUACAAGGCGUCAUAAUAGUUUUGAUAUCUAUAGAGUCGAUUUAAGGUUGUGUGAAUACAAUUAAUAUGAUGGAUUAUAUUUAUAUAUAUGGAUCACAAAAUUAAUUAAUCUAUAAUUAAAUAAAUAAAUAUAAAAUAUAUUAUUUUAAUAUUUGGUGUGAUGAAUGUCAUUUUUGAUGUUUUAUUAGAGAUGAAACUAAACUAAAUUUGGAUUUCAACAGGUGACCGUUCAAUUGAACGUAAAAAUAAAAGAUAAAUAAAAUAAUAAAUAAAAAUUCAAUUGAGUAAAUGAAUAAACAGAAAGGUCCAGGUUUGCAUGUUAAGUAGAAGAUAAUAUACAAACACAUAAUCUGUUAGACCAAAGUUAUUAUUUGGCUGCCAGGAAAGCCUUUGAGAAAUUAGGAAGGGUUAGCACUUAAACAUAGAAGAAAACGGUGAUGGGUCUCGGAGGAUCAUCUGUUUCACGCAUCAACACCAAAGCCUUCUCUUCAUGUACUUUUUGCUUUCUUCUCAUCAUUUGAAUAAUUGAGCUAGAGUUCAUCUAUAUUGAUUUGUAACUUCUUGUGAUGUUUUUAGCCUUUCUAAAACCAACAUUAAGAGCAAAUAACCCUCUUAGAGUCGCCGGAGCAUCAGGAGGAAGGUUCACUUGGUGGGUUACUCUUUAUUUAUUGAGUCCUAACUUGUUUUAUAAGGUAUCUUUAGGCUAUUUCUCUAAUAAAUAGUUUUAUUUGUGUGACAAAUGAAAAAAAAAAAAAGCUUUGAGAGGAACUGGUUGAGGAGAGACCUAAACGUGGUGGGGUUUGGGCUGAUCGGGUGGCUAGCUCCGUCGAGUAUUCCGGCGAUAAAUGGGAAGAGCUUGACGGGUCUCUUCUUCGAGAGCAUAGGAAAUGAGCUCGCUCACUUCCCAACUCCUCCAGCUCUCACUUCACAGUUCUGGUUGUGGUUGGUUACGUGGCACUUAGGUCUCUUCAUCUGUCUCACCUUCGGACAAAUUGGAUUCAAAGGCAGGACCGAAGAUUACUUCGAGAGAUAAACCAUUUCUCUAGUUUCAUUUGUAAUAUAUCUUUCUCAUUGUCCCUCUCUUGUGUGUAAUAUUAUUACUCAGUACGAAGCGUUCUUUCUUUGCUAUGUUUGGUGUUUCAUUCAAUAUCGACAAGAUUGUUUCUUAAUGUUGAUUAGAAGAAGGUUCCAUCAACACUUUGUUCAAAAGGUUAUCAUAGAGAACAAAACUACGUUUUAACUAUGCAUUCUACAUCUAACCCCCACGCCGAGUCCGCUCAGCUUCAUGGUUGAUGUGCAUUUUGUAAAGCUCGGGUCACCAUGUCGAUGAAUUCAUUCUCCUGUCAAAAGCAACCCGUUAGAUUCAGGCAGUAGCUCAAGCCAGAAGUGAAUGUUGUAAGAGAACAAACCUGAACCAGAGCUAACAGGGCUUCUUUGACUUUGUCUCUGUUGAUAAAUGAGCCAUUGUGUGCAGGAGCGAGUGAUGGUGGUGGGAAAGGCUGGAGCAUCGGAGUGCCAUGUGGGCCCUGCUGGUAAUAAGUCGUAUUAUUAAGGUUCAGAGGAGGAGCAGAUGGCAUAGAUGAACCAGGAAUGAAGUGUGGUUGUGCCAUCAUCCGUGGGGGGCUGAAGAAAGAGGACGGCGUCACCAAAUCUGUGUGAACGUUGGACUUGUUGCUACUGAUACGAUUACGAUUGUUGUCAAAAAGAGGCAUUAGAGGAGAGGAGGAUGGUAGAGGCGGUGGUGAUAGUAUCUGUGGAGGUGCAGCUGCCGCAGGGGAAAUGGUGGGUUGGUGAGGUUGUCGAGUAUCUACUAAUGUCUGGUAUGGUGGUCCACUUGCCGACCCGCUAGUAGUGUUGCCAAGAGACAUCGCAGACUGUAGUCAAGCCAACAACAAAAUUGAUAAGUUCAAUCUUACAGCUUGAGAAUUUAGAAGUAACGAAAAUUGACGGCUUGUACUCAAGAAUCUAAGUUGGACCGAUUAAUAAGUUGAAGAUAAUUCAAGAAUCUAAAACUAAUAGGAAGCCCUCAUGCUGUUAGUCAAAUGUGAUGCUGUCAUGAUCAUGAAGGCGAUAGUGUGAGUGUGUAUUAAAAGCUUUGAGAGACUUACGCUGAAGAAGUUAACAAAAGCAGGAUCAUUAGGAGCACCAUCUCUACCACUUAAAGAUGGUUCAAGAGGACCAUCCAUAACUGACACUGUAGGCACAGCUUCCAAUUCCUCAAACUCCCUGCAGUACAUAUUUUUUUUUUUUUAACUCAAUUUUACAUAUAGGAAAGAUACCAGCUCAAAGAGUUAUGUAGAUUAUCAGUGUUUUUCCACCUCAUACAACUAAUGGCACAAUGUCUAUGCGCUAAGUAAUCUAAACAUGAAGUUCUUACCUUCUUGAAGAUGGCUUAUUUGGCUUCUGGUUAACCUUGGAAUCUCUAUAAUAUUAUUUGAGAAGUCACUUUCUUAUGUGGCGCUCUCACGUUAACUCUCACGGUGGUUGAUUACUGUGAUACCCUUAAUGAUUUUUUUAACAACAUUGUUAUAAAAAAAAGUUUAUAUAUAACAAGGCAAUAAGGUAAUAUUAAAACUUAAAAGUAUAUAAUUAUUUUAUAUAUUUAAAAUAUGUGAUUUAAUGGCUUUUCCUCACGUAAGUUACAUAUUAACAUAAUUAUGUUAUAGUGUCGGUAACCUUAAAGAAUUUACAUAUUUCCUCAUACAUUAAACAAUUUCCUUAUUUUUUGUUAUUUUCUUAAUAGAAAGGGAAACUACGUUUAGUUAGUAAGGAUUAUAAGGAAGCUACAUUUACUUAGUAAGAAUCAUAUGACUUAUCCCUUUUCCUUAUUUACAUUUACGAUUUUUGAUAUUUUCUGAAAUUCAAUUUUGAUAUUUUUAUAAAGCUAAGGUAAUAACUAUACAAUUUUCUACAAUACAUAGGAAUAUUAUACUUUUUGAUAAGUAUACAAUUUCCUAUUCUUAAAAAUUUCUCCUAACAAUUUUAUAUAAUUUUUUAUAUAUAAUUUCCUAAUCCUAAUAUUAUUUGAAUGCUCCAACAUCUAUAUAAAUAAACAACUGAUUCUCAGAAAUCUAAACUAUCAAACUAUCUACACAAAUAUAAAUUUUCAUCCAUCGUUCUUAUUCACAAAAACCAUGUCCUUUCUUCGUAGAAAAACAACCCCUUUGGUUUCCAUCCGAGAAAUUCAUCCAUCUUUGGAUACAUGCAAGAUCAAAGUGAAUAUCAUGAAGCUGUGGAGAAAGUAUAUCAAAGGAACUGUUUCUAUUGAGAUGGUUUUGAUUGAUGAUGAGGUAAUUCUAAAAAUCGAUCCAAACAGAUUUUAAUUAAACCAUGCAUGAUUCGUAAUUAUAUAGAGAUAAAAUAUUUAUAUCUGCACUUGAAUUCGUAUUAAUUAAUGUUCCUUUACCCGUGCAUGAGCUGUUUAUAACCAUGUGUUUUGAUAGAAUUCGUAAUUUUAUUCUUGAAUUAUAUAUAAUCCCUAACUUUUGUCAUUGGUUUAUAGGGUAACCGUAUUCAUGCAACCGUAGAAGGUGAUGAUUUGGUUAAGAGUUUUGAGAAUAAAUUGGCAGAAGGUGAAUCAAAAAUAAUUAACACAUUUAAAAUCAGUUCUUACAAUGGUGAUUUUAGAACCAGUUCACACCCUUUCAAGAUAUCUUUUUAUCGAACUACUUAUGUGGAUAUCUGUGAAGAUUUUCCAACAGAAGUGCCUGAAAAAUAUUAUAGAGAUUUUACAGAUAUUCUAUCUCGAAACAUCGAUAAGAACAUCUUAAUAGGUAAAUUUUUCUUUUAAUAUGCAAGACUUGUAUUUUUCUUUUGGGUGUUGUUUUUCAAAUCUUUCUUAUACUCAUUUAUUUUAUUUACGCAGAUAUAAUAGGACAAAUUGUUAGUGUUGGAUCUUUAUGUGAGCUUACUGCUAAAGGAAAUCCUACUAAGAAAAUUGAUAUUAUACUGAGAGAUACAAGGUAAGCUAAUAAGUAACUAAAUUUUAAAUGUGUUUGCCUUUAUACCAUGUGUUUGUUCUGUAUUUUAUUUUUUGUCAAAACUUCACAUGUUUUAAAUACAGUGGAAUGCAUUUACCAUGCACUCUUUGGGGAGAUUACGCUACCCAAAUCUUUGAAUACUCUAACAAACACAAAAAUUCUAAAGUUGUAUGUGUUUUUAGAUUUGUGUGUAUCAAAGAGUAUAAAGGUACGUCUUAUUCUAUUUAUAAAACAUCACUAAUUCUGCAUUGAUAUCUUUCUUAUUUAUUUAUAUUAUAAAUUUUCAGGUGUGGUAAGCGUGUCUAACGCUUUCAAUUCAACUCAAAUCAUGUUUGAUCUACAAACACCAUAUGUUAAAAGAUUCAUAUCAAUGUAAUAAAAUCUAUACUCAGCUCAUAAAUAUAACUUUGCAAACAUCAAUAAUCGUUGUUUAUUGUUUUUAUUGAUAGGUUGCCAACUGAAAACCUUAGUGACAACAAUAUGCCAUCUACUUCGUCGUCUGUUUCAUUACAUGAUGAAUUUCUAGGCAAAAAGAAUGUUCGGAAGCAUAUAUGGGAGAUUAUUCAAUCAAACGAGGUCUUAUGCGCUAUUUUAAAUAAUUAUUUUAUAUUUUAAUGUUUAAUUUAAAACUAAUCAGAUCAAUAAUUCUAUAGGUUGGACGAUGUGUAACAAUGGCAACAAUUGACUCAGUUUCAAAAGAUUGCAAAUGGUACUAUAUAGUUUGCAAGGCUUGUGAUAAGACUGUACAACCAUAUCCAUACGAAGAUGACAAACCUCCCUUAUUUGAUUGUGAAAAUUGUGGUGAUAUUACUGACGUUGAUGCAAGGUAACUUAUUGGGUUUAGUUUGCUUUAUACGUGUAUGCUUUUUAACCAUUACUUAUUAUUUUUGCUUCCUUCUUACUUAUAAACAUUAUAGAUAUCGCCUGAUUCUACAUGUCUCCGAAGGAUUUGAUGAGCAAGUCAAAUUUCUCUUAUUUGAUAUUCUUGCACAAUAUCUUCUGCAAAAAACUGCGUUUGAAUUAGCAGAAGAGGUUGCAGAGGUAUUAUAACUUUCUUCCUACAUAAAUUGUGUGAUUUAGUUCAGCUAUUAACUUUGAAACAAUUUCUUAACUCAUGUCUUUUAUAGGAAGAACCACACGUUCUACCAGAAGCCCUAAAAAAUUUGAUAGGCAAAAAGUUACUAUUCAAGAUUAAUAUUGGGGAGGAUAACUUAAAGAGCAAAAAUGCAUCAUACAAAGUUGAAAAGUUUACCGACAAGAAAGACAUAAUUGAGAAUUUUUGGACACAAUCUUCAGAUGAAGUAAUAAAUUUGCUAAAAUUUUGGUAUAUUUAAAGAGAGUAUUUAACCAAAUCAAAAUUUAAAAUUUAUUUCCUUUGGUUUUGCAGGAAACAAUUUCGCAUUCAAGCUCAACAAACAAUGUAUGUAAUUCGUUGCAAUCAUCACCGUCAUCGCAACCAUUGUCUUACAAAAGGAGAUAUGAUUAUACAAGUACAAGUUCUCAGAGACAUGAAAAGACUUCAAAUAAGACCAUGAGGAUUGAGAAACCAGCCUUAAAGUGAUUUUAGCGGAGAAAAUAACCAAAAAGUGCUUUUGUUUUUUUAUCAUGUUCUUUUCUUUCUUGAGAUUGAUUUAUAUCUGUAAUGUUUUUUGAGAUUUGGUUAAUGGAUUAUAUUUUCUCAUAAUUGUAUGCAAAAAUAACUACAAAGAUUAAACCCAGCUAGAUUUCAUAACUUGAACUGUUUCGUAGAAAACUGAGCACGUUGAAUAUAUGCCAUGACACACCAAAACAUAUUCCAGAAGUUCAAGCUAUACAUUAAUGCAGCAUCACAUCGGUAUUGAUGAUCUUGGAACAUGGUAUUGUUUCUAUUUCCAUAAGUAUGAUGAGUUCCUGGUUAAAAUCCUCUGUUUUCCAAACAAAUUCUCUGGUUACAACUUCUAGCUCAGACUUAAAAACCAUUAAUCCACUGGUCGUUGAUCCUGUCUUUUAUGGCCACGUGUAUUCAGUGAACGGUAUGAGCCGGCCAAGUUUGUUGAUCAGAGUAAAGUUGCUUGAAUGACGUGUGCAUUACGUGGCGGUGGAGCAGAGCAUCCUUUGAGAUUUUUUUGUUUCAUGCAGAUUGUUUGGUGCGGUAGAGGUAAACGUCGAGUCUGGUUUAGAUUUCUGGUUGGAUGGUGUCUGGAUGAAGUGUUGACAAAAAUUCCCAGUUUCUAGAUAUUAAGAAAAAAAAUAUUUUAGUAUUAUGGGAUUUGGAAAAAUACUCUAAUUUCACAAUUUUGCUAUCAGCCUAUUUCCUUUUUUUAAACUCGCUAUUAGUCUAUCUAUAUUUCAUUAUCAGAAAUAGAAGUUUCAGUAUUAAUUAUAAGAAAAAUAAAAAAUAACCAUUCCAAACCUAAUUUAUAGAUAUUCUGAUUUCUUUAAUUCUUUUCAAAAAAGGAAAGAAAAAGUUUAUCAAUGUCUAUAUAAACCAAUAGGUCUACCACUCGAAUUACAAUUCAUAACUACCAAAAAAUUGCCUAGAAAGAAGAACACGCAAAUUAUCUUCCAGGUGCAUGAGUUAUUCUUUAAAGACAAUUCUAUUACUAUAUACUUUUCUAAUUGUCUAUCCUAAUGCGUAUAGGUUGCGAUUCUAACUUCCAAUAAACAUCACAAUGAAGCGUCAAAGUUCAUCAGUUAAAAGAAGUUCUGCAGAAAAUACUCCAGCUUCUAGAAGACGUAAUUAAAACUUACAAAUAUUACUAGAACAUACGAUAUAUUACUCAAGUUAACUAAUUCAAUGCACAUUCACAGGUACUUCUGCAAGAGUUCCCCAAUAUGCUUUUGAAUCAGUGCAAACCAAUUCAGAAAACAUCCCUACCGGCCAUUCAGUUUACCACCAAUACAUAGACAUAGACAAUCUUCAAAGACAGAGACCACAAAAAGCAAGAAGACAACGCAUGGAUAUUAUAAAGUCAAAGAGAGCCAAUGCAUGUACUGAGAAUUCAGGUUAGACUUAUACCUACCUUUUUGGUAGGUUUUUGAAGCAAAACUACAUAUUUGUUAGAUAUAAUACUUGUAUUCAUAAUCAUUCUCUCUGCAGAUUUACUCCCUGCUUCUGUCAAUACAGAUGAUUUUGUUUGCUUCAUUGCUACUGAUUCCGAACCAGAAAACGAAUCUGACUGUGAUGGAUAUGAAGCUGAAAGGGUCACAAAUCAACCUCCAUCAAUCAUAGAACAACAAUUACAUAUUUCAUAUGAAUCUGGAACAGGAAAACCAGGAAUAACAAACAGAGGUACAUGAUAAAGAAAUUUAAAGAUUUAUUUAUUUUAUCACCGAUUGUACUCUUUCUGCAUUCUCAUAUGAGGCAAUUAUAGGUUACAAGGAUGAUGGAGAUCCUAUAUACACGUGUUCAGACUGUGGAGCUUACAUGUGGUUCGGAGAACGAAUAAAUAAAAGGAGGACAAGAGCUAAACCCGUUUUCACAACGUGUUGUCAUAAAGGAAAAGUCAAGCUUCCACUUCUUAAAACUCCUCCAAAGACAUUACUAGCAUUGCUAUAUAAUGGAGAUGCAAGAAGCAAACACUUCCGUGAAUUCAUCAGAGCUUAUAAUAUGAUGUUUUCGUUUACAUCACUUGGUGGUAUCAUUAAUAAUUCCAUCAACAAUGGGAAGGGACCAUACGUGUUUCAGCUCUGUGGUGAAAAUUAUCACCAAAUUGGUGAUAUUUUACCAGAUGCUGAUAAAGGCCCUGCAUUUUUACAGCUCUAUAUACAUGAUACUUUGAAUGAAAUAUCAAAUAGAAUUUCUGCUUAUGGGUAAGGUUCUUUAAUAUAAUAUUUUAAAUCUACAAAUAUGUGUAUUGUAUCAUGCUAUAAACUGAUAUAUUACUUCUCUUUUUUUUGCAGAAAAACAGGAUCCACAUGCAAACUUAAAGAAGAAAUUGUUGCCAUGUUGAAAAAAAUGCUCGAUGCUCACAACCACCAUGUUAAAGGAUUUAGAUGUGUCAAAGAGAGAUUUAAUUUGGACCAAGAUACUUCAGGUUUAAGGUUAAGGCUUGCAAGUGACAGAACUACAGAUGGAAGAGUUCAUAAUCUUCCUUCAGCAGACGAGGUUGCUGCUUUAAUACCUGGUGACUUCAAUAUGAGUCUAAAUACACGUGAUAUCAUUAUCCAGAGUAGAACAGGAAAGUUACAACGAAUUAGUGAAUUACAUCCUGCUUAUCUACCGCUGCAAUAUCCACUACUGUUUCCGUACGGAGAAGAUGGGUUUAGAUUAGGUAUUGAUAUUGGUUUCGUUGACACUACCGGUAGAAAAAGGAAGAAAGUGACAAUGCGUGAAUUUUUCGCUUUUCGGAUACAACAUAGAGUUGGUGAAUCUCCUACACUUGUGAUGUCCGGUAGACUAUUUCAACAGUUUUUGGUUGAUGCCUAUACAAUGAUUGAGAGCAAUAGGUUACGCUAUAUUUGGUUAAACCAAAAAAAUCUUCGGUCUGAGCAUUAUGAAAAAAUAGUUCAAUCAGCUGAGAAAGGAGAUUGCAAUCUCUCCACCCAAGGAAAACGUAUUUUUAUACCUUCCUCUUUCACCGGAGGAUCAAGAUAUAUGAUGCAGCAUUACCUCGAUGCGAUGGCAACGUGCAAGUACUACGGUUUUCCUGAUCUUUUUAUCACUAUUACUUGCAAUCCUAAGUGGCCUGAGAUUACAAGAUAUCUGGAGAAACAUAAUUUAAAAUCUGAAGACCGUCCAGAUAUUUGUUGCCGAGUUUUUAAGAUGAAAUUGGAUAGUCUCAUGGACGAUCUGACCAAAAAACAUCUUCUAGGAAAGAUUUCUUCAGGUAAAAAAUUUAAACUUUAAAAUAUAUCAUGUCAUAUUAUUCUAAUUUAAAUAAAAAAGUCAAACUACAUAUCUUAUUUAACAUUUUUUUUUUAAAAUAUUGUAGCUAUGUACACUAUUGAGUUCCAAAAAAGAGGUCUUCCACAUGCACAUAUGGUUCUUUUUCUUCAUCCAGAUUCCAAAUUACCGACUGGUGAUGACAUUGAUAAGAUCAUUAGUGCUGAAAUCCCUGAUAAGUACUUAGAACCACACUUAUACGAGAUUAUUGGGGAUUUGAUGAUACAUGGACCAUGUGGAGUAGCUAAUAAAACAAAUGUAUGUAUGAAAGAUGGCAAGUGUACUAAAUUCUUUCCAAAACCUUAUAGCGAGAAGACUACCGUUGAUGAACAUGGGUACCCUCUUUAUAAACGAAGAAGAGAUGGAAGGUUUGUUCCCAAGAAGAAUCUCAAUUGUGAUAACCGCUACGUUGUUCCGUAUAACAAACAGCUAUCUCUUAGUUAUCGUGCCCACAUAAAUGUUGAGUGGUGUAACCAAUCACGCUCAAUCAAGUAUCUCUUCAAGUAUAUAAAUAAAGGUCCAGAUUAUAUUAGAGCAUCAGUUAGGAGAGAAGAUGAUAACGACGAACCUAUUGACGAAAUAAAGCUAUAUUAUAGUUGCAGGUAUAUCCACAUCAUAAUUUAUAACUUAUUUAAUGCUUCUGGUUUCCUUGAAAAAUAAAUACGUAUGGGAGAAUAAUGAUGUUGUGUUAAUGAAUAAAAAAUUCUAGGUACAUAUCAGCCAUGGAGGCAACGUGGAAAAUUCUGGCUUUUCCAACUCACCAUCGCACAACAGCAGUAGAAAAGCUGCCAUUCCAUCUCCCAGACCAACAGCUGGUUGUUUAUAAUGAAGAUGACCCAGUAGAUGAUGUUUUAACCCGUUUAUCUAUCGGUAUUAAUAAGUUCCUCGGCUGGAUGGAGUGCAACAAAAUAUAUCCUGAAGCAAGAGAAUUAACAUAUUCAGACUUUCCAUCAAAAUUUGUGUGGCAUCAAAAAGAACGACAGUGGAAACCAAGGAAAAAAGGUUUUGCUAUUGGGAGAAUUACAUAUGUGCCACGAUCUUUAGGUGAAGUUUAUUAUUUGAGGGUUUUGCUUAACAAAGUCAAGGGUGCAAGAAGUUUUGAAGAAAUAAGAACUGUGAACGGUAUUCUUUAUCCCAAAUUCAAAGAUGCAUGUUAUGCAUUAGGUUUACUAGAUGACGAUAAAGAAUAUAUAGAAGCCAUUAAAGAAUCAAGUUUAUGGGCUACAGGUGCUUCUAUAAGAAAACUUUUUGUUAUAAUGUUGCUAUCAAGUAGCGUUGCCACACCUCGGACAGUUUGGGAUGCCACAUGGGAGUAUCUAUCUGAGGACGUGUUAUUCAAACAAAGACGGCUGAGAAAAAAUCCAAGUAAGUUAUAUAUACUUUUUAUUUAAAUAAAAUAUCACAUAUUUUAAUAUAGCAUUAUUAUUAACAACAAUCAUUUCGGUAUACAGAUCUUACUUUAUCUGAGAAUCAGAUAAAAAACUAUGCUUUGCUCGAGAUAGAAAAAUUAUUGCGAUUAAACGGAGUUUCACUUUCAAAAUUCGAAGGAAUGCCACGUCCAGUAGACACCGCAACAGAUACGCGCACCAACAUUUUGCUUAUGGAUGAACAAAGCUAUAACCAUGACGAACAGAGAAAAAUUCAUCAAGAGUUAUUACCUAAGCUAACAGAUGAGCAAGCAAGCGUCUAUCAAGAAAUAUUAGAUGCAGUGAUCCAUGAAAAAGGUGGUGUGUUUUUCGUUUAUGGUUUUGGUGGAACAGGAAAAACAUACCUAUGGAACAUACUAUCUGCUGCUGUUCGAUCAAAAGGCCUCAUUGUACUGAACGCAGCAUCAAGUGGCAUUGCUUCUUUGUUGUUACCAGGUGGUAGGACAGCUCACUCUCGAUUUGGUAUACCCAUUAAUCCAAACGAUUUUACUACAUGCUCUAUGGAAACAGGAUCAGAUCUAGCAGAAGUGAUAAGACAAGCUAAGCUAAUAAUAUGGGACGAGGCUCCAAUGAUGAGCAAACAUUGUUUUGAAACUUUGGACCGAAGCAUGCGUGAUGUUAUUAGAUGUAACGACGAUAGGCCUUUUGGAGGUAAAGUCGUGGUUUUUGGAGGAGAUUUCAGACAAAUCUUACCGGUAAUUAAUGGAGGUGGUAGAUCAGAAAUAGUAUUGUCUGCUCUAAAUUCAUCAUAUCUGUGGAACAGCUGCAAAGUUCUAAGACUUACGAAGAACAUGAGGUUACUCAUGGGUAUUGGUAAUCAUGAUAAAAAAGAGCUUGAAAUUUUCUCUAAAUGGAUUCUUGAUAUUGGUGAUGGAAAAGUCAAUGAACCCAAUGACGGAGAAACUGAAAUAGAAAUACCUGAAGAUUUGCUAAUCACAGAGUGUGAAGAUCCCGUAGAAGCAAUAGUAAGAGAGGUUUAUGGGAAAUCAUUUGCCAAUAAUUCCAAUCCAAAAUUCUUUCAGGAACGAGCAAUUUUGUCCCCUACAAAUCUGGACGUUGAUAUGAUCAACAACUAUAUGUUAUCUCAUAUGGCAGGUAAUGUCUUUAACUUAUACUUGCUAUAUAGAUGUAUGACCCAAUGAAUAAUUUCCUAUGAUUUAUGUACUUUUGUGUAAUGAAAAUUAACAGGUCAAGAAAGAUCCUAUCUAAGUUCGGACAGUAUUGAGACAUCAGAUUCAAGCACAAGAGAUAGCAUGAUUUAUUCCCAGGAGUUUCUUAACAGCAUAAAACUCUCUGGACUUCCAAACCACAAUUUGACACUAAAAGUUGGUGCCCCUGUGAUGUUACUUAGGAAUAUUGAUCCUAAAGGUGGACUGUGUAAUGGAACAAGACUUCAAAUAACUCAAUUGGCUGCACAUGUUAUCGAGGCUACAGUUAUAACAGGUAAUAUGGUUGGUCAAAAGGUAUUAAUACCUAGAAUGUUUGUUACUCCACCAGAAACAAGAUUUCCAUUUAGAAUGCGGCGUAGACAAUUUCCACUUGCUGUUGCUUUUGCUAUGACCAUAAACAAAAGCCAAGGUCAAUCAUUGGAGAAAGUUGGUUUGUUUCUACCAAGACCUGUUUUUUCUCACGGACAACUUUACGUAGCAAUUUCCAGAGUGAAAUCAAGGAGUGGUCUGAAAAUUCUUAUUACCAACGAAGAAGGCAAGCCGCAAAGGACAACCAAAAAUGUUGUUUUUAAAGAAGUUUUUCAGAACAUUAAGUAAUUUAAUUUUUUGUUUUUGUUUUAGUUUUUGUUUCUAGCUAUAGAAACAUUUGGGUGUUUAGACUAAUAACUAUGAUUAAGAUACUAUUUUCACUUUUACCCGAAACCUAAACAAAGAAAAAGAAAUUGAAAGAAUUUUGGAUUUCAACUUUAUUAUACUCUAUUCUAUUACGUAGAGAUGGGAGUCAUACUUCUAAUAAAAAUCACAAUGAAGCCUCGAAAUUCAUCAAUAAAAAAUCAUCAGUAAAAGCUUGCUUUACAGCAAUCUGCCAGGAGGAGAAGCAGUAGUACCUUGGCCAAAAAUUGUUUGGAGUACGACAGAUCGUCUGCUAAAUCGGGAGAGCACAUCUUCUAUAACUGUGACUUCACUUGGUCGGUAUUGAGAGAGGUUGCAAGACGCUUCAAUCAUACUCCUGUCAGGAACUGGGGACCAAGCGCUUCUCAAUAUGUAAGGACUUGCGGGAACAAAAAAUCAAGAUGAUUACCUUAUUCUCCUGGAAAUCAGCUAGCUACUGAAUUUUGCAGGAACAAAACAGGCGUUUACAUAACUCGGUCUUCAGAAAUGAUGAAAUUCUAAUUUCUUGAUUGAUCCGCAGAUUAGAGAUCGCAAUCUGAGUUUCAGACAAACUUAUGCAGCUUUAGCUCAGAAGAUCUUCUACCCCUCCACUCAGCCAUGACUUGAGAUUCUCCGACUAUCACCAUUCCUUCCUCCUCUUCGUUAUCAGUACAACUUCCCAACUCAACUUUGGGCUUCUCUCAAUUUGAAAGUGGGCUCUCUUCUGAUUUUAAUGGGUUUUAAAAUUGGGUUUAAAAUUUUGGUUUGCAACCGGCACUUGACUUUAAAUUAUAGCCAAUGGGCUUGUAACUUCUUUUUUUCUCGGGCAUUAUAUUACAUGAAAACUUUUAGUCAAAAAAACAUUUACAAAAAUGGACCAAAACGUGGAAAACAAUUCCUGAGUUAUUGGAUUACGUUACUUUACAAAUGAUUAGUAGGUUUAAAUAAAACUGUAUAAAACGAAAUAAUUAAAAAAAAAGAGCCAAGAUAUGAUAUUACAAAAAUAAUUAACAACAAAAAGUAAAAUUAAUUAACUAUACAAAAUUUAAACAUCUGUAAAAUAAUAAAAGUAAAUAUCAUGGCAAAACUGAAUAUUUUGUAAAAAAAAUCAAAAUAACUAAACAACUCAUAAAUAAAAAUGUAGUUAUGAUAACAUAAAAAUACAUAAACUUUUUUUAAAAAAUAUUCAUGCCCGCGCAAGAGCGCGGGUAAAUCACCUAGUAUGCGAUAAGUAACCUGUCACGCCAAGGGAACCAUUAGGCGAAGAAGAGUAUAGAAAUAAUAAACAUAUAUAAUGCUGAGCAUCUAAGCCAUACCAAACUAUAUAAGAAAAAAUCUACAUGAAACGUCUUCACAAAAUCACACUAUGUUUGCCAACAAGAAUCUGUCUGAUACUAGUCAAACAAAAACUGAUAACAAUUGAUACCUACUUGUAUCUAUGCAGCUAGAUUUUUUUUUGUCGAAUCAUAAAACCAGUUUCUACGCGAGGAUAUGCACUGAGUAGCAAUGUACCUCUCGAAGAGCCGUGCAACCUCCUCACAUUCACUUUGAUUAUAGAACCAAAUGCCAUUAACUUCUUGAGCUGCAUUACGGUAAAGCAAAUAUGGACCUUGCACUUCAUACUCAAACUCUCCAAGUAGAUCUUCCACCAGGUUAUCUAUCCAAAAACAAAUUCAACAAUACUCCUUAAUCAAGAAACCAAUUCUACUAAGGAUCUAAACCUUCCUAUGUACUAAACUACUUAUCUAACUCAAAUUACUUAUAUAAUUCAAAUUGCAGAUAAAACUAUGUACUAAACUACUUAUAUAACUCAAAUUACUUAUAUAAUUCAAAUUACAGAUAAAACUAUGUACUAAACUACUUAUAUAAAUCAAAAUUCAAACGCUAAGAAGAGAAUCCUAACCUGUAUUACGUCGAUUCAUCACAAUAAACUGAAACCGAGGCUGCUGUCUAUUUCUGAAAUAACACGAAAUUGAAUAAUCACAUUGUAAACGAUUCAAGAAAGCAAUCACAAUAUAAGUUAAAAACUUACCUCUUGACGACGAACAAAGAUCCUUCAACGUCCUUACGACUCUGAAUGAAACAAGAAAAAGAAAGAUCAGAAGCAAACAUCAUCAGCAUCAUACGAUAAUGAGUGAUGAUUACAACUCACCCAUUCACUUUUCUGAACGUUGAAUUCGCCCUAUAGUGAGUCGUAUUACAAUUCACUGGCCGUCGUUUUACAACGUCGUGACUGGGAAAACCCUGGCGUUACCCAACUUAAUCGCCUUGCAGCACAUCCCCCUUUCGCCAGCUGGCGUAAUAGCGAAGAGGCCCGCACCGAUCGCCCUUCCCAACAGUUGCGCAGCCUGAAUGGCGAAUGGCGCCUGAUGCGGUAUUUUCUCCUUACGCAUCUGUGUGGUAUUUCACACCGCAUAUGGUGCACUCUCAGUACAAUCUGCUCUGAUGCCGCAUAGUUAAGCCAGCCCCGACACCCGCCAACACCCGCUGACGCGCCCUGACGGGCUUGUCUGCUCCCGGCAUCCGCUUACAGACAAGCUGUGACCGUCUCCGGGAGCUGCAUGUGUCAGAGGUUUUCACCGUCAUCACCGAAACGCGCGAGACGAAAGGGCCUCGUGAUACGCCUAUUUUUAUAGGUUAAUGUCAUGAUAAUAAUGGUUUCUUAGACGUCAGGUGGCACUUUUCGGGGAAAUGUGCGCGGAACCCCUAUUUGUUUAUUUUUCUAAAUACAUUCAAAUAUGUAUCCGCUCAUGAGACAAUAACCCUGAUAAAUGCUUCAAUAAUAUUGAAAAAGGAAGAGUAUGAGUAUUCAACAUUUCCGUGUCGCCCUUAUUCCCUUUUUUGCGGCAUUUUGCCUUCCUGUUUUUGCUCACCCAGAAACGCUGGUGAAAGUAAAAGAUGCUGAAGAUCAGUUGGGUGCACGAGUGGGUUACAUCGAACUGGAUCUCAACAGCGGUAAGAUCCUUGAGAGUUUUCGCCCCGAAGAACGUUUUCCAAUGAUGAGCACUUUUAAAGUUCUGCUAUGUGGCGCGGUAUUAUCCCGUAUUGACGCCGGGCAAGAGCAACUCGGUCGCCGCAUACACUAUUCUCAGAAUGACUUGGUUGAGUACUCACCAGUCACAGAAAAGCAUCUUACGGAUGGCAUGACAGUAAGAGAAUUAUGCAGUGCUGCCAUAACCAUGAGUGAUAACACUGCGGCCAACUUACUUCUGACAACGAUCGGAGGACCGAAGGAGCUAACCGCUUUUUUGCACAACAUGGGGGAUCAUGUAACUCGCCUUGAUCGUUGGGAACCGGAGCUGAAUGAAGCCAUACCAAACGACGAGCGUGACACCACGAUGCCUGUAGCAAUGGCAACAACGUUGCGCAAACUAUUAACUGGCGAACUACUUACUCUAGCUUCCCGGCAACAAUUAAUAGACUGGAUGGAGGCGGAUAAAGUUGCAGGACCACUUCUGCGCUCGGCCCUUCCGGCUGGCUGGUUUAUUGCUGAUAAAUCUGGAGCCGGUGAGCGUGGGUCUCGCGGUAUCAUUGCAGCACUGGGGCCAGAUGGUAAGCCCUCCCGUAUCGUAGUUAUCUACAACAGAUGGUAAGUCCUCCCGUAUCGUAGUUAUCUACCCGACGGGGAGUCAGGCAACUAUGGAUGAACGAAAUAGACAGAUCGCUGAGAUAGGUGCCUCACUGAUUAAGCAUUGGUAACUGUCAGACCAAGUUUACUCAUAUAUACUUUAGAUUGAUUUAAAACUUCAUUUUUAAUUUAAAAGGAUCUAGGUGAAGAUCCUUUUUGAUAAUCUCAUGACCAAAAUCCCUUAACGUGAGUUUUCGUUCCACUGAGCGUCAGACCCCGUAGAAAAGAUCAAAGGAUCUUCUUGAGAUCCUUUUUUUCUGCGCGUAAUCUGCUGCUUGCAAACAAAAAAACCACCGCUACCAGCGGUGGUUUGUUUGCCGGAUCAAGAGCUACCAACUCUUUUUCCGAAGGUAACUGGCUUCAGCAGAGCGCAGAUACCAAAUACUGUUCUUCUAGUGUAGCCGUAGUUAGGCCACCACUUCAAGAACUCUGUAGCACCGCCUACAUACCUCGCUCUGCUAAUCCUGUUACCAGUGGCUGCUGCCAGUGGCGAUAAGUCGUGUCUUACCGGGUUGGACUCAAGACGAUAGUUACCGGAUAAGGCGCAGCGGUCGGGCUGAACGGGGGGUUCGUGCACACAGCCCAGCUUGGAGCGAACGACCUACACCGAACUGAGAUACCUACAGCGUGAGCUAUGAGAAAGCGCCACGCUUCCCGAAGGGAGAAAGGCGGACAGGUAUCCGGUAAGCGGCAGGGUCGGAACAGGAGAGCGCACGAGGGAGCUUCCAGGGGGAAACGCCUGGUAUCUUUAUAGUCCUGUCGGGUUUCGCCACCUCUGACUUGAGCGUCGAUUUUUGUGAUGCUCGUCAGGGGGGCGGAGCCUAUGGAAAAACGCCAGCAACGCGGCCUUUUUACGGUUCCUGGCCUUUUGCUGGCCUUUUGCUCACAUGUUCUUUCCUGCGUUAUCCCCUGAUUCUGUGGAUAACCGUAUUACCGCCUUUGAGUGAGCUGAUACCGCUCGCCGCAGCCGAACGACCGAGCGCAGCGAGUCAGUGAGCGAGGAAGCGGUAUUGGUGCCCUUAAACGCCUGGUUGCUACGCCUGAAUAAGUGAUAAUAAGCGGAUGAAUGGCAGAAAUUCGAUGAUAAGCUGUCAAACAUGAGAAUUGGUCGACGGCCCGGGCGGCCGCAAGGGGUUCGCGUUGGCCGAUUCAUUAAUGCAGCUGGCACGACAGGUUUCCCGACUGGAAAGCGGGCAGUGAGCGCAACGCAAUUAAUGUGAGUUAGCUCACUCAUUAGGCACCCCAGGCUUUACACUUUAUGCUUCCGGCUCGUAUGUUGUGUGGAAUUGUGAGCGGAUAACAAUUUCACACAGGAAACAGCUAUGACCAUGAUUACGCCAAGCUAUUUAGGUGAGACUAUAGAAUACUCAAGCUUGCAUGCCUGCAGGUCGACUCUAGAGGAUCCCCGGGUACCGAGCUCGAAUUCAUAUUAUUGUAAAUGUACAUAAGAGUUUGUGAUUAUAUACUUAGUGGUUCUUGUAUAUGUGUCCAAGAAAGUUUCAAUGGCUUAGUGGUAACUGUCCUAUAUAUAUAUCAUAUUAACCCGGGUUCGAUUCUCACCUUCGCAUUGUUUUUUUAUUUUUUACGAAAAAAAAUGAGAUGACAUGGCAAUUUCGGGUUCUCUGAUUGGUUGAUUUUUCUAUCCUAUGUGGACACCCUCUCCAUGGCUUAUAUCCCCCUUUUAGUAUAGUAUAGAUUAUUAGACUGUAUAGCGUCGAGUGUUAGUUGACACAAAUGGACAUAUGGUAUGAUCUAUGAUGAUUUGGCUCUGUUUCUCUGCUCGUUUACUUUCUAUUUUAAAGAUAAAAAUAAUAACGAUAAAUGAUAGUUGUAAGCAUCCGACAUGAAAAGUAUGUUACCAAGAAAAAUAACGUAAAUGGUAAUUUUAAUUUCUUUUGAGAAAAAUGGGUAAUAUUAUUGGUCGAACAUAAGGGGCAACGGAUGGUGCGUGAUACAUGUACAACAAAAGACAUCGAUCCAGAGAGGCAAGGAAAAUGUAACUUUAUAAAAUCAUUAAUUUGUAUAUGAAAAGUUGUGUGAUUAUGGUUUUCUAUUUUUGUUCCAAGUUACACUAAAUUCUGCAUUUAGUUUUUCUAAACUUGAGUCUUGAGGAUGUCCCAGUUGCAGUGAAUGAUUCCCUUUAAUCAUGGAGAAAAUCAAUGUAAAAUUUUCUGUUUUCAUGUCACACUUUAUGUUUACCACCCAUUACAACUACUUUCACCAAAAUGUCAUAUAGCUUGCAAGUCUUGGUUAAUACAUGCACGAAUCCUCCAUCAAGUCCGCAAUGUUCAUAAGUAAAAUUACGAACUAAAGUUCCAUAUCAAGCUAUUUAUUUUCACCGAUACACUAUGUAGAAUAUAUAUGUUCUAUAGUUCCUUUUAUGGCAAUACUCGAUGAUAAAAAAACUUGGUGGAUCGUUUACUAAAAAAUUCAGUAACGUUUUAUUAGAGAAGAUAAACAUUUUUUAUGGAGAUCAAACUAUCUUUGUUAAUUUGACUACGCAAAAUAGUUAAUGGAAAAGGAAGACUGACUCGUGAGCUUGGUAGAUACAAAAGAGGUUGUCAAGAAAAGCAGGUCUAAAAGUUCUUCCCUCUUCUUUAAGUCACCCAAUUAAUUUCACAUAUAUACAUACACAUAUUGCAUUAAAUUCAUUUAUGUAUAAUAUACAUAUUCAUACAUCUAUAAAGAUCAGCAUUAUUACACUCUAGAGAUCUAGAGAGAGAGAGAAAGAUGGGGAGGCCUCCAUGCUGUGACAAGAUAGGGAUCAAGAAAGGACCAUGGACUCCUGAAGAAGACAUCAUUCUUGUUUCUUACAUCCAAGAACAUGGUCCUGGAAACUGGAGAUCUGUUCCCACCAACACUGGUCAUUACUUUAACAUAUUUUCUUCUAGUUUUAUAUUUUAUUUUAUUUCAGUUGUUGUUUGCAUAUGUGUCCUGAUGAUUGUAUAUUUGGCAUCUGAAAGGGUUAUUGAGAUGCAGCAAGAGCUGUAGACUGAGAUGGACAAACUAUCUGAGACCUGGAAUCAAACGUGGAAACUUCACUCCUCAUGAGGAGGGAAUGAUCAUUCACUUACAAGCCCUAUUGGGUAACAAGUAAUCUCAUUACUCAACAUCUCUUUUCUUAUUUUAAAUUUUCUUUUUGUUAUAAUCUUUGAUGAUAUGAACCCUAACUUGGCUUAUUGUCUACAUAUGGUUGAAUUUAAGAUGGGCGUCCAUAGCUUCAUAUCUACCACAAAGAACUGAUAAUGAUAUCAAGAACUAUUGGAACACCCAUUUGAAGAAGAAGCUCAACAAGUCUGAGAGUGAAGAGAGAAGCAUUUCAGAGAACAUCCCGUUGCAAACUUCAGCCGCAAGAAACACUAUUAAUCAUAGAUCUACCUAUGCUUCAAGCACUGAAAACAUUUCUCGCCUUCUAGAAGGUUGGAUGAGAGCAUCCCCAAAGAGUAGCACGGCUAACUUCUUGGAACAAAAAUCGCAAAACCGGACUAACGAUCUCAUGGAUCAUCACAAUGAUCAGUCUCCAUAUGAACAAGGUUCUUGGGAUCAGGGAUUCCAUGUUCAUCCAAAGAACUCAGAGGAAAACGUUAAAUGCGAUCAUGAUGUUCAAGAAGAUGGUGAUGGUGAUGGUGAUGCUACUCCACCAUUGACAUUUAUUGAGAAAUGGCUUUUGGAGGAAACAAAUACUGGUGGUCAAAUGGAGGUGAUGAGUCCAUUGAUGGAGCUCUCUAAUAUGCUUUAAUUUAGGAGAUGUCCCCCUCUCUCUUUUUCUUUCUCCCUGUGAAUCUUAUUAAUGUGACUACUAAUUUUAUAGACAAAAAUAAAGAAACCAAAAUACAUAAUAUCAUAUGUUUUUUUGGUUUCUCUAAUAUAUAUUUAGUUAAUGAUCACUGCAUAAGUUGUAACUGAUCUGAAUUUGUCUACUCAUUUAUCAAUUUGUAAUAUUAUAUGUAGAGGUUAAAUAUUAUGUAAUAUCAAGAGAACUUUUGGUCACAAAUAACAUCAGUUUAUAAGAGGUUGAUCAACGUUAAUGGAAUGUGGAAAAUAUAUUUGGAACUCUUGUUAAUUGUUACCUUUUAGUCCAUAACAAAAAGAUGAAUGAGAGAUGUAAGUUAAGGCUUUAUAUCAUACACGAAAACGUGUGAUCUUUAUAUUUGAAGAAAUUAGAAAUAAUAAUGAAUGUAGGCCAUCCAUACUAAAGAUGGUUAAACGUAUAUGAAAAAGAGAAACCCCAUACGUAAUGAUCGCUGAGCAUCCUCCAAUAAUGGCGCUAUAUGUAAUAUGGUAGUCACUUUCUUCUCUUAAACUUAUAAUUUUAAGCAUUAAAUUUCGAAAAUAAUUUAGCAUUUUUAUAAAAUACGUAUACUCUAUUUUUUUCUUCUGACGUUUAUCAUUUCAUCAUGCAAGAGGAAAACAUAUCACAUCUUGUUCAUCCAUUACGGGUCGGUGAUAAGGUCUGAAAUGGGCCUAUAGCCGACACUGACCACAAGUUGGUCAAGCUUGGGUUUGGGCCAAGCUUACUUUCGGCAGCCAUUAGUAGCUGACUUCACCGUCCACCUUCUUCACUUUCAAUCUUUGCCUACCAUAUAAAAAGGAUUAUUCGUUUUAAAGACUACCAAAAGCAUUUUAUAUCUCUUAAUAAAAAGGUAUAAUUAUUAGAAUUAGCACCAAUACUGCCAAUUGUCAAAGCAUUUUCUAAUCUGUUUCCACCAUGUUUAUCUUUUGUUUUCCCUUUGGUGUUUGGUUUGGUCAAUCAAAUAGAUCCCAUUCAAUGUUUCAAAAUGAAUUAAGUUUUUUUUUAGUUAAUUUAAUAAUUCGAGGUUUAUUGUUGACUACGUCAGUCCUAGCUGGGUCUAUGUAUGGGUUCUCCUUUUCUGAGUAUUCUUUUGUUAUAAAAUAAUAUAAAUUUGGAAUCAAACAAAACAGAGCAAGUAGCUUUUGUAAUUAUUGUACUUUCAACUCUGUGAUCAAACAUUCGAUCCAAAAGAAAUAUACUUCCCACUGACUCUGGUGAUCAUCCUUCCUACCUCAUGAUCAAAAGGUUAGUUUCCUUUACAUAUAAGAUAAGAGAACCAAGCUUAUGUGUUUUGUUCUUGAUUCAUAUAAACUUGUGUGCCCCUUGAUGCUACUAUUCAUCUUCUUUUAGUAUAUCUUUCUUAAGCUAGCUUGGUGUGAUCGUUCUAUUCUAAUUUUGAUUUCUUCUUUUUUUUCCCCAAAAAAAUUGUAAGUUGAGCUGUCUAUUUCUCUUUUAGAUCUCUUUAUUGUAGGAACCACUUGAUCUAGAGUAGUCCAAUUAUUAAAAAAAAAAAAAACUUAUGUUUGGAAAAGUUGUUAUUUACUGUGGAAAAUAGACCAAGACAAGGAUCAUAAGCUUAACUUCUAUGUACGCUUGUUUUAGUUUUAGUCAACGUUCUCUCUUCUUGUCUCUGUUUAUUGUCUUAACUAAUUAUUUGAUUUGCAUCUCGUUAAUGCAGAUUUGAAACCUGCUAUUAUUGAUUCUUGAUCUUAUAUGUUAUACCAACAAGAUGGAUACUACACAGAUAUCUCCAGCAAAAUCUCAAACCGGUUCACGGAGUUUCACAAAAGCUUUGGCACUAGCCUUCAACGAGUGGCUGCUGAUGGUCAUGCUCUUUGCUAACUCCAUAUUCACCUACGUGAUCACGAAGUUUGCAGAUUACUCCCAGCUCCAAUCUCCAUGUCUUAUAUGCUCAAGGCUUGAUCAUAUCCUUGGGAACACAAAAGAUUUGAAGACAUCUCACUGGGACAUGUUUUGCUCCAAACACAAAUCAGAAAUCUCGUCGUUGGUUUACUGUCACGCUCAUGGCAAGCUGGUUGAUGUCCGAGGAAUGUGUGAAGCUUGCCUUGUUUCUUUUGAUACAACCAAUAAGUCCAAUGCUGAAAGUUACAAGUUAUUGGUUGGGAAGUUGGAUGACCAACCAAGCACAAGUCCAAGACACUGCACAUGUUGUAAUCAGCUGUGGAUACCACAAAUUGAUUCUACUGGUGAGGUGUUGGCUAAACCGGAAACACUAGCCAAGAUUGGUUUGGUUAGUGAUGAGAGAACCGGGAAAGAAACUUGUACACCAAAGAAAAGUGUCAGGUUCAAUGAUUUGCCUCAUGUUGGGUACACUGAGCUCAAGGUUCACUCAGAUACAGAACAAGAAGAUGUAUUUUCAGAAGAUGAAGGUGUUGCGGUUAAAGAAAAGGAUCAUAGGAUUCAAAAUGUGGACCUGGAGACAUCUGAGAAGGUGUUGAAGGAGGAAGAAAUCAUUUCAUUAGAUGAUAGUUUUGUAACAUCAAGAGCCAUGGAACAUUCUGAAGCUGCUUUGGAGGAGAAAGAAGAUUUGAUUCAGGUCCAAGAUACUUCUAUAAUAUCAGAUUCUAAGGAAAGUCCUGCAGAUGCCUUGUUGGAGGUGAGUGAGCUUAUUACAGUCAAUGUUGUGCCUGAAAUAUCAGAGGAGGUGUUAAAGGAAGAAGAGAUCACAUCAUUAGAUCAUCUUCUCUUAGCAUCACGUGGCAUGGAAGAUUUGAUUCAACUCCGAGAUAUAUCUUUAACAUCAGAUUUUAAGGAACUUCCUAAAAAUAUCUUAAUAGAGGAGUCAGAGCUUACAGGUACUUCAACAUCAGUUGCAGCUGAAACUCAUGAAGAUCUCUUAGUAGAGGAUACUGUUUUAGAGGAGAAAGAAGAGCUGGUUCACCUACAAGAUACUUCUGUAACACCAGAUUGUGAGGAAAGUUCUGCAGGUGCCUUGAUGGGGGAGACAAAGCUUCUUUGCAUCAAUGAUGUUACUACUUCAACAUCAGUUGCGGCUGAAACUUCUGAAGAUGUCUUCAUGGGAGAGACUGUUUCAAAGGAGAAAGGAGAGAUGCUUCACCUCCAAGAUACUUCUUUAACACCAGAUUUUAAGCAAAGUCCUGCACAUGCUUCAUGGGAGGAGGCUGAGCUUGUUUGCCUCAGUGAUGCUACUUCAACACCAGUUUCAGCUGAUCCUCGAGAUAUCUUAAUGGGAGAAGCUAUUUUAAAGGAGGAGGAGGAGCUGCUUCACCUCCAAGAUACUUCUUUAACACCAGAUUCGAAGGAAAGUCCUGCAGAUGCCUUGAUGGAGAAGGCUGAGCUCGUGUGCCUCAAUGAUGUCACUACUUCAACAUCAUCAGAUUCUGAUACAAAUCCUGAACAUGUCUU